AUUCCACCUUCCAUUGGCCAACUUACACGGUUGACAUAUUUAUUUCUUGCUGAAAAUCAAUUCACUGGGUUUAUACCACCUAGCUUUGGAAACCUUAAAUCAUUGUUGGAGCUGCUCCUUAGCUACAACAAUUUCAAAGGGAUACUUGUACCACAGAGUUUGGGAAAUCUUAUAAAUCUCGUACAUUUGGACCUUAGUAAUAACAAUCUCCAAGGUGACAUAACUCUAGAUAUUAGCAAAAUUAAACAGCUCACAGAUCUACGUCUUUCAUCAAACAAGCUUACUGGAGAAAUCCUGGAUACUUUUGGCGAGUGUCAACAAUUAGAAACCCUCUUAAUGAACCAAAAUUACCUUGAAGGAAACAUCCCGCCAUCUUUCAAGGGACUACAAAGCCUGAAAUCACUAAAUCUUUCUCACAAUAACUUGUCUGGCACGAUUCCAACUAUUUUGGAGGAUCUAUCGCUUCUCAAUAAGUUGGAUCUUUCAUACAAUCAUCUCCACGGAGAAAUACCAAUGAAUGGAGUCUUUGCAAAUGCAACGGCUACUUCACUCAAUGGUAACUGGGGGUUAUGUCGAGGAGUGAUGGAUCUCCAUAUGCCUGCAUGCCCUGCGGUUUCUCGGAGAAUAGAAUGGAAACGCUAUGUGACCAUCUUACUGAUUCUAAUAUUUACCUUCAUGUCACUCGGGAUGUCAAUUUACGUUAUAUUCCUUGGGAAGAAGCCACCAAGAAGGCCAUACUUAUUAUUGCUUUCUUUUGGUAAGAAAUUUCCUGGAGUUUCUUACAAAGAUUUAGCCCAAGCUACAGAGAACUUCUCAGAGUCCAACCUAAUUGGGAGAGGAAGCUAUGGUUCAGUAUACAGAGGGAAGUUAACUGAAGCUAAAAUCGAAGUAGCUAUUAAGGUCUUUGACCUUGAGACAAGAUUUGCGGACACAAGUUUUAUUUCAGAAUGUGAGUCUUUCAGAACCAUUCGGCAUCGGAAUCUUCUUCCUAUACUAACUGCAUGCUCAACGAUUGACAAUAAUGGCAACGAUUUCAAAGCACUAAUUUAUGAGUUCAUGCCCAACGGAAAUUUGGAUACAUGGUUGUAUCAGAAACAUGGUGGUGUAGCUCCAACACAGUUGGGCUUAGCUCAGAGACUAAACAUAGGUGUUGGCAUGGCUGAUGCACUGGCCUAUUUACACCAUGACUGUGGAAGGCCUAUUGUCCACUGUGAUCUGAAACCAACUAAUAUACUUCUUGAUGAUGACAUGAAUGCUCAUUUGGGAGACUUUGGCAUUGCAAGUCUCAUUGUUGAUUCCAGAUCAAUAGCAGUCGGACAUUAUUCAUCAGGUUGUAGUAGUUCACUCGCUGUGAGAGGAACUAUUGGGUAUAUUGCUCCAGGUAUAAAUCAAGAAUUUUGCCAUCUCUUCCUGUAUUUGUAUAAAACAAUAUGUUAUUCACUAAAUAAUUUUCCUCUGUUUUUAGAGUAUGCUCAAACUGUUCAUGCAUCAACCUGUGGGGAUGUUUAUAGUUUUGGAAUACUACUCCUGGAGAUGAUUCUAGGCGAAAGACCAACUGAUUCCAUGUUUGAGGGUGGGCUCACCAUUAUCAACUUUGCGGAGAGAAACUUUCCAGAUCAGGUGUUACAUUUCAUUGAUGCUCAUCUCCAAGAAGAAUGCAAGGGCUUUGUUAAAGCAGCGGCAUCAACAGAAAACGAGGUCCAUCGAUGCAUGUUAUCUCUCGUGCAAGUUGCUCUUGCUUGCACGCGUUCAUUGCCAAGAGAAAGAAUGAGCAUGAGAGAAGUAGCUGUAAACUUGCAAUCAAUCAGGAGGUCGUAUGUUGCAGCGACUAAAUGAGGGCAAGCCAUUGCUUGAUCUUGCUGAAAUUGAUGAAAGCUAAUACAUGUGGUGGGCAGACAUCGUGUUACCGGCUCAUGCUAGGACUUGGGAUUUGAACAUUUGGAAAAUGGAUUUGGUAAAGCAUCAGUGAUUUUGGUGAAGUACUGAUCUCGUAUGGCUUUGAUGGGUAAUGUCUCGUACUGGAAUACAUGGGACUGCACUCUAAUCUCAAUGCGAAUCUGCAACCCGCCUAGAAUUGGUUCAGAUCCAUCAUCGAAAUCCCAAACUGGAAUUACCUUCCACCAAUCACUUCACAGAGUACGGGCUAUUGAGAUCAUUUCAUACCGUUGGUGCAGCCGAAGAUUGGACACUGGGCCACGCGCGCUGCUCGCAGACGACGCGCCGCCGCCCGCGGCGCCUUCACGUGGAGCAGCCGAGAUUUACCCGCAAUUGCUCGGUGCCGCUGCGCGGCUGCGGUCGAGGUGGGGGCGCUCCGGCGCUAGCACUACUGUGUGCCUGGGUCUUGGCGUCAUUGGGCAAGGCCGCAUGUGUUCUGCGCCACUGCCCACUGGUGUGUCAUUUUGAGCCUGACCCUCUGACGACGGCGGGUUCCAUUUAAAAAGUUUUUUUUUUGUCGAAUUGGGUAUUUGGAUGGUGCUACUACCAACCAUGCAUGUCCAGCGACGCUAACAAAAAGUGGGGGAAAAACACCUCACAUGUUGACGGAUUAUUUGGCCUCGAGUCUGUCCUUCACGUCUCUGCAAAAGCUUGUGUACGUGCAUAUUGUGGUCCGUAGAGAAGUACGCCAGCAAUUGGCCCUUGAGUGUUGAGUCUCAAACAGAAAGAACAUCGGUCACCCCAGUAAGGCAUGCUAAUGUACAAUGGUGUCGAGAAAUUUUGCAGUAACAAUUCGUAUCUACGAGUAAUUCAGAGGUGCAGGGCACUUCAGAGUUCAGGUAUCCUUUCCUUGUAGAGUUAAGUGGUUUCUGAAUAGACGAUUUAUCUCACUCGCUAGAUAUUGUCUCCAAUUCUUCGUACAAUACUCACCAGUAGCAUGCAAAAUCGUGAGAAGCACGGCAUCCAUUAUACAUCCAGAUUCGAAUAUCGAAUACUUACAAGUUUACUUGACCCGCUGCGUUGUCUAGGAAAACAAUGAGCAAAUCACAUCCACAAAAAUACAGUCUGAAAAAUUGAUUUGGAAACGAGAAUCCUGUAGACGCAAGCAAUUCCACGAGUCGAGUUUUGUCAGAAUCGCAGGCGGACGAGACGUGUAACACGUCAGUGCGUAAAAAUCGUUGUCCUGUUCAGGCUGAAAAGCACACGCAGGAGCAGGAGUAGCAGUACACCACCGGCGGGAUGCGCUAGCUGCUGCCAGCAGGACAUGCCGCGAGCCCGCGACGAUUAGUCCGGCUCAAAUAACGACACCACCGGUGCGUGAGGAGAUGAAAGCUGAGAGGCGACAGUAACCUGCUAGUUUGACGGACUCCAUCUCGGCGCAACAGCGUAAACUUAAGCCAAAAAAGGCCUGUAUUUGAGACAAGGAAGAUGUGUGGCAAGCUAGCUGCUCCUGAGCUCAUCCAACGCAGCAGUUCACGGUUCACACACCCUUACAGCAGCACCCGGCACAGCCACUUCUCAGCGCUGGCUGUGAUGUUGCGCGCUCGGCUGAGCAGAGGUGCAAUACUCUCUUUCCUCCUGAUUAGUGCUUUCAACAUCCCUUUUAUAAACCUGUCAUUAAUCUUAUCUUCAAGCAUUUAGACGGGUUAUUAUAUGAGAACCUGAUCGGAUCAUAAGAUGGCAGUCCGGACAUGCCUCGGAGUUGGUACCUCCGCGACGGGUGAUGUUUGUUCUUUGUGCUUUUCAGGUAACAAGGGCCUUAUGUCUCCCCAUGACCCGGCGAAACUCGGCAUGCUUACGCUGCUGUUGCUGCUCUUGUCUUACGGAGUCUGCAACGCCAGUUGCUCGACGAUCCCUGAUAACAGCACGGACAUGCUCUCUUUGCUUGAUUUCAAGCGGGCCAUCACCAAUAAUCCUGGAGGAGCCUUAAGGUCUUGGAACUCCAGCAUUCCUCAUUGCCAGUGGGAGGGCGUCGCCUGCAGCCUAAAGCACCCAGGGCGAGCCACGGUGUUGAGCCUAGGCAGCUUACGCUUGGCCGGUCCAAUUUCCCCCUCAAUUGGAAAUCUAACGUUCCUUGAGACACUGAACCUGUCCACAAAUAGCUUUGCCGGCGAGUUACCCCCUCUCAACCGUUUCCACAGAAUGCAAACACUUGUGCUGGCACACAACUCACUGCAUGGGAUCAUUCCAGAUACAAAUUGUACCGGAAAUUCCCUAUCAGGUAUUUCACCCCUCGAUAUAAGUCUCUUAUCCAAUUUGGUUGUUUUAGUAAUUCACGGAAAUAAGCUAACUGGAAUGAUCCCACCAAGCGUACAAAACAUGACACAGCUACUAGUUCUCAAUCUUGCCGAUAAUCAGCUAACGGGAAGCAUUCCCGAUGAGCUGGGCAAAUCAAAAAAUCUGACGGGUGUGUUCCUGGGUGGAAAUAGUCUAUCAGGUGGAAUACCAUGAACCCUAUUCAAUUAUUCCUCACUCCAAUUAUUAGAUUUGACUGAAUAAGCUAGGGAAAGAAAGCAUUGCCACCUGAAAAUACACUGCCAAAUCUCGUAUAUCUCAUACUCGACUACAACAACAUUGAAGAUCAUAUCCCAGCUUCAUUUGGCAAUAUUUCAGGGCUACAACAAUUAGACUUGUCCUCCAACAGUUUCACUGGCAAAGUUCCAAGCUCUCUUGGUAACCUUGGGAUGUUGAAUUAUCUAAACCUUCAGAUGAACAGGCUUGAGGCAAAUGACAGACAAAGCUGGGAAUUCAUAGACAGGUUAAGUAACUAAAUUAACCUUCUACCGCUUUCACUAACUGAUAAUCACUUCGAAGGAAGAAUACCAGAUUCUAUUGGUAAGCUUUCAAACAACCUUCAAGUGCUAGAGUUGGGUACAAACAACUUGUCAGGGAUAAUUCCCACCAGCUUUGGGAACCUUACUGGCUUAAUAAAACUUGAACUAAGUUACAACAAUCUCAAUGGUCCAAUCUUAGAGUGGGUUGGAAAUAUGAAGGAUCUUGGAGCUAUAGUUCUUGAUGCAAAUAACUUCACUGGUUUGAUUCCGUCGUCUAUGAGUAAUCUUACAAAAUUGACUCUGCUCUCUCUGGCGGAAAAUGAAUUCGAAGGUCCAAUAUCACCAUGUCUGGGAAGUCUGCCACUUCUUACAUAUUUGAACCUUAGUUAUAACAAUCUGCAGGGUAACAUUCCUAAGGAAAUAUUCCAUCCCGAGUCCUCAAUGACCACAUGCGUGUUAUCCUACAAUAAGUUAGAAGGUCCAAUUCCUGCAGAGAUUUCUAAAUCUUGGACGACUGACGGAACUAUAUCUUUCAUCCAAUAAGCUUAGUGGGGAAAUUCCGUCAACCCUAGGAAAUUGCAAAGAGUUACAGAUCAUUGAAAUAGAUUAUAACUAUCUCCAGGGGAGCAUUCCGUUGACUUUUAAUGGUCUAAAGAGCAUGACCUUGCGAAAUCUUUCACACAACAAUUUGUCAGGCUUCAUCCCAACAAAACUGGGUGACUUACAGGACCUCACCCAGCUGGAUCUAUCUUACAAUAAUCUGCAAGGCGAAGUACCCACAAAUGGAGUAUUUGGAAACGCCAAAUUUGUCCCGCUUCUUGGCAACUAGGGACUUUGUGGAGGAGUGCGGGAUCUACAUAUGUGCCCAUGUCCUACAGUCUCAAGGAGCAAAGAAACACGAUACUACUACCUGAUCAGGGAACUCAUCCCGGCAUUUGGAAUCAUGUCACCCAUAAUGUUGAUCUAUGCUAUAAUCCCACAGAAAAAAGAAGUCAACAACAAGGUACUCAUUGUUAUUUUCUUUUGGUAAGAAAUUCCCUAGAGUUUCUUACAAGGAUAUGAUCUAGCUCAAGCUACAGAAAACUUCUCAGAGUUCAACCUGAUUGGGAGGGGUAGCUAUGGCUCAGUGUACAGAGGAAAGUUAACUCAAGCUAAAAUGCAAGUGGAUAUCAAGGUUUUUGAUCUUGAGAUGAGAUUUGCAGACAAAAGCUUUGUAUCAGAAUGUGAGGUGCUGAGAAGCAUUAGACAUCGAAACCUUCUUCCUGUCCUAACUGCAUGUUCAACAAUACACAAUAGAGGCAAUGAUUUCAAAGCUCUAAUUUACGAGUUCAUGCACAAUGGAAAUUUAGAUAGAUGGUUGCAUCAUAAAGAUGAUGGCAUAUAUAGCUCCGAAAUUGUUGGGCUUAUCUCGAAGAAUAAGCAUAGCUGUUGACAUAGCCGAUGCGUUGGCCUAUCUACACCAUGACUGUGGAAUGCCGAUUGUGCACUGUGAUCUGAAACCAACAAACAUCCUUCUUGCUGAUGAUAUGAAUGCUUAUUUGGGAGACUUCGGAAUCGCAAGCCUAGUUCUUGAUUCAAAGUCACAAACAGUUGGGCAAUUUGGUUAUAAUAGUUUAGUUGCUGUGUCAGGAACUAUAGGCUAUAUAGCUCCAGGUACAAAUCAAGAAUUUGUCAUCUCCAGUUGCACAGGAAUAUUUUAACUUUAGAUUAACCUAACCAGUGGAUCUUAUAUGUGUUUUCUAGAUUAUGGUCAAAGUGUUCAUGCAUCGACCCCUGGGGAUGUUUACAGCUUUGGAAUAGUUCUUCUGGAGAUGUUAAUAGGCAAAAGACCAACUGACUUUAUGUUCUCAGCAUUGUUAACUUUAUGGAGAGGAACUUUUCAGAUCAGAUCUUAAGUAUCAUUGAUUCACAUCUCCAAGAAGAAUGCAAGUAGUGCUUUAUUCAACCAUUGGUGGAAGCAGAAAAUAAGGUCCAUCGAUGCUUGCUGUCCCUGGUGCAAGUUGCUCUUUCCCCGUUUAUUACCAAGGGAACGAAUGAACAUGAGAGAAGUAGCUGUUAACUUGCAUGCAAUCAGAAGGUCAUAUUUUGGAGCAAUUAAGCGCAAGUUAUGCAUUGCUCGAUCUAGGAUGGUUACCUCAGUUUCAUUUUUUAAUACAACAGGCAUAAAGAAGCUGGAUCAGCAUGCUGAAAUUGACGAAUUAUCAUGCUAGGGAUUAGGGAAACUGUAUGCAUGCAGUGGGCAGUGAGUUUUCUUCGUCAUACUAAGAUUUAGGGUGUAAACGGAUCGAAUGGAUACCUCCGGAUAUGAAUUUAGAUAGUUUAUUCUUCUUGGAUUCGGGUACGGAUAGUGUCAUUUAUGUCGGAUAAGAUAUAUAUGGAUAUCGACAUCCUAUGUAUCUGACUUUGGAUGCUGAAUAUACGGAUUCGGAUAUGGACGCCCCUCCAAAUCUUACUAUUACUAAUUGGAGGCUUCUUUUAAAACCUUCAGGUGAAGCCACCUAGGAUUCCUAGGUGGACACUCUAGAAAAAGAGAGAAAUCCUAGAAAUUCUCACAAAAAAUAAAACAUUCAACUAUCAAUCUAUAGAUUCAAAUCAUCAUAGUCAUUGAAUAUUUUCUAAAAAAUUACCCACCUACCAUUAUGAAAAUAGCUUAAAGUAACCCCCUAAAUCUAUAUAUAAAUUACCCACCUCUGCUAUUAUAGAAAAUAAACUAAAGUAACCCCUAAUCUUAAUCAAAAUUACCCACUUAUGUCAUUAUAAAAAAUAUUUAAAAUAACCCCCUAACUUGCAACUGAAUUGCCUACCAUUAUUACUUAAAAAACUUAAAAUAACCCCUUAAAUUUGCAUCUAUAUUACCCACACAUGCUAUUAUUAAAAAUAACAUGAGGUAACCCUACGUAAUAUACAACAAUAUAUGAUUCUAAAUUGUCUAUAUCUUGCACUAUUGGUAUACGAUAUAAUAAUUAAGGUCUAUAUGCAUGAUGUGCGUCACUAUUUAUAAUUAAAGAUAUAAAAUGAUGGGAAUAUAGAUUUCUAUGCUAAAAUUGAAUCUCAGACUUAGGGUUCAUUAAACAAAUUCAAGCGCAUACCUGCAAUCCAAAGUGAAAAGUUAAAGAUUAUAAAUGUCGAUGAAAAUAUUAUAGAGUAGUUACUAACUUAAAUCUAUCACAAUUGGAUGAAGAUAUUAAGUAUAUAUCUACAUAAGUAUUGUGUUCGACUAUUUAACAAAUGAGAGGUAGCUUAUGGUAAUAGUUUUGUAGCAAUGUAGUCUCAUUUUUUUUCCCAUUGGAGACUCCGCAUUAGUUCCCACGAGACAAGCUAGAAAAAAGAGAAUAAUUCUCAUAAAAAUUAAAAACAUCAAACACCAAUCCUGUAAACUUUAAUAAUCAUAGUCAUUGAUCUAUUAUAUUUUUAAAAAAAUUUACCCCACCACUGUCAUUUUUAAAAUAUUAAAACAUGAGCUCUAAACCUAUAUCUAAAUUACUGAGCUUAGCUAUUAUAAAACAUAAUCUAAAGUAACCCAUAAUCUUCAUCCAAUUUACUAAUACACAUCAUUAUAAAGCAUAACUUAAAAUGUCAUUCUAAAAUUUUAUCUAUGUUCCCCAUGUAUGUCGUUAUUAAAAGUAAACACCUAAAUCUUAAUCUAAUUAUCUUCAUGUGCAUCAUACAGAAAUGUCAAAAAGUAAACUAAUCUAUGAUUCUAAAUUACCUAUUUAUGUCAUUGUUAAUAUAAAAAUACUAAGUUAAAGUAUAUGCACAUGAUGAGUGCCAUCAUUUAGACCAUUUAUACAUGCAUGUGCGGAAUCGAUGAAAAAUAUUGAUUUGUAUGCCAAAAAUAAUGUAUGGAGGAUUGGAGGUGUGAUACAAAAUGGAAAAAAGUAUGAAUAUGGAUGAAAAAGUGCAUAGGGUAAUUCAAUCACAACUGGACAAAGAUAGGUACAUACCUAUAUAAGUAUUAUGUUGAAGUAUUGGAAAAAUAAGAGAGUAGUAGGUAAACAAUUUUGAUUAUUAGCUACGAGUUUAAUUUUUAAAUACAAUAGCUUCUAAAAAUAUUUUGAACAUCAGGCGAUGGACAGUGGAUUCAAAUUCGAAUACGGACAGACAAUAUCCGUAAUAUUUUGAACAUCAGGCGAUUGGGACUUCGUAAGCAUAAAUUUUUUUUUAUAGUAUGUCAGUUUGCUUUGAUGGUGAUGUGAUUCUUUUUGACAAUUUUCCAUCGCAAUUAAGACACAUAGAGAAAAUUACAUCGGGCGGCAGUGCUAAUCAAUCUGGAAGUCCACGAUCUAGCUAAAAGUCAGAUUUGGAUCCUAAAUCCAAAUCCCAAACUGCAACUACCACCAAUCGAUUAGUUCAAAGAGCAAGGAUUAACGGGAUCGUUCAUAUACCUUUUGUGCGGGCGCCGGCCGGACAAUUGAUAGCCGUGUCAGGCUCGCCCGCAGAUGACGCGCGCGUCGCCUGUGUACGCGGCGGUGGAGUCUAUCCGCAACGAUGAGGUGAAAAGCGAUUUCUCCAAGGUAAUCUAUGCGCCUGGGCCUUGGGUGCGCCAAAUACUCCGUCCGGCCACCUCUUCAGGUUUGGAGAAUCAUCUCAGAAGGCAAGGUUUGAAGAAUCUUCAGGUUUGAAUUUUGAAAUGAAACUGAAGACUGCAUCCUGGGAUGAUUUAGACUUCCCGAAGACAGUUUGUAAUCAGAGAAUGCAUUAUGCAUUCAAGUGACAGCUCUUAAAAGACUAGUAGUAGAAUUCUAACAUGUCCUCAUAUUUCCUUGGAGAUAUCAAUGAGCAUGAUCCGAUACCUACAUCUAGAAAUUACAAUUCUCACUUGGACUUUUAUAAAGCACGCGGCACUUAUGUCCAGGAAUUCGCAAUCGAUCGCAGAACAAAGCACGCAAGUCUGCACAAUCAAUUCAGGGAGCACCACAAACGUACCAUAGCUGAUUUGGAAACGAUAAGUUUCACAAGUAAACCAUUAGUCCAUUACACGUGCUGAGUUUUAUCAGCAUCCGUAGGCGGACGAGAAAAGUCAGACGAAGUGUCCCAGUCCGGCUGCAACGCAAAGAGCUGAACUAGCAGUAGAGCUGCGGGAUUCGAGGCUGGACAUGCCGCAACAACCUUGUCCAGCUCAAAUAGCGACAGCACCCGUGGGUGAGUGAGAUGGACGUUGAAAAAUCUGCAGUAACUGGCGAGUUUCGCAGACCCGCCAGGGUCUUCGUCGCCAUAGCGAGUCGGCGACUGCGGGUUGGGGGACGAUGUCAGGUGGAGGCUGAAAAGCGGCUGACCGGCGAGUUCGAUGGCCUCAAGAAUCUCCUCUGCACCACCGGUCAAGCUAAAAUAAAGCGUUCAGUUGGGUUCGAUGGUUUUGUGCGGCGUUCUUGCGGUGCGGCAUCGGCAAUGGAGCCAUGGGGGCAACCGAACAUUCUGUUUUGUGGUUGUACCGGCCUUCUACAAACUGGCAUCUGAUGCUGUCCAUCGUCAAUGAUCAGUUUGCAGGAAUGUUAGAAAGAUGGGUUAACGCUAAACGCAAUGACAAGUAGUACAAAGGGAUCAGCCCGAAAUAUCUCUGUUCGUUUCCUGCUGAAAAGUAAAAUAACUAGACAAACAGUAGAAAGCUGGGAUUAGAGGUGCGCAUGCCGUAACAAUCUUGUCGAGCUCAAAUAGCGAUGCGGCGCAUGGAUGGAGUAUAGAUGUACAUUCGGGCAGCCCGGCCCGGUCUGGCCCGGGCCUGGCAUGGCCCGUUUAUUUUCGUGCCGGGCCUGGCCUAUCACGACAACCCGUCGUGCCGUGCCGGGCCAGCUCACGGGCCUCACUGGUGGCCCAUGCAUGGGCUCGUGAGGCCUUUUUCGUUCCAGCCCAGCCCGAAGAGCCCGACCAUUUUUACGUGCUGUGCCAGCCCACAGCCUGUCAAGAGAAAAAAAACUUCACCGAACAAGGGUGAAACACUGAUUCACAAUCUAAGAGUUUCAAGUUCAUCGAACAUUCAAAAAUCAAAAUGUAAGGUUGAUCAACAAACACACAUUCAUCACAUGCACGCAAUCACACAGAAAUUCAUAAUAAAGGAAUUAUUAGAGUUGUUAACACUUGAUCUAUGUGAUCAAGUGUUGGCUGCCUCAUUAAAAACCUUCCUAGGUAAAAACUCACCCUUGUGAGAAAACCCUAGGAAGGCAAAAAGAGUACAGCCAGCUCAAGACUCAAGUUCAAUUCAACAUUACAGUUUACAGACAUUGAGACACACACACAGACAUAAAAAUAUAGAACUAGAACACCCAACUGGCCAAGCCAACACCAACAGGCAACAGUCCAAGUCCAACAGGCUUCAGCUUCAUCCUCCAGCCCUCCAGCAGUUUAGCUUGCUCCUGGGGUAGGCCUAGAGGUGCACAACAGCAUAAGUGUUAGCAAUUGAAAGUGUUUAACAAUUGAACAAAAGAUGAGUUAGUAAUGGACUUACUGACUAGCUUGGCCUUCAUCUUGGUCUGGGUAGGGGCUUUUGUAAGUUUCCUCUAGUUCAUUGACCUUCUUCUCAACAUCAUGUUGUGCUCUUGCAUCUCCCAACUCCCAAUCCUUAAGGCAGGUCAGUAUCUCCACCGUAUCCGGCAACAACUGUUGGCGCCGCUCCUCAAUCACCCUGCCAGCUAGACUAAAACAAGAUCCCAAAGAAACAGUGGAAACUGGAACAGACAUAACAUCUUUAGCAAGUAUGAAAAAAAUAGGAUAGGAUAGCUUGUGCUCAUGCCACCAACUAAGUAUGUUGAAGUCAUCGUCAUAGCAAGUAAUAGUAUCACUAUCCAAGUAGGAUGACAGCUCAGAAGCAGAAAAUAUAGGAAGUGUAGAUGAAAGAACAGGAGAACCAUAUGAACCAGAUGGACCAAGACCACCAAACAUCUUACCCCAUGCUGUUCUUUUUCUUACCAGUAGCAGUUGUAGGUUGAGGGGGCCUUUGCGUCCUAACUGCACCAAACUUGUUUUCAUACUUAUUAAACAACUUAUGUAAUUCAGUUUUUACCUCAGUGAAAUAAGAAGAGUAAUCAACACUAACUGUCUAAGAAAGAAGUUGGAGAACAUUAUGAAAACUUCUCACCUUGGCUCUAGGAUCCAAAAUGAAUGCAAAGGAAUACAAUAGACGUAUGUUCUGCCAAUACUUGAGAAACUUAAGCUUCAUGGGAACAACAAUAUUUCUGAGAAAUGGAUCAGAAUCUUAGCCAUGCAAAUGGCCAGCAAUCUCAAUAAUAUGAUGCAACAUCAAAGGACUUGUUGGAUAGUAAACACCAGAUAAAUCAACAGUGGGAUCAUAAAAUAUUUCAAGGAACAACAAAAUUUUCUUAGCAAUUACCCAAUGGCUUUCAGUUAAAAGUGGUUGGCCAUUGUGCAAACCAUAAUGAGCAGAAAUAAAGAUAGAAAAGACAGUCUUAUAUGGUAGUAGAUGUUUGAGCAUGAGAUAUGUAGAAUUCCAUCUCACGUCCAUAUCUAAACCAAACUUACGAGGGCGUACCCCAUUGACAAUGCAGAAAUUGUGGAAAGCUACAAUGCGUUGAUGAGAAGAGUUCUAAAAAGAGAUUGCAGUCCUAAAAGCCUCAAGAUAAGACUUGAUCCUCUUCGAACCAGACUUGACUAUGAGAUUGAUAAUAUGACAUGCACAGCGUUGAUGCAAAAAACCAACAAGUGCUUUAUCAGAAUCAGAAUCAAGAGGUUCAGGAUCUUGACCUAGAUAACCAACAAAUUUGGGAAUAAGUGUGGACACGACAAAAGUAUUAGCAGAAACAUAUCAAGUAUGAUAGAGAAAAUUUUAUCCUGUAAACCAAACUUAGAAACUGCUUGUUCAAUACGCUCAGCAAUGUUAACACCAGAUGGGAGCAAUCAAUCAACCUAAGAGCAAUGACUCUCUUCUCUAAUUCCCAAUCAGCAGAAACAAAAUGUGCAACAACACUAAGGUAAUCCUCCUUAGCAUUGCUAGACCAAAUAUCAGAAGUAAGACAGAUAGAAGAAAUAUGAGACUUCAAAGUAUCAAGAAGAGAAACACGACGCUCGGCAAAGUACUUGGUAAGAUCUCUAGAUGUGGUCUAUCUAGAAACUUUAGCAAAACGAGGGUUAUGAGCACGCUGGAUGUACUCCACAAAUGCCUUUGUCUCACCAAAGCCUAGGGGUAGAUCAAGUCUAGCAAUCAACCGGCACAAUUCUUUGCGAGCAAGAUCAGGCUUGUAUUCCCAAUUAAUAAUUGAGCCAUCAGAAUGGAAUUGCAGUUGCGACUGAACAAGAGAAGGAUGGUUUUGUUUAGCCAAGCACAUCUUCUGGUGCUGGAGCAAAUGCCCAGUACCAGCACAAGACCGGUUAGUAAGAAUGUGAGAACAAUGACGGCACCUGGUAGAAAAAUAAGAAGACAGUUAUCUGCGACGCCGGAGCCCGUAGCAGGAGAAGAAGACAGUUACCUGCAAGAAGAGGAUCAAGAAAACAAGAACACGAUCAGGAGGAUCUACAUCAUGAGAACAAGAAAAGAAUCAGGAGGAUCUACAUACCUGCGACGCCACAGCCUGGAGCCGGAGAGGAUGAUGGGAACAAAAUUAGGAGAACAAGAAGAGGAUCAGGAGGAUCUAGAUCCAGAUCCAGGGAGGUGGGACGGGAGGAGUCAAGGAGCGGGGAACGGAGGAGUCGAGGUGAGGAGGCGGUGCCAGUGGCAAGUCGGCAAGGCACCAGGGAGGCAGGGAGCCAGGGAGGUGGUCAGGCGGAGGCGUGGAGGAGGUGAGCCGGGAGUGGAGGAGUCGAGGCGAGGAGGCGGCGCACCAGUCACCGUCGGCCGUCGCCGGGACGUGGGAUUGCGGGUGUGGGAUGGGAGGAGCCGAGGAGGCGAGGAGCCUGGAGCGGAGGAGUCAAAGUCGAGGCGAGGAGGCGGCGGGCGGAGGGGAGAAUGGGGUAGGGUUUGCGAAGAAGGGCGCGGCCGGCCGCGGGGGGCUUAUAUAUGCCCUUCUUCCCGACCGUUGGUGAACUGGUGGGCUGUCUGGGCUGGCCGGUUGUUCGCUUGACGGGCCGGCAACAGGCCAGCGGUUCGCCUUCAUGCUGGGCCAUGCCGCCCGUCGGGCCGAGGCACCAGCCCAUGCCCGGAACGAGGAUGCGGGCCAGGCCAGCCCGAGUCCGAAGAGUUACGGGCCGGGCCGGGCUAGGUCUGGGCUAAAAAUACGGGCUUCGUGCCGGGCUCUCGGUCUGCGGGCUGCAUGUACAUCUAUAGGAUGGAGACACGGAGGCUGAAAAUAGGGCAACUCUGGUUGGUUUGACUGACUUAGGGUCUUCGCUGUAACGGUGGUCAAGAAUCAAGAUAAGGUAAGAUGUCACAUUGCCUCAAGCAACGAAAGUGUGUGGAUGUGAGAUGUGCUGUUAAACUCUCUUGGACCCAUGGGUACCCCCAAGCAAAGUUCAUGGCUCAUUUUCUCAAUGAAGGAAACUUUAUUGAUCUUAACCAAUUACCUUGAUGGUACAAUCAUAUUAAGGCAACUUCUGGCGACUUGGCCUCUGUACAGUUAGGAUACACAUAUGACAUAGCCUAAGUACAAGGUUCAUGCAUCACCAAAGACGACCCGGCAAAGGCAAGAAGAAAAGGCUGUCAUGUUGCGCCCUCUCGAUACGAUCAGAGGUUGUUGUUCUCUCUUGAUUACCAAUACAUGUAUUUUUGGAUUAUCUCUUGCCGUUAGACCUGCCAUGUUGUUCCUGACUGAAAAUUUAAAUUAGUAGUGGUUGCCACACUAGAUUUAGAUAAUCUUUUUUCUAGGCGAAUUAGUGGUAUCUUGUCCAGUUGUAGCGUGAGAAAAACUUCUGUAUCUGUACUCUCUUUCCCAAUUAGCUAGACUCUACUCUACCUUUUUUUAAUGAAAUAGAUACAAUCUCGUGCCUGUAUAUUUUAAAAAAGGAAUUAUGAGACUGCAUACUGUGCUAGUGCAUCGCCCAUUUCACGAACCUACGAAAAAAUCAUGCUGGUUAUAUAAAACUGUUACACAAUUUCCCGAAAGGAAUUUCGAUAAACAUAGAUCUAUAUAUUUGAACUUGAAGUUUUAGAUCAUAAUAGAACUUGGAUUUUUUUUAUUUGGUGCCUCUGGAAUAUGAGUGUGACUUGUUAGAAUUGAUCCUAUUGAUAAUACAUAGAAAGGGACUGUUAUCUCUAUCAAGAUGAUUCUAAUUCGUUGGAUAUUAUUUAUUCUAGUAUUCGGAACACAAAAUACAUGGAGUGGAUCAAGAAAAAAAUGGAACUAUGAUUCAUACUCACUAUUUAGACCUCGCAACCAGACUGGAAAAAAAAAUUCAAGUAGUUCUUAAUAAAAGAAAGAAAUUUUCUCUGUUCCAAUUUUGUUUGCCCAAAAGACAAUAUUUUCUCUUUUAAUAAAUGAUCAUCAAGCGGAGUAACAGUAAUGGAAUUAGAAAGCAACAGCAGGGAUUUUUCAGAUUAGAUGCUGCACAUUAUUGAUGCAAUGCUCAUCUCCAAGAAGAAUGGAAGGGUUUUAUUCAAGCAAAGUUGAAACAGAUAAUAUGGUGAAUUCGUUAUUGCUGGCUCUAGUGCAGAUCACUGUGACAUCCUGGCCAAAGGCUUAAUAGAAUACUCAUACCAACAAGUUGCAACUUCUUGUCCGGAAGCUCAUCCUCAAAGAACUCCGGGGUUAAGCGUGCUUGGCCCGGAGUAAUUUCGGGAUGGGUGACCGACCGGGAAGUUCUUCCCGAGUGCGCACGAGUGAGGACAAACUUCGCAGAAAAGACUUGUGUUGGUCUGUGAGAAAAUUGUUGAUAUUCUAGAUUCCCAAGAGAAAGAAUGAACAUGAGAGUUAUCAGUGUAAGUUGGAAUCAAUCAGAAUGACAUAUGUGGGAUCAAUCAAGAGAAAACAGUCAUAAUUCAUACUUAGUAGAGUAUUUUACAAUGUGGCAGAAAUCUUGGGUAGGCAGUUUAGGUUCUCUUUGAAUGCAAUGGGCACAAAGUUGGCAAUUCAUCUUAUGAGUUUGCAUGUUGAAAAAGAACGAGCUACCCUGCUAUAAAGUUGUAGCCUGUAGGUGGUGAAUGAUGAACAGUGUAUAGUGCCAUCAUAUUAAGAUUUGGAUUUUGAGCAUUUAGAAAAAUGGAUUUGAUAAAGCAUCAAUAAGUUCACAAAGUAUCCAGAUCGCUUCUAUGGUAGGGUGUGACUGUACGACUGAGUGGUGUUUUAAACAACUUUAUGAUAAAUGGAACGACGCUGCUAAUCUACCGCAAGUCCGCAAUCUAGCUAGCAAUCUAGCUAACAACCGCUCGGAUCCCUAAUCCGAACCUCAAACUACAGUCACUCAAAAAUUUAAGGUGGGCGACAUCCUGCGUGUACCGUUAGUGCGGCCGCUGGUCAGCCACCUACUUCGCCGUCCGCCGCUGCCCGCAACUGCGACUGCUGCACACUCUGGCCCCAGACGGCCUCAACUGAGUGGUCGGAUACCGCUUGCGCUCGCGUAGUGGCCGAUUUCAUCCGCAACGGCGCGGUGCCACCGCGGUGGGAACCGCUUCGUAGCUUUGCGACUGUGGUGAUAUUUUGCCCGUUUAUGUUUAUAGCCGUUGUUGGGCAAGAAGGCCGAUGAGUCUUGGUUGGCUGGGCCGUUUUUGUUUUUGGGCCAUGGCACGAUAGUCCACUCUUCUUCUUUGGACAACCUUCUGGGCCGGGGAACAUGCAAGGUUAUUCAGUUUCUACACAUUACCAUAUACUCAUAUGAACAAUGUUAUCUGUAUACAACAACAACGUCAGGAGUGCAACUUAUUGUGAAGUCAAUAAUAACAUCAAUUACUUCAUCACAUGCUAAUGUAGCUUCCAAAAUAUCGAAAAAAUAGUUAAAGAUGACGCAAUACAACUAUACUGACAUAUUGUAAACACACAACUACAGCCGCAAUAUUAAUUUGGCUUGCAUAAAUUUUUUUAACGAACGGGCACAGACCGUGCACCGUUUCUUUUCUAUUAAUAUAAAAUAAGUAACAAACGGGCAGCCAUGGAAGGCUCCCUACACGCUAAGAAAAUGUACAAGUGUAAAAAAAACUAAAACUAAACAGAAAAUUUGGAUCUACACAUCUAGGAUGUGGUAUAAAUUCCCAAAGAUCUUUCUUCAAAUAAUUUAUCAAGAUGCACAACCCUUAACAGACUACCACAAUAAUACACGAGGUUGUAUUUCCUAAGACAUGAAAGAACAUGAUGUCAUGAAAGAAUUUGCAUCCUCAAACAGAACGAAUGUUGCAUGGAUGUAACUCACAUUCUCAGAUCUAGUGCCGCUCAAUUUGAUUGGGGAGGUGGUGACUACACUUUCAAGCUGCGGGCAACCCGUCCUGCUGCCCCCAUUGGACUCAUCCCUCCAGAAUGCAAACCAUUAUUGGUGAUACAGUUGCAUGGUUUCGGUGUGAGCUUUUUUUGAGCCCUUAUGAACAGGUAGGUGAGGGAACAAAGGACAUAUAUCACAUAUGGAUCGCUCCACAAUACUUGUAUUUUGGAUACCCAAUGGGUGCCCGCAGGUAAGGUUGUAUACCCGCACGCUACCUACAGGUGAGAAUUCAUACCCAAACUCUCGCCCGUGAGCAAAAAUUCAUACCCGUACCCUCACCCGUGAGCAAGAAUUCAUACCUAUACCCUCGCUCAUGGUUCUGGUGAGGUUGUGUCCGGCCAAAUACAUUCCGUUGCGCGACCACCCUGCACGAGACGACACUGCACCAGCGGACUUGGCGGCCUCAUCACUCAUGGGUGCAAUGAUCGUUGCACCUCGUUCCCUUGCCGCCGGGAUGCUCGUGAAGGACCGUGUCGCGAGCCGCCACCGACCAGUACUAGACAUUAGUCGUGGGGUGUGUUCACGUAAGUAUACGCUUGCCGCCUUGCCGGCUGUGGCUGACGUAGUCGAUCAGUGUUCGUCCGGUACACCGUACACGUCGCUUGUUUCAUCUGGGCAACGGUUUCUCAUAUGCUGGAGAUGCUGCCAUGCUGGCAUAGGCGAGCUAGCUUCUGAUCUCUGUGCAGUAGAUGUUCUGUGCGCGAUUCUCUUAUUGCAAGUGGUGCAAAAAUAACUAGCCAUAAACAUUCAACAAGAUGCAAGCUGUAUCCGGCAUUCCAGGGUGGAGAAUGGCCCUUGUACAGUCGUACUUUUGUACAACCACUGAUUUCAUAGUUCGGGACGCACGUCCCAUACUCCAAGUGCCUAAUUUUUUCCUUGCCUUAGUCGCUACCAAGUUAACGGCAGCGGCUCUCCGGUGGAACUUGCACAGGGCGUGGUGGACCAAUCUGGCUGUGAGGGCAUCAGGGCAGGGCAAUGGCAACGGAUCGUAGCGCGGCCAAAGGAAAACUUUCGGAUAGGAAGCUUGGGGCAGGAGCUACAGUAAUUGCUACUGACGCUUCACGCUCGUAUGCAUGAUGCUCGUAGGGUUAGGAAGGCCUUGCCCUGUUGUACUACCGGGAACACAUAAGAAUUUUCGGACUGCCCACGCCGCAGCCUCCUCUUUGAUUUUUGCCAAAAGACCUAUCUUCUUUGGCUGGAGCAAACAAAACCUAGUGAUUAUAGCGUGAGAAAAUCUUCUGUAUCUGUACUCUCUUUUCCAAUUAGCUAGACUCUACUCUACCUUCUUUAUUAAUGAAAUACAUACAAUCUCAUGCUUGUUUAUUUUAAAAAAAGAAUUAUGAGACUGCAUACUGUACUAGUGCGUCGCCCAUUCCACGAGCCUACGAAAAAUCAUGCUGGUUAUAUCACUACGGAAAACAGGAUGUCUCGUCAAAGCCUCAAAAAUACUCGGCAAAAGUUUUACCGAACACUCGGCAACCGACACUCGGCAUUGAUUUUAACGGCAAAGUUUCUUUACCAAGUGUUUUUUGUCGGGCACUCGGCAAAAGCUUUGCCGAGUGCUAGGUUGACACUCGGCAAAAAAAAAGUGACAAGGACGGCGAGAAGACGGUGACGGAGGCUUCGCCAAGUGCCACAACGGAAAAACACUCGGCAAAAAUCUAAGCUUUGCCGAGUGUUACGAAGAAAACAAUCGGCAAUAUUUUAAACUUCGCCGAGUGUUAAGCCAAACAACACUCGACAAUAUUUUAAUCUUUGCCGAGUGUCAACUCCAGUACACUCGCCAAAGUACUUUUCUUUGCCGAGUGUCACGGACAAACACUCGGCAAAGUACUGUGUAUAUGAUAGAUUUUAUGGUCGCUUUGCCGAGUGUCUAGUACAAACACUUGGCAAAGCUUUGCCCAGAAUGACAGAUUUGGCUUCUUUGCUGAGUGUAACACUCGGCAAAGAAGCCAUAAAAUCCUUGUUUUUAUGGUUCGGUCACGUAUAACGAACCCCCACUCAAACAAACAUCACAGGCAUAAUUCACAAUAAGCAUCACAGGCAUAAUUCACAAUAACCAUCACUGGCAUAAUUCACAAUAAGCAUCAAGUAAGCCACAAAUGCAAAGGCAAGUAACAAGUAAGUCACAACUAAGUCACAAGUAGUCACUGCGGAGGCCCUGGGAACCACUAUGACAAAUCCGGGUCUUGAGGGUGAUUAUUCGGUGCCGCCAAUUGAUUCUGCACAAAGAAGAAGAGAUUGCAUGUGUGAGAUAAGAUUGAUCUAACAUAUCAUUUUGAGCUAACAUAUCAUUUUGAGCUAACAUUUAGAGCUAACAUAUCAUUUUGAGCUAACAUUUAGAGCUAACAUAUCAUUUUGUGCUAACAUAUCAUAGCAUAUUUCACUUUGAGCUAAUAUAUCAUUUGGCAUUUGGACAUUUACGAUAAAAACAAGUUCUCUAAGUCAAAGUAUUCAAUCUGCAGUAUAAGGUGUCAAGUGACUCAUAGGAGUAGCUGUGGGUGGUUGAGGUGGAGGGAAUAACAUUGGUGGUGGUGGCAAAGGUUGACCCAUACUCGAUGCAAAACCCUGCAUGUAUUGGAACAUCUGCUCCAUCCUCAACGAUUGUUCUUCCUCCAUCCUUUGCCGCUCGGCCACCAACCUCUGCUGAAUCAUCUGCUCCAUCCUCGCCUCCAACUCCCGCCGUCACUUCAUUUCCGCUUCCACCCGGGCCUAUAAUAUUUCAUCCCAAUGUUAGAUUGCAAAGCAAAAGUACGUAAAAAUCAAUGAACGAUGAAUAAAACAGAAAUUACCUCGAGUGCCUCCAUCUGGAAGUGUGCAGUGUCCGGCCUUGGGCGUAUCGCCGGGGUCGAGCUCGUGCUCCUUGCACGAAUCUGGGAGUGUGGGAGUACUGGCCGUGUCGAUUGUGCUAUCGCCAAUCCAGUAUCGACCAUGCUUCUUGCCUCCUCCCACCCUCAUGACGACUUCUCCAUCAAGAUCCUGGGAGCUCGGAUCAUACUCUGGCCCAUGGACCUCCCUUGCCAUCGUUGUGUAUUCACUGAGGCAGCUGUGGAUGGUUGCAUUGCUAUAUGACGAGGGUGGGUCCUUCGGGUUGUAGUCGAUGUCGGACAUCGCCUUGCCCUUGUGGGACAAAGCCCAUGCCUUGAACUGGGAGCAAGGCUGGCCACCAUGUGACAACGAUUGUGGAAAAAAAAGCAAAAUGAGUAGAAAUUAUAUAGAAUUGAGCGUUAUAAUAAAGAAAUGAAUUGACGUACCAUCUAGCCGCGUAUUGGUCGAGGCUGAGACUCCCUUGAUGGUGUGGUGCACCUAGCAUCAGCAACCACCAGCCCCGGCAAGCGUUGUGCAUCUCCUCCCACUCGGGGUCGCACCACUUGUCCACCAUGUGUUCCCAGUGUUCCCAGCACUGGCGAUGCUGGGUGCACCACCACGGAGGCACCUACAUCAUGAAGUGUAUGACAUAUAAGAAGAUGAAAUUAAGUGUAAUUAAUAUAAAAAAAAUAAGUACUAUUGUUCUAUAUUUACAUGCAAGUAUUGAUCACGGGUCAGCUUCAUAGUUCUUGCCUCAAUUUUAGUGAUCCUCAUCCUUCUAUAGCUAGCGUAGUAGUCAAUGAUGGCCUGGACGCGCGCCUUGUAGUGCAUGUCCUUCACGAGUUUCUUGGUGGCUUCAUGAGCCACAGUAGCCACCCUGGGCUCAUAUCCCUCCUAGCAUCUGAAGAAGUCCUGCAUAUAGACACGAUGUAUGCAGUCAUUAUUUCAAGAAUGUCUAGUGAAUGUGAUGUAUUGAGCAAUGUAGUGCAAGGAAGACUUACCCACAGCUCGGCCUUGACCUGCUCCGCCUUGUUGGGGAAUACCCUGCCAUCCCGAUCAAGGGCGUCACGGGCAGUGAUGUAGUGCUCCCACGUGUAGGCCGGCUCUGUCCUUCCUCCGACCUCCAGCAGGCCAGGGAAGUGUAGCCUGCACAAAAGACCAAGGAUGCCGUUGGGAUUAAGAUAAAUUAUUAGUAAAAGCCCUGCCCAAGUGAUUAAGAUAAAUUAUUAGUUUCUAUUGUAUUUUUCAACAUAUCAAAUGAAAAAUUAGUGAUAACAUCUAAAGUUACUUACCUUUUCCUAGAGGGUGAAAUAACUAGACGUCUCUCAAGAGGUAUCGGUCACCUCAGGAGGGUUGAGGGACCUCGCAACCAGACACCCGAUGAACCAGAGGAACCGGAGCCUCGUGCCUCCUCCUCCACCUGGUCCUGCUCCACCAGUACUCCUCCUCAUCACCACAGGCAUGCACGGAAGGUACCUCCUCCUCAGACGACGACGACGACAAAGCUAUAGGCAACGGUGACCUCGCUCGAGCCUUUCCUCAACCCCUGGCUCCACCCUUCCCUCAACCCCUGCCUCCACCCCUCCCUCGACCCCUCCCGGAUUCCUGAGCUGCAUCGCACCCUUGAGAAGCAUCGGGCAAUCUUGCGUAAAGCGACAUUACCCUCCGCACACCGCCCACCAUUGUUCAAUCACCUACAAUUAAAAAGAGUAAACCAAUUAGCAUAGAUAAACAAAAUGUACUUAGAAAGAGAUGUAAAAUAAAGAAAACAUACUUAGAAAAUAACAUGGUAUGACGAAUAAUAAAUCUAUUAGUACAGAACAUACAUGUAUUAGAAAUAAUCAUCGUGAUCGGGAUUAGCUGAAUCAUAAGUCUCAUCAUCGCUAUCACGCGUGUUGAUAUAAUCAUGCCCAUGCUCCGAAGAAGGAAUGUUUUCAUCAUUUUCAUUGCCUAAAUAUAAUCGCUAAAGUAAUUCUAAGUCCUUCACAUUCUGAACCUCGUCUCUAGCGUCCUCAUCAGCAACCCCUUCAUUGCCUACUUCCAUUCCGAUCGCUUCGGUUAAGUCUAUCUCAAAACUCCCUUCGAGCCCAUCUUCUUGAAAGAACUCUCCGUCAUAUGUGUUGGGGUCUAUGUUGUAAUCUUCAUUGUUUGGGAUAAGUACUUUACCGUGUGGCGAUACCUUGUACACAAUAUCCCAACCCUUAAGACGUUCGACGGUUUAACACGGGUAUGAGAGAUAAUAAACUUGCGUGGCCUAUUGAGCCAAAAUAUAGACAUCAUCUCCUGGUAAGACGGAUGAUUGUCGAAUUUCGACUAGCCCAAGAUUAGGGGUCCAUCUCACUACUUCAUGAUCAAACCAAUGGCAUUUGAAUAUGAUGGGAUUAAGAGGUUUGCAACCAUGAAACAUGAGUUCGUAUAUUUCUUCAAUUCUUCCAUAAUACUCGACCCCAUCAAAACCUGGCGUAAAAACUCCGGUAUUUGUAGUUCUUCGAUUGGGCCGACUCUGCUCGUGGCUUGUUGUGUGAAAGUGAUAUCCAUUCACAUCAUAACCGGUAAAUGACCUGACCCUAUAGGUAUAGCCAUCGGCAACCUGUCUCAACUCGGCACUCAUUGAUGCAUCGGUUUGGCCCUGCAAGUUCAAGCAGGGUAGUUCGUUAUAUUAUUCGCACCCACGAGCAACUUGUAAUGUCAAAGUAGGUAUGAGCUAAAUUGGACAGAACCUUGUGUUUGAACCAAGAAAUGAAAUCGGGCAUUCCAUUUCCCGCACCCUUCUCUCAAAGUUUCCCGCGGGGUAGGUUCCCUUGAUUCACGCCAGAAUUGAUGAUGAAAUUCCCUGUACCAAAAAGAAAUGGGAAUUGGACACAAAAUAGUGACUACUUGAGAACAAGUAUGUUGAGAACUUAUAGGAUGUACGGGUCCACUUCGGUUAGGUUCGUCAACACAUAUAGCAUGAUAGUGCGUCACUCUUCAUGUUUCAAGGUCUUGUGGGUCGCACCACUUGCACUUCCGAGUUGCCCUUGGAAAAUGCUAAGGUUCAAUUCAUCUUCGCCAGCAUUGUAACGAGGGGGUGGAUUAUGCACGCUAGGAAGGUUGUGAACAUAGUAUUUUGUUGUGAAGUUUGACACCUCCUCCAGAAUGUAUGCCUUUGCAAUGGAUGCUUCAAUUUUGCAUUUAUUUUUACAUUUAGUUCGAAGAACCUUUUGACAUCUCUCAAUUGAAUAGCCCCAACGGCCCUGCACAGCCCCCCCCACUCGUGCUUCAUACGGAAGGUGCAAAAUCAUAUGCUGCAUUGGAUUGAAGAAGCCGGGUGGAAAGAUCUUCUCCAACUUACAGAGCAAGACAUGCGCCAUUCUUUCCAUUUCUGUAACCACGGUACAAGAUAACUCCUUAGCACAAAGUUGGUGGAAGAAAUUGCUCAACUCCGCUAGCACUUGCCAGACAUACUUAGGGACAUAGCCUUGAACCAUCACCGGAAGUAGGCGCUCAAGCCAUAUGUGGUAAUCAUGACUCUUGAGCCCGUUGAUUCGCAUAGUAGCUAAGUUCACUCCCCUCUUCAGAUUUGCUACAUACCCAUCAGGGAACAUUAAUGUUUGGAACUAUUCUAGUACUUCCCUCCCUUGGGCCCUCAUCAGGACGAAAUCGGCCUUAGGCUUUCUCCAUGACUUGCCGCCUCUGGGAGGCGCCAUGACUAGCUUUGGUCUAUCGCAUAACCUCACUUGAUCCACUCUAGCCUUAACGUUAUUCUUUGUCUUAUCAGGAAUGUCCAUGAUUGUACCAAAAAUUGCCUCGGCGACAUUCUUUUCAGUGUUCAUUACAUCAAUGUUAUGUGGAAGAAGAAGAUCAUCAAAAUAGGGGUUGUUCCACAAGCACGACUUCUGAGUCCAGGCAUGUUGCUCACCAGAUCUUACAAAACCACCUUCUUGUUGAUUGACCUCGAGAGCAUCUAACUGAGCAUGAACUGCGGCACCUGUCAUCAUCUGCGGUGCAGGUUCUUGAACUACGACAUCUUUCCUAAAAUUCUUGAUGUCUCGUCUGAAUGGAUGGUUAGGAGGGAGGAAUUGUCGAUGUUUGUCGAACGAAGAAAACUUGCCACCCUUCGUCAACCAAAUGAACUUCAAAGACGCCUUGCAUACUGGGCAUGGGAACUUCCCGUGAACACACCAACAGUAGAAUAUCCCAUACGCCGGCAAGUCAUGCAGGGAGUACUGGUACCAAACAUGCAUUUUGAAGUUUGUCUUUGUAGCUCAGUCAUAUGUCCAUACCCCUUCCUCCCAAGCACAGACCAAAUCAUCAAUCAGAGGCUCCAUGUACACACUCAUAUUAUUCCCCGGGUGUUCAGGAAUUAUCAACAAUAAGAAUAUGUUCUGUCGUUGAAAGAGGAUGCCAAGGGGGAGACUUAGGGGGAUAAUGAACAUGGGCCAACAGGUGUACGGGGCAGACGCCAUUCCAUAAGGGUUGAACCCAUCUGUUGCCAGUGCAACACGUACAUUACGAGCCUCUAGAGCUUUCUCACGAUGAAUCACAUCAAACCUUAUCCAGGCUUCACCAUCGUAUGGAUGUACUAGCUUCUCAGGGUUAUAUCGACGUCCAUUUUUGUGCCAUGUCAUCUGUUUCGCGGAUUCCUCAGUCAUGUAAAGCCAUUGGAUCCUCGGUAUGAACGGAAGGUACUGUAGGAUCUUCACGGGGAUUGCGAGCUGCCUCUUCUGACCAUCACCAGAGUCUACCUCCAAGAACCUAGAGGAUUCACACUUUCACACAAUACUUUGCUUCCGCAUGUUCUUUCCUAAAUAAGAUGCAUCCCUUCGGACAAGCAUGUAUCUGCUCUAUGGCAUCUUAAGUGCACGAAGGAGUUUCUGUGCCUCAUACAUGCUCUUUGGCAGAAUGUGACCAUCUGGGAGCAGGCUCCCAAGAACUAUCAGGAUAACAUCGAAGGCUUCUCGACUCCAGCUAAAAUGGGACUUUAUGGCCAUUAGGCAUGCAAUGGCAACCAAUUGAGAAACCUUGGUAUGCCCGUGAAGGGGUUGUUGUGCCGUAGACAACAUGCGGUAAUACGUCUUUGUGGUUGCCUCUGGCUCCUCCUCCCUACGUCCUUCAUCGAAGUGUGCUUCAUGAUAGUCAUUUAACAUGUCUCCUACCCCGGCAUCAUCAUCAUAAUCCUCGAUGCGUUGUCUCACGACCUCCUCUUUCACACGAUCGGCUUCACCAUGGUAUAUCCACCGGGUAUAGUGUGCCGUAAAUCCAUUCUUGCAAAGAUGUUUACCCAUAACCUCCUUUGUUUGUUGACGCAUGUUUGCACAAAUGCUGCAGGGACACCAAGUGAGACUCGCUCCUUUAACCUUGGCAAAUGCUAGUUCCAAGAAAGCAUUGGUCUUCUCAAUCCAUUCAUCGGUAAACGAACUCUGACUAGAGCAGCCCGCGUACAUCCACUCACGGUCAUCCAUCGUCUAACAUAUCAGCGAGUAAAAUAAAAAUCAAUUGCAUCUAUAGUUUCCUAUACUGUCUAAUAGGUGAAGAUAGGUCCUAAUCCUAACCGAGGAUGUGUAGAUGGGGUUAGUUUCCAUGCUCUACUCGUAUCCGAGAUAGAAUUUUGGCAGCACCUCCCGUUGUUCUCCAAAUACACGUCCUGGCAAGGAGAUUGUGUAUCCGGAGAACAACAGAGAGAUGCUGCCGAAACUCUAUCUCGGAUCGGAGUAGACCAUGGAAACUAAGCCCAUCUACACAUCCUCGGGCUAGCCAAAAAACAUGGACAAUUCGAAACAUAUAUGGUUAUAGAUAUGCAAGGAUCUGCAUAUUGCCAACCUUAUCUCUUUCGAACGGGAGAUGCCUAGGUUACGUGAUAUACGAACAUGAUACAGCAAGAGGGGUCUUUUGUUGCUCACCUUACAAGAUAUGCAAAGUGACGAGUUGAGGAUGGUGCAAUAGCCCCUCCUGCAAACCAAGGAACAUUAUAGUGUCAAAUCUAAAUUUCGGCAGCACCUCCCCUGCACGGUGAGGUUUCCAAAACCUGCAACAAAUAAAACGGCAUGAUGGCCGACAACCACAUACACACCAAACAAAUGGCACGAUUACCAACAACCACAUACACAUCUUAUACCUUGCAAAACCACGGCAAGUCAAAGAUGUGGGGUAGCAGGAGGGCAAGGCCAACGGCGGCGCCAGGGCGGGGCAGUGAGUGGCGGAGCCUAUUUUAACACAUCAAUUAGCAAUAGGACCAGACCAGUUAAUAAUUAGUUAUGAAAAUGGAAAGUGGGGAACUAUUUUUAUAAAUGAAUGGUGCUAACAUGAUCAAGUGGUACACAUGCAGCAUAUACGGACAUAAGAAAUUAGUUAAUCAGUACAGGCAUAAAUGAUGUACAAAGUGAACAAAAUGAUUUGUUUGAAGUACAUGUUGCAGUUACUAGUUAUAAGAAAUUUGUUUGAAGAAUGUUUACCAGCAGGAGAGCAGGUGCAGCGCAGGGGGCAGGACGCAGGGCAUCGGCCACCGGGGGGCAGGCGAGGCGCAGGGCGUCGGCUGCCGGGGGGCAGGGGUGGCGCAGGGAGAGCCGGUGGUGGGGUCCCGAGGGGGCGCGGUCGGGAGUGGGGGCAAGGCGAGCCAACGGCAGGGGUGGGACGCCAGGGGGCUGGCAAGGGCGCUCAUGGGGCCGGCGGCGGCCGCGGGGGCAAGGGAGGCCGGAGGCGUGGGUGGCAUCGGCGGCGUGGGGCAGGCACGGACGGUGGUGGCGGGGGUGGUGUGGGCCGGCGGUGGGGCAAGGGGUGCCGGCGGGAUGGUGCGACUGUGUGUGUGAUUGUGUGAGUGGAGUGUGUGUGUGAGUGCGUGAGUGCGUGGCCGGUGGGGUGGUUGUGCCAAAACUUUGCCGAGUGCCCUAGAUCUAACACUCGACAAAGUCAAGGUUUGCCGAGUGCUAGAUCUAGGGCACUCAGCAAACCCCUUUUGUUUUUUCUUUGCAAUUUUUUGAAACGGUAAAGUGGGACUUUGCCGAGUGUCGUAUAGGCGACACUCGGCAAACCCAGUUUAUAUUUCAUGGACAAUUUUCCCUUCUUUUCCUUAAUGUGUUUUACUAAAUUUGUUUCGAUGUACUUUGAAAAUACCUUGUCAAAUUCACUCAGCAAUGCAUAUUUUAUUUUUCUACAAAUAUUAUUCCAUUAUUUCAUGCAGUUAUAGCUCAAAUUCAAUUUGUAUCAAUUAAAAUUCUAUAAUUACAGUUAAUAAAUUAAAAUUAUCAAAUGUAUCCGAAAAAUUACCAAAAUUUGACAUGAACUAAUCUAUGUUGUAUAUUGCUUAUACAAAAGUUUUUGAAGUUAAAUCCCAAUUCGACCGUCACUUUGACUCCAAAUCUUACCGGAUCCUUCUCAAUGCUAUGAUUCUUCUUCGGAGAUACUUCCGUUUGUAAGCAUCGUACGUGGCAAAAUGUGCGAAAUCUUCUCAAUUUUUUACCAUGGCCUCCACAUAUGAUAUCAUCAGGUCUUGACAAAUCUCAUGAUUUUCAGACUUUGUUUGCUUUUUAUAGAAUUUAAAAACCAUUCGGCCACACAUUCGUGGUCAUGUUUCCUGAACAAGAUGAUCGAAAUUUCCUUUCAUUUCCCGAGUAAGGCCUCACACUAGACUCAAAAAUAUGAAUAUUAUUUUCCCACUCAUUUUAUUCUAUUAUUUCAAUCACUUGCAGUUCAAAUUUGACUUAUACCAAAAAAUUCCUGUAAAUGCAAUAAAUUAAUUAAAUAUAGCAAACAGAUCGAAAAAUAUACUAAAUUUUAAAAUAUAGUAACACAUGUUGUGUGAGGAGAGUAGGAAAAUUUUGGAUGGUAGGAGGUCAAAAAAACUUAUUAUUUUACCGAGUGCCUUGUAGGAACACUCGGUAAACAUGUGACUUUGCCGAGUGUUUCUACAAGACACUCGGCAAACAAGUGUCUUAUCGAGUGUCACUAACGGACACUCAGGAAAGUGCUAACGGUCGACACGCCAUCUGACGACUGUCGUACGUGGCGGUCACGUGGUGGCGUUUUGUCGAGUGUCCAUUCUUUGCCGAGUGUCGCGUUGCUGUUUGCUGAGUGUUUUAUUUUCGACACUCGGCAAAUCUUUUUUUUGCCGUGUAAUUUUUAUGCCGAGUGUUUUUAGCUCAGCACUCGGCAAAGGUGUUGUUUGCCGAGUGCCCGAAGGAAUGCACUCGGCAAAUAUAAAAACACUCGGCAAAUUCAAGGUUUCCGGUAGUGUAUAAAACUGUUACACAAUUUCCCAAAAGGGAUUUGGAUAAACAUAGAUCUAUAACUUGAAUUUUUAGAUCAUAAUAGAACUUCUUCAUUAUAUAGAUCAAUAUACAAGCGAACGAGCCUCUAGCUGAGUUGGUUAUAGCAUCUUCAGCAGAUUUCCUUUCUACUUUCUCCUUUUCUCUUUUAAGCCAUAAAGGGGGUUAAGGGGAGAAAAACUAGCUCCAGCUGACCCUCUUUCCAUUCCCCAUUCCCCUUUAUUUUUUUUUCUCAACUCCUUUAUUACUCCCCCUCUCCCCUUUACAAAAGUUAAUUCACCCCUCUCCUUUUCCUUCUUCCUUUCCUCACUUCCUCUCGUGCUGCACGAUCCGCAAGCCACAGGAUUCCCUGGCUGCUCGAUCCGCCAUGCCGGCCGCCUCGGCAUUCACGCCACCACCGAUUGUCCUAUGCGCGCCACCAACCUAGCGAUGCCAUCUGCAAGCUCCACGCGUGCAGCCGGCCUGGCAGCGCCAUCCAUCGCUGGCCGCCCUCUGCCCCGCGACGUCGUCCCGACCACGCGUAGUCGCGCCACUGGAGGCCACCGCCCGCCCCUGCCCAGCGCGGGCUCACACGCUGAUGUCCGCACCUUUCUGCCCACACCAUCGUUGCUCCACCCCGGCUGCCGCUGCAUGGGCUCGCCCCGCCAUUGCUCUACCCCAACCACCGCUCUACCCUGUCGCUUCCAGCCCGUAGGCCAUCAUCGUCGUACCCUGCCCAGGGGCAUCCAAGCCCACCACCCAGGGAGGAGAGGGAAAAAAAUCAUUAACCCGUUGACAAGUAGGCCCCAUGCGUAAGAAAGAUUGAAAGGGGAUCUACUAAAGCAAAUCUCUCUAAAAUCCUAAAACUAUAAAAGGAGAAUCCCGGCCCCUGUAUGGGAAUAAAGGGGAAAAAGGGAAAUCAAUCUGCUAGAGAUGAUCUUAGGUGGUUCUAGUAGCACUCCUCAUGUCCAUGGGUUUGACUCCCCGUAGGAGCGAAUUUAGGCUGGAGUUAACAAAACCCCCCUCGGAGUUUUCUCUUAGCAAAAUGCCCGGGGCUAUCUUAACAACCCCCCUGCCCCCCCUCCCCCCCGAUCGAGUUUUAAGCGAACGGGUCUCUAGCUGAGUUGGUUAGGUGGUUUUAGUAGGACCCCUUAAGUCCCGUGUUCGACUACCCAUUGGAGCGAAUUCAUGGCUAGGGUUAAAAAUAAUCAAUCUAUCACAUACCAACUACGGUGCCGCUGUAUAAGGGUGGGGGCGUGGGGCAAGGCUUCGGAGGUUUCAAAGAUGGAGCUGGGGUUUUGAUAUUUUCUUUACGUGCGUGAGAAUAUAUUCGCUUAGCAAAAUGUCUGGGGCUAUCUUACCUUUGCAGGCCGAGUGUUUUUUUAUAGAUCAAGACAAUUCAAGUCAUCUGAUAGUGGGUUCAAUAGCUAGCAAAGUUUUUUUUUUUGGAAAUAGAAAUAGCUACCAAAGUUUGUGCUCACAAAGGAAGACAUGGUUAGCACUAAUGAACACUAGAAUCACUAGGUUAGCACUAAUAAAAAUAGAAUCACUUGGUAGUUUAUUUCUCAAAGUAACAACCUACAAGGACAUCUAUCUUCUCAGCCAGUCAGCCUGAUUCCUGAAUCCACUGACGAUUCCGAGCUCCCUGUCUCCCUGGCAGACCGCCACUGCCUGGCACGCAGGUACCACCGUUCGGUGAAGCAUUAGUUGUCUCCGUUUCAGCCAUUCUCGAGACCAUCGAAACAGUUAGGUCAGGCAUAAGAGGACAUCAAGCAAACGCCUUCCUGGAUCGCUUGGCUUCGUGCCGAAGCCAGCUAGCUAAACAGUAAACACCCUUGGCGUCGUCGAUCGGGGGCUCAUCCCUGCACAAUAUGGCAGUGCUGUUCGAUCUCCAUCCCACGCUGGCCGGACGCCUGUGAGGCGAUGAGUCGUGUCACAAGCUUCGUCGAUCGGGCCGCUAGCUCCAGUUUUUCAGACGAGUGGCACACGCUCACGUGUGCACGUACGAGUACAGCGAGCAGCGGAUGGAAUUUUGCAAUUCCUUCGGUUGGGUUGGGUGGUUUUGUGCGGGAUGGGCAAUGGCGACAACUGGACGAGCUGUUUGUGUUGGCUUCGUGCGAACUGCUCUCAAGUGCAUUACAUUCAUCUCCUGAAGUAGCUAACCCAUCUUUUGUGUUGGCUAAUUUUCAAGCACUUGCACAGCCAACCACCUUGCUGAUGGUGAUUUAGCAGAGUUUGAACUUGGAAAUUUCAAACUUGGAAAAAAAAUACACGAAGAAUUAUGACUGUUCGUAGAAUAUCCCGCAGUUAUCUCGUCCUCAAAUGAACCAUUUUUUUUAAAGGGAGGUCCACAUAUUUUCUCCUUCGUCUUACUAUAAUUAAUUACUAUAAUUAAUUGGGGGAAUCCACCUAGGAUUUCUAGGUGGAAACUCUAGAAAAACAAGAGAAAUCCUAGAAAUUCUCAUAAAACAGCAAAACAUCUGGCCAUCAAUCGGUAGACUCAAAUCAUCAUAGCCAUUGGAUCUAUUAUGUUUUCUAAAAAAUUACUCACCUAUGCCAUUACAAAAAUAGCUUAAAGUAACCCUCUAAAUCUAUAUCUAAAUUACCUACCUAUGUCAUUAUAUAAAAUUAAGUAAAGUAACCUCUAAUCUUCAUCAAAAUACCAACUCAUACCAUUAUAAAAUAAUAUUUAAAAUCACCCCUAAAUUUGCAACUAAAUUGUCCAACACUAACAUUUAAAAAAACUUGAAGUGAUCCCAUCUGUAUUAUCCACAUAUGCCAUAAUGAUCUUACUAUUACUAAUUGGAUGCUCCUUUUAAAGUCUCCAGGUGAAGCCAUUCCUAGGUGGACACUCUAGGAAAAGAGAGAAAUCUUAGAAAUUCUCAUAAAAAUACAAAACAUCUCGCUAUCAAUCGGUAGACUCAAAUUAUCAUAGCCAUUGGAUCUAUUAUGUUUUCUAAAAAAUUACUCACCUAUGCCAUUAUAAAAAUAGCCUAAAUUAACCCUCUAAAUCUAUAUCUAAAUUACCCACCUAUACCAUUAUAUAAAAUUAACUAAAAUAACCCCCUAAUCUUCAUCAAAAUUACCAACUCAUACCAUUAUAAAAUGAUAUUUAAAAUAACCUCUAAAUUUGGAACUAAAUUGCCCACCAAUAACACUUAAAAAAACCUUAAAGUGGUCCCUUAAAUAUUCAUCUGUAUUAUCCACAUAUGCCAUAUUUAAAAAUAACAUGAGGUAACCCAACAUUUAAAUCCAAUCACCUUAAUUAAAAAUAUACAACAAUAUAAGUCUAAAUAAUCUAUUUCUUACACUAUUUUUUGACGGGAAUAUUUCUUACACUAUUGGUAUAUGAUAUAAUAACUAAGAUAUAUACGCAUGAUGUGUGUCAUCAUUUAUAAAAAUAUAGAUAAAGUGAUGAGAAUAUAGAUUUCUAUGUUAAAAUUAUAGCGCAAACUUAGGUUCCAUUAAACAAAUUCAAGCGCAUACCUAUGAUGCAAAGUGAAAAGUUAAAGAUUAUUAAUAUGGAUGAAAAUAUUAUAGAGUAAUUACUAGCUAAAAUCUAUCACAAUCGGACGAAGAUAAUAGGUAUAUAUCUGUAUAAGUAUUGUGUUUGAAUAUUUAACAAAUGAGAUGUAGCUCAUGGUAAUAGUUUUGUAGCAAUAUGAUCUCAUUUUUUUCAUUGGAGACUUCGCAUUAGUUUCCACGAGACACUAGAAAAAAGACAAAUCUUAGAAAUUCUAAAAAAAAAUCAAAAACAUACAUUCUGGAAGCGCCAUCAUCACAGAGGUCCAACUCGGACUUGGAAACGAAAAUUCAGCACUGUAGACCAUUCCUCGAGCUGAAUUUUAUCAUCAUCGAAACCACACGAGACAGGUCGCACAUCAGCCUGGAAUAUCUCUGUCCGUUUCCUGGAGAAAAGUACUCUGGAUUCGAGGCUGGACACGCCGCAACAAUCUUGUACAGCUCAGACAGCGACGGCGGCGCUGGGCAAGAAGAUGGAAACUGAGAAGUGGCAGUGAUUGGCGAGUAUGACGGACUCAGGGUCUUCGCCCAACGGCGGUCAAGCUGAGAUAAGGCGCCUCAACGCGAGUGUGUGGAUGUAAUGGUGCUGUAAAACUGUUUUUAAACCCCUGGGGCCUCAGCCAGCUGAGCAUCCAACUAAUAAAUUUCAGAGUUCAAACAUCCAAUACCAAGAAGAGAACAAAGCAUAUCAGGAGGACUGCCGGCAGAGCAGAGGUACCCUUCUCUUUUGAGCUCUUUUAGCAUGUUAUUACUUGCUGUAACUCUGUCAGGGUUCUGUCUUGAACGGGUGUCCGCGCCAUGCGUUUUUUUUUUGAAAAAACAACGAAAAUUUGCAUAUUAGCUGCUAGCACAUGUUUGCUCGCUGUAAGAGAAUUCGAUGGGGUUAUAAGCUUGCUCAUAGUAACUCUGAUUAUCGCAUGAACGCAACGUCGUUGCUCUAGUAAUACGCCAGAAAAUUUGUGCUUUAUUUUUGCAGGUGACAAUUAAGUGCCUCAAAAUGUGGCAAUCCAAGCUGCUGCCGAAACUCGCCAUGCUUAUAGUGCUGCCGUUGCUGCUCCUGUGUUAUGCAGCGGGCAACGUCCAUUGCUCGACUAUUCACGAAAACAGCGAAGAUUUUCACUCGCUGCUCGACUUCAAGAAGGGCAUCACCGAUACAACAGCCUUGAGCAAUUGGACCAGCAACACCCACUUCUGCCGGUGGAAUGGUGUGAACUGCACCUUGACGCGGCCAUAUCGUGUCACGGAGCUCCUCCUCCCCGGCAAGAACUUAACUGGCCAAAUCUCCUCCUCUCUUGGAAACCUGACCUAUCUUAAUACGCUUGUUCUAACCAAUAACAGCUUCCAUGGCCCCAUACCUCUUCUUAACAAACUACUAAACCUGACGUACCUCUCCUUGGGAGGCAACCUUUUGCAAGGUGCGAUUCCUGACGCACUUACAAACUGUUCUAAUUUAGUUGCACUAGAUCUCGCUAAAAACAACCUCACCGGUGUCAUUCCUCCUAGAAUAGGCUUUCUUACCAAACUAGAAUCUCUUUUCCUGAACGGAAAUUCUCUCUCCGGGGUCAUCCCACCAGGCCUCGGCAACAUCACCGAUUUAUCAGUAAUUGCUCUUUCACAAAAUCAACUGAACGGGUCAAUUCCCACUAAGUUUUGGCGAAUGCCAAACAUAGCGUUGUUGUACAUGUUCGAAAAUAAUCUGUCGGGUGGAAUCCCGCAAACUCUUUUUAAUUUGUCUUCUCUUCGACAACUAUCCUUGGAGGGCAAUACGUUGGGCAACACAUUACCAUCUAACUUUGGCAACGCGCUCCCUAAUAUCCAGUUUCUGUACUUGGGAGGCAACAUGUUUGAAGGAAACAUUCCAGCUUCUCUAGCCAAUGCUUCAGGUCUAAUAGAUUUGGAUCUGUCGUCUAAUAUGUUCACUGGCCAAAUCCCAAGCAUAUUCGUGAACUUCUCAGUUCUAUCUACUCUAAACCUUGAGGAAAACAUGCUUGAAGCAAGCGAUACUACUGGAUGGGAAUUCUUCGAUGCCCUAACAAACUGCAGUUCCCUGAAAGUGCUUUCAUUGGCUGGUAAUAAUCUGCAGGGAGUCGUACCAAAUUCAGUAGCUAACCUGCCCACCAACCUCACAUAUCUAAUAAUGGGUGGUAACCACCUAUCUGGAACAGUCCCCGCGAGCAUUGGAAAACUUAAUAGCUUAAUUCAUCUCGCGCUUGAUGGCAACAAUCUUACCGGUACGAUUGAUGAAUGGAUUGGAAAGUUGACAAACUUACAACGUCUGGAUCUCCAAUCAAACAGCUUCGUCGGGAUAAUUCCACCUUCCAUUGGCCAACUUACACGGUUGAAGAAUUUAUAUCUUGCUGAAAAUCAAUUCACUGGGUUUACCACCUAGCUUUGGAAACCUUAAAUCAUUGUUGGAGCUGCAGCUUACUACAACAAUUUCAAAGGGAUACCUAUACCACAGAGUUUGGGAAAUCAUAUGAAUCUCGUACAUUUGGACCUUAGUAAUAACAAUCUCCAAGGUGGGAUACCUUUGGAGAUUGGUAACCCAAAACAACUUGACAUCCUUCCUGUCAUCAAAUAAACUAACUGGUGAAUUUCCAGCUACUUUAGGCCAAUAUCCAGUCUUAACUAAGCAUCAAAUGGACCGAAACUUUCUUGUAGGAGAUAUUCCUAUUAUUUUGGUCUCUCUAGAGUGCAGGGACACGCUAAAUCAUUCCCAUAACAACUUGUCAGAUCACAUCCCUUUGGCUCUAAGUGAUCUACAGUUUCUUAGUGUGCUAGACCUUUCAUAUAAUCAUCUCGAAGGAGAAGUACCAAGAAAGGGAGUAUUUGAAAAUGCUACAGCUGUUUAUCUUGACAGCAAUUGGGGACUUUGUGGAGGAGCAAAGGAUCUCCAUAUGCCUUUGUGCCAUAUUGGUUCACUAAGAACAGAGAAUCGGUACUAUUUGGUCAGAGCAUUGAUACCAAUGUUUUCCUUCAUGUCAACUCUACUGUUGAAUUACUUCAGAAGAAGGGAUCAAGAAGGGUAUAGUUAUGGCUGCCAACCUUUGGGAAGAAAUUCCCUAAUGUUUAUUACAGGAGUCUAGCUCAGGACACAGGGAAGUUCUCUGAGUCUAACUUGAUUGGAUAUGGAGGCUGCAGUUUAGUCUACAAAGGGAGGUUAGUCCAAGUUAAAUGGAGGUGGCUAUCAAGAUUCUUACACUGAAGAGCAAGAUGUGGAGAAAAGCUUUCUAGCAGAGUGUGAACUUCGGAGAAGUAUUCGCCACCAAAUAUUCUACCCCUCAUAACCGCAUGCUCAACGAUUGAAAAUAAAGGCAAUACCUUCAAAGCUCUAAUUUAUGAAUUUAUGCCUAAUGGAAACAUGGACACUUGGCUGCAUCAUCAAGGGGACGGCAGAACUCCAGAAUGUUUAGGCUUAUCUCAAAGAAUAAAUACAGCUAUUAACAUAGCCGAUGCAUUGGCCUACUUACACCAUGACACUGGAAGGCCCAUUGUCCAUUGUGAUUUAAAGCCUAGUAAUAUCCUGCUAGAUGUUCAUAUUAAUGCUUGGGUGAUUUUGGCAUCGCAAGGUUACAUAUUGAUUCAAGGUUUAGAUCAGUUGGCGAUUCAAGCUCAGUCUGUUCAACGAGUGCAAAAGGAACUAUAGGGUAUAUGGCUCCAUGUAGAACUUUUAUCCAUCUAGAAUUUUUACAAAUUAUAUUAACAUGAACCAUAUUUUGCGAGUUGUUAUGCACUGAUUUUCACUUUUAUGUCUAUGAUUAGAGCAUGCAGGAGCUGGUAAUACAUCAACUUUUGGAGAUGUUUAUAGUUUUGGAAUAGUACUUCUUGAGAUGCUGACAGACAAAAGACCAACAGAUCACAUGUUCGGGAAUGACUCAUCAUUAUUAGCUUUGUGGAAAGGUACUUUCCCAACUAGAUGUUGUCGAUACUCAUUUGCUAGAAGAAUCCAAGGCGUUCAUUGAAGCAACUGCGGCGAUAGAAAAUCUUCAGAUCUUCCAGUGCUUGUUGUCUUUGCUACGAGUAGCACUUAUUUGUACACUCCAAAACCCAAGAGAACGAGUAGGACCAAAUUUGAAGACUUUUGAAUGCUUCAGUGAAUUGAUUGAGUUAUACAAAAACAGCUUCACAGGUCAAAUUCCUAUUUCUCUUGUCAAGCUCACUAGCUUGCGCACUCUAUCUCUUGGGAGAAACAACCCUAGCUUGAAGCAAACGACAACCAAAGCUGGGAAUUCUUAGAUGCGUUGAAAAAUUGUAGCCUUCUACAAUAUCAUCUCAUUCUAGGCAACAACCGACUAUGGGGAGUUAGAACACCUUUUGUUGGUAGCCUAACCACCAAUCUUACAGUAUUACAAUUAAGUUGGAACAACCUUUCGGCGGAACCUUUCCAGUUUAAUUCAACUAGGAUUAAGCUACAACAAUUUUACUGAACAAAUGAAGAACGGAUUGGAACUCUUAAACAACUACAAGGUAUCUAGCUAUAUCCAUUGGAGCAACUUUGAUGGGCCAAUUAUUUCUCUACGACAUAUUACUCAGUUAGAAAGACUCUUACUACAAGAAAGUGAAAUUGAUGGUUCAAUACCACAUAUAGCUUAGGAGACCCUCAACAACUCAUCUUCAAUCAAGCAAACCUACUGGGCCCCAUAGGCUGCCAAGUUAGCUUCUGUCCCGUGAUCUUUUUUCCAGAAACUCCUUUAUGUCUGUGUUCUGUUGGUUAUCAGACUGCUUUGCUGAUGUUGCUGUCGAUGGGUACAUACCACCAAACUUUCGAAACCUUGAACAACUCAUACUAUUUGACUUUAGCUACAACAAUCUACAAGGUGACAUAACUCGAGAUAUAAGCAAACUUAAACAGCUCACAGACCUACGUCUUUCAUCAAACAAGCUUACCAGAGAAAUCCCAGAUACUUUUGGCAAAGUGUCAACAAUUAGAAACCAUCCUAAUGGACCAAAAUUACCUCAAAGGAAACAUCCCGCCAUCUUUCAAGGGACUAUAGAGCCUCAAAUCACUAAAUCUUUCUCACAAUAACUUGUCUAGCACAAUUCCAACUAUUUUGGAGGAUCUAUCGCUUCUCAAUAAGCUGGAUCUUUCAUACAAUCAUCUCCAAGGAGAAAUACCAAUGAAUGGAGUCUUUGCAAAUGCAACGGCUAUUUCACUCAAUGGCAACUGGGGGUUCUGUGGAGGAGUGAUGGAUCUCCAUAUGCCUGCAUGCCCUGCGGUUUCUCGGGGAAUAGAAUGGAAACGCUAUGUGACCAUCUUACUGAUUCUAGUAUUUAGCUUCAUGUCACUCGGGAUGUCAAUUUACAUUAUAUUCCUUGGGUAGAAGGCACCAAGAAAGCCAUACUUAUUAUUGCUUUCUUUUGGUAAGAAAUUCCAUGGAGUUUCUUACAAGGAUUUAGCCCAAGCUACAGAGAACUUCUCAGAGUCCAACCUAGUUGGGAGAGGAAGCUAUGGUUCAAUAUACAGAGGGAAGUUAACUGAAGCUAAAAUCGAAGUAGCUAUUAAGGUCUUUGACCUUGAGACAAGAUUUGCGGACAAAAGUUUUAUUUCAGAAUGUGAGUCUUUGAGAACCAUUCGGCAUCGGAAUCUUCUUCCUAUACUAACUGCAUGCUCAACAAUUGACAAUAAUGGCAAUAAUUUCAAAGCACUAAUUUAUGAGUUCAUGCCUAACGGGAAUUUAGAUACAUGGUUGCAUCAGAAACAUGGUGGCGUAGCUCCAACACAUUGAGCUUAGCUCAGAGACUAAACAUAGGUGUUGGCGUGGCUGAUGCACUGGCCUAUUUACACCAUGACUGUGGAAGGCCUAUUGUCCACUGUGAUCUGAAACCAACUAAUAUACUUCUUGAUGAUGACAUGAAUGCUCAUUUGGGAGGCUUUGGCAUUGCAAGUCUCAUUAUUGAUUCCAGAUCAAUAGCAGUCGGACAUUAUUCAUCUGGUUGUAGUAGUUCACUCGCUGUGAGAGGAACUAUUGGGUAUAUUGCUCCAGGUAUAAAUCAAGAAUGUUGCCAUCUCUUUCUGUAUUUGUAUAAAACAAUCUGUUAUUCACUCAAUAAUUUUCCUCUAUUUUUAGAGUAUGCUCAAACUGUUCAUGCAUCAACCUGUGGGGAUGUUUAUAGUUUUGGAAUACUACUCCUGAAGAUGAUUCUAGGCAAAAGACCAACUGAUUCCAUGUUCGAGGGUGGGCUCACCAUUAUCAACUUUGUGGAGAGAAACUUUCCAGAUCAGGUGUUACAGUUCAUUGAUGCUCAUCUCCAAGAAGAAUGCAAGGGCUUUGUUAAAGCAACGGCGUCAACAGAAAACGAGGUCCAUCAUAUCGAUGCGUGUUAUCUCUCGUGCAAGUUGCUCUUGCUUGCACGCGUUCAUUGCCAAGAGAAAGAAUGAGCAUGAGAGAAGUAGCCGUAAACUUGCAUGCAAUCAGGAGGUCGUAUGUUGCAGCGACUAAAUGAGGGCAAGCCAUGCGUCGCUAUACUUUUGCAAUUAGCUUGGGUUAUUGGGUAUCUUUAAAUGUAAUUGGAAUAAAUAUGGCAAAUUAGGCAUGAGUAGCAUGCUGAAAUUGAUGAAAGCUAAUAUAUGUGGUGGGCAGACAUCGUGUUACCAGCUCAUGCUAGGACUUGGGAUUUGAACAUUUGGAAAAUGGAUUUGGUAAAGCAUCAGUGAUUUUGGUGAAGUGGUCUCGUAUGCAUGGCUUUGAUGGGUAAUGUCUCGUACUGGAAUACAUGGGACUGCACUCUAAUCUAGAUGCGAAUCUGCCACCUGCCUAGAAUUGGUUCAGAUCCAUCAUCGAAAUCCCAAACUGGAAUUACCUUCCACCAAUCACUUCACAGAGUAAGGGCUAUUGAGAUCAUUUGAUACCGUUGGUGCAGCCGAAGAUCGGACACCUGAUGGGCCACGCGCGCUGCUCGCAGAUGACGCGCCAUGCCUCCGCGCGUGGAGCAGCCGAGAUUUACCUGCAAUUGCACGGUGCUGCUAUGGUCGAGGUGGGGGCGCUCCGGCGCUAGCGCUAAUGUGUGCCUGGCUGGCCGUCAUGACAUCAUUGGGUAAGGCCAAAUGUGUUCUGUGUUCUGGGCCACUGCCCACUGAUGUGUCAUUUUGAGCCUGAGACCCUGACGACGGCGGGUUCCAUUUGUGUUGAGCGCUCAUGUGUGGGGGGUAGGGGUGGGGGGUCGUCGUGGUCCCUCAAAAGCCCACUUCUUCAAGUCUGGUAGACUCGGAUUUCAUCGCAUGAGGAUUUUUCUCUCUUUAGAAAAGUAUUUUUUGUCAAAUUGGGUAUUUGGAUGGUGCUACUACCAACCAUGCAUGUCCAGCGACGCUAACAAAAAGUGGGGGGGAAACACCUGACAUGUUGACGGAUUAUUUGGCCUCGAGUCUGUCCUUCACGUCUCUGCAAAAGCUUGUGCAUGUGCAUAUUGUGGUCCGUAGAGAAGUACGCCAGCAAUUGGCCCUUGAGUGUUGAGUCUCAAACAGAAAGAACAUCGGUCACUCCAGUAAGGCAUGCUAAUGUAGAAAUUUUGCAGUAACAAUUCGUUCGGUUCUGCCUUCCAGGAAUGCUUCUUCUGUGUUUGAUCGUCUCUCUUACCAAUCUUCGGGCACAUUCACUUCAAUCUCGCAAAACUUUGGUGCCAAUCCGGAAUAAUGCUAAGAACAAGGGAGGUCUUUUGUUCACUGAUUUGAAUUUGCCAGCCACCGGUAUUGAUUUGUCUCUUAAUUUGGGUCUAAAUUCUAGCAGUUUCUCCUCAAAUAUUAAUGGAGAGACAAUGUUUCCCGCACACCAAGAGCCGUCUGUUUUCAACUCGGGCAGGGUUGCUUGUCUACGGCCCAUUCGCGCGCCUUUUGUGUCCGGCCUGUGCGCUGCACUUCUUGGAAUUUUUUUUAUUUUUUUAUUUUUUUAUUUUGCAGAAAUAUAUAGUCGGAUGGAAAAAUUGCAGAUUUGAGGCGGCGGUAAGGCCCCCCCGCCAACGUUCAGCAGCCGGCGUAACUGCGGGCGCGUGAGUCGAGGCGUUACCGCCGCCUGGGGCGGCGGUAACGCUCUUACCACCGGCUGAGGCAGCGGUAACGCCCUUCCACCGCCUAGGCCGGCGACAGUCGGCCCUUUAUAAGACGCCCGCGCCCCUCCCCUCUCCCCGCACCAGUGCGCGCCCGCAGAAGCCAGAGAAGGGAGAGGGAAGGGAAAGAGGAAAGGAGGGAAGGAAAAAAAGAAAGAAAGGAGGAGGAGGUGGAAGAGGGAAGAAAUUUCUUCCGUCUUUCGCAGGUAAAUUUUUUUUAAUUUCAUAGUUUAGUUUAGUUUAGAUCUAGAUUUAGAAAUAUUAGUAAUCUGAGAUUUAGAAAUAUUAGUAUAUAUCUAGACUUAGAAGUAAUAGUGGACAUAGAUUUAGACUUGGAAACUUUUAGCUGUUUUUAGAUAGGAAAAAGUAGAUUAGUUAGUAUAUCUGAUUUAGCAUAUACAGUAAAAUAGAGUCAGUAUUAUUAGAUUUAGUUGUUAUGGUAAAUGGCUAGAAUAAAUGAGUUUUUAAAUUAUGUUUUUUUGUAGGUAUUCGAAUAGAGUUUUUCGAUAACAAUAUUAAAUUUGUUUGUUCUGGUAAAUCACUGCGAUAAAUGUAGUGAGUAAAUUAUAACUUUUUGGUUAGAUAUUAUAAUAUAGUUUUUCGGUAAUAUUAUUAGAUUUAUUUGUUGUGGUGCAUGUAUAUGAUAAAGUUAGUCAGUAUGCUCAGUUUAGUGUUACAUAGUUGUUUGUUUAUUCAAUUGAGGUCGUUAUUGUAGUUAAUUUAUGUAUAGUGCUGAGAAUAAUUUGUACUGCCCGUUUCAUGUAUGUUGCCAGGCAUGUCGGAUAGUGUCAAUAUUCAAGUGUACUAUGGGUCGGGGGAGAUUAGAUAUGGUCCAGAAGGGGUAGAUUUGAGUGGAUUCCCCUGUUUUACCAAGUGUGUUCCAAGAGCAAGAGAGAGAAAUUGGGGGGGCAUAUGCAAGUGGCUCUGUAGGGACUGGGGUGUUGACAAAGAUCAAACAGAUGUGUAAGUGAGGUUUGUAGUGCAAAGACGGCCGGACAUAAACUUUUGGGAGUUGGUUCCGCUUGAAGGAACUCCGAGGUAUCGAGCUUACAUAGAUGGUUUCACGAGAAGAGGUUUACGAAUCAUAUGGUAUGUCCAAUUUUUUAUGAAGGGUGGACCUAGCACUCAUAUUGAAGAUCAAGUCGGAGGAGAUGAAGUUGAAGUGGAAGAAAAUGUGCAGAGUACUGCGGGUGGAAACGAAGAAAUUGAUGAUGAAGAACAAGAAGGUGGAGAUGCAGAACAUGAUGUAGCACCUCGGGAACCAAAUGCAGAGGCUGAUGAGGGGGAAGAAUUUCCUGAGUUAGUAGAGCAGAUGGAGAUGGAAGGAGGGGAGGCCAAUGGUACCAUGGAGGAGGACUCGUCGAAUGAAGAAGAUGAUUAUCCUGUAUUGCGAAAUUGGUCAAAUUACGACCAUUCCGCCCUACAGGUAAAUGUGGGGGAAAAUAUUGCUUGGGAGUACAGGGAGAAUGAGAUAUGCGUGGGUCUAUGUACCAAAGUGGGGAUGAAGUGAAGGUGGCCCACUUUGUGUUUGCAGCGUCAGGUCAGGGUGGAAAAGAGUAGCCCGAAGGUGUAUGAUGUCCGUUUUGUGCGAAAUGAUUGCCCAUUUAGGGUGCAUGCAUACAAGGGCAAAUGGAAGGAUUACUGGGAGAUGACUAAAGUGGUUGAGCACCAAUGCUUUCUGGCUGAAUUGGAAGGGACACACCGCAACCUCACUGCUGAAUUUGUUGCUCAACACAUGUACCCUCAGAUAGUGGAGAAUCCAAGCUUCGAGCCCAAAUCCAUUAUCUGUGCCAUAGAGGAGAAGUUCAAGUACAAGAUUAGCUACAACAAAGCUUACCAUGCUAAGCAGAAGACGCUUGAGAUGAAGUCGGGUACAUUCGAAGCAUCCUACGACAACCUUCCUGCCAUGUUGCACACCAUUUGCCAGAGAAAUCCUGGAAGCUUCUACGACUUGAAAUCAUAUCCAGUUCUUCAAUUUUCAGGCAAACAGGUCCUUCAGCGGUCAUUCCUUGCGUUGGGUCCUUGCAUUCAGGCUUUCCGGCAUUGUCGACCAGUCAUUUGCAUUGAUGGCACAUUUCUAACUGGAAGGUACAAAGGGACAAUAUUAACAACUAUCGGAACGGAUGGCAACAAUCAGGUGUUGCCGCUUGCGAUCGCUUUUGUGGAGAAGGAGUCUGGAGAUAGCUGGUACUGGUUUCUCGAAAGGGUGAAGAACAUGAUUGUGUUGGACGUCGAGGGGUUCUGUCUCAUUCAUGAUCGGCACAAAGGCAUUAUACAAGCAAUCGAGGACCUACAGAAUGGAAGUCAAGAGCGUUUCAGGGCGCCGAUAUGGCCGGACUUGAAGAGUCAAUGGUGCAUGAGGCAUAUGGGUGCAAACUUUCACAACCAAUUCAAGAACAAGACCCUUACAAAAUUGUUCAAGCGCCUGUGCAACCAGAAUCAGGAGAGGACGUUCAACCUGCUGUGGAAGAAACUUGAGGACCUCACAAAGAAGCAAUGCGAGGAACUAGCGAAGAGGGCGGUCAAUAGUGAGGCCGACCAACCUGUGUCUCUGGAGGACAUCAGGCUCAACGGUCCAAACGUGAGGCGAGGACCGGAAGAUCCAUCAAGACCUUCUCAUAGUGGAUUGAGAAUGAACCGAAGGAAAAGUGGGCAUUACUCUUUGAUGAAGGAUGUGCACGGUGGGGUAUAAUGACGACAAACCUAGCUGAGGUUUACAACUGGGUCCUGCGCGGUGUUCGGGGCCUGCCCCUUGUUGGUAUUGUCGAAUUUUACCUUUACCGCACCAUUAGGUAUUUAAGGGAAAGGUACCAAUUGGCUGAUAACUCCAUGCACGACAACCACGUAAUAUUUGGGUACAAGAUGACAGAGUACAUGGAGGAAGCAACUAAGAAAGCUCAUUUGCAUCGUGUGAAAGAAGUGGGAGCCGUGGAAUGCCGGUUCGAAGUUGUUUGCAGGGACAAAGUUCGAAUGCGCGGGAGUCGUGAGAGACACACACAUGAGUGCAUCAUUAGCAAUGAAGGUUGUGUUUGCUCUUGCCACAAGCCAAGGUUGCUGCACAGGCCUUGCACCCAUAUUAUUGCUGCAUGCUUCGAGGCGGGGGGCCUCCAACCCCGUCGUUUCGUGCCGCACUAUUUCCUCAAAGAAACCAUAUGGCAAACUUGGUGGAACGAGGUUUAUGGAUAUCGUUUGCUAGGAGACUUUGUCAAUAAUCUAGGUAAUGCCACCCGCUACAUUCCUGAUCCUGAUCCAGAAAUGUUCCAAGGAGUGGGGCAACGUAGGAACAGGCGUAUCCGUAGUGACAUGGAUGAAUCUGAAACUGGUCCUGAUGUCCGUCUAUGCUCCAAGUGCCACGAAGCCGGUCACACCUACAAGAACUGCCCGGCAACAACGUAUGCAAGUGCUAGCACCCAAUCUGCAUCUAAUAACUAGUAAUGUAAUGUACUGUCUACCUUCAGUUGUGUUAUUAUAACUUCAGUUGUCGUCCUUAGGUAGUGUAAUAUAAUGUUUAUUUGAUGCUGUGGACAAGGACAUCAAGUAUUGUAAUAUUUAUCGUGGACCCUUCUAUUUGUAUUGACUCGUAUGUGCCGUAGAGCUAUGAUGUUUAUUUGCAAUGUAACGUAAUGCAAUACUAUAUUUUCUUUAGAUGUUCAAUGCUUAUUUCUUUCCAUACUUGUGUUGCAGGUAUGGCGUUGCACCCAGGUCCACAGGGGGUUGAGACCCCUGAGUUGCUGGACCCUACCGUGGAUGGCCAGCACAGGUCGUUCCACUCAGCCGUACUUGGUACCAACCUAGGCACGUUUCGGGCUCGUAUUCCGCUUGCGACCAUGCCGAUCGACCGAUGUUGGAUCCUGAGGUACAAUACUUCUGUGUUAAGUUGAACGAAUAAUUUGUGUAAACUAAUUCAUUUGUUCUGUGCUACAGGUUGCGUGCGGUGGACCUUCUUCCUGUGGCUAGGCUUGUGGAGGACGACAUGGUGGACCAUUCAGCGCGACGUGGCCACGAGAGACCCACACAGUUGCAGUUCGACAUGUCACUGCUAGCAGCUUUGCUGGACCGGUGGUGGACGGAGAUGCACACCUUCCACCUCCCGGUUGGUAAAUUGACCCCCACAUUAGAGGACGUCUCGAUGCUACUGGGCCUUCCUUGUGCAGGGGCCACCGUAGCCGCGAUGGAUGUCCCUCCUCCUGGUGCGAGGAGCUGCUGGGUCGCUUCGCGGACAUUGCCCACGUAGACAGUGCCCCCCAGUACACCACUUUCAGCAGCUCCCACGGCCCGACAAAGGCUUGGCUCUAGCAGUUCAGUGUGAUUUUCUAAUUAUCAGCAACUACAAAUAUUUUUUGGCCAUUUUUUUUAAUUGUUGACACAAGUACGAAAUUAUUUUGCAAGCCGAGUACAUGAGAGAGGACGCAGACGACGCCACAGUAGCGCGUCACUUGGAGGCGUACCUGCUUUGGCUCUUCGGCUGGACCCUCUUCUGCACGUCGCAGGGGAACUCGGUGCCUAAGCACCUUCUUCCUUACGCGAGGGCCAUUGCGGAGGCCCCGCUCGAUGAGGUUCCACAGUACAGCUGGGGUUCAGCUGUGCUAGCGGCCACAUACAGGGGUCUUUGCAUGGGCUGCGUGAAGGUAACUUCGACGGAGCCUAUCUUCCUUGGCUGCCCGCUGCUGCUUCAGCUUUGGGCCUACGAGCGGUUCCCGAUAGGGAGACCUCGUGUGGACAUGUCCCCCUACCCUGGGGGUUUUGACAAGGACGAUGUCGACAGACCCACGAUGGGGUCGUUGUGGUGCCUGAGGAGGGUACGGUUCUUCCACUACUAUUUUUCGAUUCUUAUUACAAUUUGGAAUUUUUGAGGUCCUAACUGAGAAAUUGUGAUUAUAUUUCUUGCAGGCGGUUUGGACGGGGCUUCAAACAAAGAAGUCUUACCCGGACUUCGUCGGUAUGUUCGACGCUUUGGUCGACACUGACAUGAGGUGGAGACCCUACAGCUUCGAGGAGGUGGAGGCUCGUGCCCCGCAUGGCCUGUCUUCGCUAUGCCAUUGGGACAUGGCGUACUGGAUGAUGAGGAGGCCACUAGUCUUCGACAUCCAUGUCGAGGACUACGCGGUUCACCAUGUCAUGAGGCAGUUCGGCCUGUACCAGGACUCCCCGCUUUCGGCAACGUCGGCGGUUCCGGCUUCCGUUCAUAGGUACAGUCUAUCAUUUUCAUUCUCCUUACAUUAACAAUAUUUCGUUUAUGUAACUCGUGUAACGAUGGUUCCAUUAGGGCUACCCGUCAGGGUGGUGGUAGUGGGCCUGGAGUCCUAUGGGCUCCGAGGAUGGUUCACUGGGUCGCCCUGUGGGCGACCGCACUAGACGAGGUGGUCCAGGAGGCCCGGCCACACGACGCCGACGCUUUCGUAGCGUACCUUAGCUGGUUCUUACCGAGGACCAGGACGCAGGUCCAGCACGUUCCGGCGAAGCCACCGACGGAGACCGCUCCAGUCACCCAGACGUACCCUCGCGCGAGAGACGUCAACUACGACCGCACGGUAGGCUAAUUUAAUUUUUUUUACUAAACUUGCAUCAUUUGGUGUGACUCACUUGAAAUUUUUUCGCUCCCAAACAGAUCGACCUUAUAGCAGAUUUGGACAGGCAGCUGAUGUACGGCAUCGAUAACUUCCCCGUGAUGAAUUUGGUUCAGCAACGAUCGCUGCUUACGCGGGUCAAAGACGGCUGCAGGAGGUUCCUCAGUGGCGUUACCUACCGUGGCAGGCACGAGGACGUCGUCCAUCCACCAUGACCUUCAUACCCCCGUACGUCCACUCCAGCUCCUACUCAGCAGGCUGGUACGUCCUCUCACUAGCCCAUUCGUCCGGCAGCAGCCGGCACCUCCUACAUCAUACCACCACCACCGCCGCCAAAGUCUUGGCACGCCACAGCAGGUCCGUCCACCGUUCUGCAGAUGCAAUAUGCAUGGUCCUCUUAUCCUUCUUCAGCUGCACCGGAGCUAGGACCAACAGGUACGUGAUGUGUACUUAUUGUAACUCCAUUUUAAGAACGCAACGAAACUAACAAAACCAUUUCCUUUGUGAUUGUAAUAGGCUACGUAGACCAGGGAUGGCAUUCGGAGGACUCGCAUGACGAGGUAGCGAGAUCUAGCAGCAGUGCUUCGAUCGAUGACCUUUUCAGAGUGAUGCCGACCUGCUCGGUCCCUCCCAGCUGGCAGACGCCCCGGGUCCUACAUAGGGUGCGACCCAGUUCCUGGGGACACCAUAGGGUCCCACACAGGGUGUGUCAUCACAGUACCUCACGACACCUCCUGGGGAGGUAGCAGGAGGACGUUCGACUCGUGACGUUCACCCGCCGGAGCCCUGGACGUACGACCGGCAGCAGACCAGAGCAGCGCAGCGGGCAGCAAGGCGUGGUCGUGGUGCUGGCGAGCCUCGUUUCAAGCGAGGACGCAUUUAGUGCGUAGGGCGACUUCAUUGUACGAUUACGAUGUGUACGAUUAUCUUUAUGUGCGAGGACUGCUCUAUCUACAUAAUAAGUUAAAUGCCUUUCAUUGUUCACGUGCGUUUACUAUACAAGUCUAAACAUUUCCCAAUUAAGAAUUAGAAGCACACAAUUGAAAUAAUCGAUAACUAUGAAUGAAAAUCGUGCGGCAAAUAACAGAGUACAUUACCUAAGCACAACACAAUCAAAGGUCCAACAGUACACAACAUUAUCCAUGAAUAAAACAUGGACACAACCGCACACAACGGAGUAGUAGCGAAUAACAGAGCCUACUGAGUACAACGAGAUCACUUUCCCUUCCUCAGGGCAUCGGGGUUCUCCUCCAUUGCUGCUUUGGCUCGGCGUGAACGCUCAAGCUUCCUCUCCCUCUCCUCCCUCUCCGCAGCAAGCCGCCUCCUUUCCUCCUCUUCCUUGUGCUCUUUCUCUGCAGCCUCCUCUCUGAGCCUCUUCUCCAUCCUCUCCUUGCUCUCUGCCGCCCACUGCAACAUGUACUACAUGUGCUCCUUGUCCUCAGGCUUGAUCUCAGUGUCAAUCCACUCCUCAAAAUCACAGAGCGGUGGAGGGGUCUACAAAAAUAUGUAUUUAUUACAAAACAAAAAAAGCAUGCAAGAUGUCAUAUGGCACAAAAUAGUUAUUGCACAACAUCAAUUCCUCACCAUCUUGUUAAUGCGGCGCUGACGAAGUGUAGGCUAAAAUGCAGUUGGAACACAUCCAAUACCUCUGCCUAUACGUGUCCUCUUCAUCGGACUUUGCUACCUUGCAAGGAUCGUCGCAAAAAAGCACAUGGGCACUGGAACACCACUAGGCAGAGGCAAACGGUCGAAGGUAUUUCUGGUUAACGGAACACCACUCCACCUUUACCAUUUUCAUUGUAAGAACCGGAAGCAACUAAGAUUAAAUCAUACGACUACCGGUUAACGUACGGUUGAAUAACGUGCACUGAGAUUACCUUGCUUUACCAGCUUUUCCACGCCUUGGCAUCCUACAGUUGUAUAAUAAAAAUAUUAAAAAUUCAUGAAACUAUACUAGUAAAUACUUCUAGAUCUAAAUACUAAACUAUGAACUAAAAACCGAAUGUAAUACUAUACUAACGAAGCUACAUUUUUAACAUAUAAAAGCACACAACAUAUCUGUAGAUCUAAAUACUAAACUACAAAAUAAAUACUGAAUCUACUAUACAUACUAAGCUAGAUUUUUAGCAUCUAAAAGCACAAUGUAUUUUUAGAUUUACUAUACUACGAUAUUGAAAAACUUACCUGAAUCCUAGGAGAUUUCUUCCCCUUCUUUCCUCUCUUUCUUUCCUUCUUCCCUUCCUUCUCUCCCUCUCUGUUUCUCCUCUCAAAAAUGUCUGAAUGAGGAGAGGUGGUUGGCCUGGAGACCUGCCUGCGGGGGGAGGGGGGGGGGUUAAAUAGGGGGAACCCCGCCGGGCCAGGCGGCGGUAAGGGUCGUUACCGCCGGCCCAACGACCCUGACCGCGCCGUACCAUGGCAGAGCAGGGAGCCGGGUCCUUACCGCCGGCCCAGGCGGCGGAAGGGCCUUACCGCCGGCUGGGCCGACAGUAAUGACAUGGGCCGGCGCCUUACCACCGGCUGAGGCGGCGGUAACGCCCUUCCGCCGCCUAGGCCGGCGGCAAUAGCCCAAAUCUGCAAUUUUUCCAUCUGACUAUAUAUUGCUGCAAAAUCGAAAAAAAUAUAAAAAUAAAAAAAUUCCACUUCUUGUUUCAGAUUGGGGCAUAUUCAAGCCCAUUGUCGAUUUUGGCCACGUUUCCCUAGUUUGUCAGCCCAUCCAACUUUCUCCUUGAUGAUCUCCUCUGUCUCUUGGUCCAUGUUCAAUGUGGAUGCUUGGUUUAAACAUAAAUCCUCCAUGACGAGUGGACCCAUGCUUGGCCCGACCCUAGUUUACAGUGGUUUUCAUGACAUGGGAGACAAGGUUCUGGGUGUUUCUCCCUCAAUGUUACCUCUUAGUGUUGUUUGGGAAGGCGUUGUGUGCUCCGAGGACCUCGCCCCUCCAGCUUCCAAACCACCGUCGUGUUCUUCGUGUUCUUCGCCGUCCUCGCCGCGGUCUUUUCCUUCUGUGCUUCAGGUUCCUUUUGCCUCCAAUGCGACCUCCCUCGACCCUCCUUCUCUUCCCACUGUCCACCUUCGCUUAGCUCCACAUUUCACUGCUUUCGCACAACCUGAAAACCCCAGUGCCUCGGAGCUCAGGCACAUCCCUCCGUCCUCGUUUAUGGCUUCUCACUUCGUGGAACCCUCACCUUUCCUCCCGCGGGGAGCUCAUCGUAGAUUAGUGGGGUUUCGCAAGCCUAUGGCUAAGGUGGUUCUUGGAAGUCCCCGGCGACGUAACUGCAAUGUCGCCAUUGCCACUAUUGAGCCUCUCCCCAUGGAAUAGGUAUCUUUUCUGUCUAUUCGUGAGCUGCUUGAUGACUUUCUAUGGAAUAGGUGUCGUAUUGGAUUCAGUUCUAUUCAGUCGUGUCCCUAUGGCCAGGCAUAUGUCAGGUUUAAUUAUGUGCAUGAUAGAGAUUUCUUGAUUGGGGGUAGUCCGCACGAGUAUGGUCAAUAUAGAAUUUCUUUUAUGGAGCAUAAUCGGGGGUGGAACAACAAGACAGUAGCUAUGAACUGUGAAGUAUGGCUUACGUUGAUUGAUUUUAAUAUUGAUUUCUGGACUAGAGCUGACAUUGAUAAAGCCAUUUCUGCUUUUGGUAAAUUGUUGGUUUGGGAAGAGGAUCCUCACAAUUUGGCUCAGAUUUGGUCAAGGCUAGAGUUGUUGAUUUAUCCAAGGUGCCUUGGUUUCUUGUUUGUUCUGAAGGAGAGGAUUUUGAAGGGGAUUCAUGGAUGGCACAAUGUGAAAUUAUGCACUAUAGGCUUUUGGGAGGGGCACCUGCAGAUGAGUAUCAUCCUCCUGAUGAUGUGGAGCCUAAUCUUUUUGAUUUUUUUGGGUAUGGGCAGCCUACACAUAAUCCUAAUGAUGAUGAUCAUCCUUUCAAUGCAAAUCCAGGGCCUGCUCCACACUGGGGCCUGUGGCCAGAUGGGCCAGGAGCUCAGUAGGAUGCACCUUUCAUUGGGCCUCCUUUGCCGCCUAACCCAGUGCCAGGUCCUCAGGUGCAACCAGCACAGGAUCAGGUUCAGCCUCCAGAUGUUAAUGCUUUGGUUUUUGAUUUGAACAUACCAGCAGGAGCUGAUAUGGGUGAUGUAGAGAAUUUGGCCUAGGAAGUAGAAGUAGUGCAGGAGGAACAAUUGGCUGUCCCGGUUCAAGUGAUUGAGGCCACUGAUUCUGAUAGCUCAGCAGAUAUAUAGCCACAUAAUAAUUGGGAGGCAGAAGAAAUUCAUGUGGAAGUUUUUAUUCCUCAGAAUAAUGGUCAACCAAUGCAGUUGAUCCAGGAUGAGAUUCAGGAACAUGAACUCCUUGGAGAGAAUAUUGUAAAUAUGGACCAGCAACAUAAUGCUUCCGCAUCUGCUAAUAUUAAUUUGGGUAUGGUUCAAAUGCUGCAACCUGAUCAUGAUCCAGUUCUAGCAUAAAAAAUUCAACUGCAAUCAUCCUUUCCAUUUCCUCCAGGUUCGCUCCCAGUGAGUCAGAGUUCAUAGUUGUUCAUGCCUGACUUGUCCUCACACAGGGUGGAUGUUCCUAUUUUAUGGUUAGAGUUUUUCAGAACACAACUUCUCAACCCAAUGUCCUCUAUGUGGGCCAAGACAUUCUUAUCCUCUGCAGCUCUACAAUUUCUUCAGUCAUCCAGUCUAGGGGUGGUCUCUAUGUCCCUUCCUGAAGCUUGUCCAAUGUCAGAUCACUUGCCACAUAAAGAUUCUUCUCUGCCAGGUAUGGCUUCCUCUGCAAAAAUGAAGGGUAAAAUAUUUGAGGGAGCACACAAGGAAGACAUUGCUAAUUCCUCAGAAUAGGUUCCUCUAAUCUCAGAUUUCUCAACUGCCAAUUCUGAUACACCUGCAUUCACAGCUGCAAAUCCUGCACAAUCCCCAGUUACCCCUAUAGGGGAAAUGAUCUCUAAAGUGAAUGAUACUCCUGGGCCAUGGUCUCAGUCUCUAUUACAGCAAGCUGAAAAGCUCCAUAUGUCUGGCACACACAUUUCAGAAGAAGCUCUUAGAAGAAGUCAGAGGUGCCAAUUACAGAAGAAUGGCUUUAGAGCUGCUAGUUGUGUUAACAAAAAUUGUAUUGGAUGUUCUGUCAAUCCACCAACUCUCUCUCCUUCGGUCAUUCAUAACCUGGGGGAAGCCUUCUGUAAGGUUGAUGCUGACAAGUUAAUUGCCAAAUCUCUAAACAAGAAGAAGACACUAGCUCCUCCUGGUGCGAGGAAGCCUCUGAAAAAGAAACAGAUUCUGUUAAAGAUGACAGUGAAGUCGAGAAGAUCUCCAAAAAGAAGCCUAAGAAGCAGCAGUGCUAGGCACUUUGUCACUGUUUCUCUGAGGCAGGUCCUUAGUCGUCUUUUGUGUUUUUGUUUUUACCUGUCUCCUUUUGUCAAGGUCCAUGAUGUAACCAUGACUAUUAUGUUAUGUCAUGUACUUGUGUUGCUCUUCUGGUGUAUUGGUGACAGUGUUAAUCACUGUUGACCUCUCUCUUAUUUUGCUUUACUUGUUAACUAUGAAUGGUCUUAGAAGUUGGAAGAUUUUAUGUUGGAACAUAAGAGGUAUUAAUUCAGAUAAAAAAAUGGAAUUCAAUUAGGGAUAAGAUAACUGAGAGCCAAUGUGACAUCUUAUGCCUACAAGAAACAAAGAGGGAAAGCCUAGACCUGAAUUUGGUUAAAAAAUUUUGUCCCCCUUCUUUUGAUCAGUUUGAGUUCUUGCCCUCUCAAGGUGCUUCGGGUGGUCUUGCAGUAUUGUGGAAGUCCUCUUUUUUUGAGGGCCAUCUGAUUUUCAGUAAUCAUUAUGCUCUUUCAGUACAAUUCUCAUGCAAACUCAAUGGUUCUUCUUGGGUGCUUACAAAUGUUUAUGGACCUUGUACUAGUUAGGGGAAACGGGAUUUCAUGCAAUGGUUCAAAAAUAUAAAAAUGCCUGAUGAUAUAGAAUGGAUUAUUGUGGGAGACUUCGACCUAAUAAGGGAUCCUUCAAACAGAAAUAAACCAGGGGGAGAUUAUAAUGAGAUGUUUUUAUUUAAUGAUGCUCUAAGUGCUCUGGGUCUGGUAGAAAUCCCUUUGAAAGGAAAGCAAUUCACCUGGUCAAAUAAGCAGCAGAAUCCUUUGUUGGAGAGAUUGGACUGGUUCUUUACUUCUAAUGCUUAGACUUUAACUUAUCCUCAAACCUCAGUGUAAUAGCUGCCAAUCUAGUCAUCUAAAUGACUUUGAAGAAUUAAAAGCAAAUUGAGAAGAAAAGAAAAAGAAAUUGGCCAAAAAUCAAAUUCGGAUCAAAUUUGACCAAAAUUUGAAUUUUGAAUUUGAAAUUUAGAAAAAUUCGGCAAAAAUGUGGAAUGCAAGUGUGAGAGUGAUUAGAACUUAGAGAUCAAGAAUCUAGAACAAAAAUGGUGCUAAAUAGCUCAGAGAAAUCAAGAAAGAAAAAGGAAAAACCGAAGUUACUGUUCCCGUCUGAAAAUAGAAUUUCAGAAAAACAGCCUCAGAGUCCAUUUUGGAAAUUGAUUUCUGAAGAAUUUUCCAAAUAAAUGCACCAGGACAACUAUACCAUAUUGAAGUAUGAACUUGGGACUACAAGAUUUGGGUGUUGUUGGCCAGGAACAUGGAAGGGAACAAUUUAGAAUUGUAGCUCAAAGUCAGCACAUUGUCACAGUUAACUGACAGCCUGAAAAUGGUUAAGUCUGAAACAGCAGCAUAGCAUCAACUUUGGACUUGAAUUCAGAGUAAUGUAGAUCAAAAGGGGUACUUGUUCAUGAGCAAAAUGGAACUUUGGGAUGUUGUAGAACACGUUUGGGAAGAAGUUGGACUGGAAGAAGAAGAAUUGGACCACUAAAUUGAAGCACCAAGUGAGAUCGACACCACUGUCAGUAACUGACGAACUGAAUUUUUGAUUCAGUCAAUAUUCAGACAAACCCGAGCAACAUCUCCAAAAUUCAGCUGGUUUGAUGUUUAUCUCGGGGUAGAGCCAAAAUAAAAGAUGGAGAGUUUGAGUUUAUCUGCAACUUUGAUUAAGGCACAUGUGCACCGUUGGAUUGGGAAUCGGCCGUGGUGAAGCUCUGAAGAUCACGGGCGUCAGAAGAAGAAAAGAGGAGCGGUGACAGAGCAGCGGGACGUGUCGCCGCCGCCGUCGUCGGUCGCUCGCCAGCGCGUCUAGCUAGGCCACCUCCUCACCACAUAAGCCUACGGGUAGGCCACGGUGUCGCCCAUGCGCGCGGUGAAACACUUGAAUAACUACCGCUCCCGCGCCACCGUUUUCACCGCCGUCCUUUUUACCGCCGCCAGCGCCUCCUCUGCUGAACACCGCCGCCGAGCAAAAUUCCGCCGCCACACCACAGCUCCCGUCGAUUCCUUCCAUCCAUACCUCCGCCUACACCCCACCAGCAACCUUAGCAACUUGUUGCCCAGCUUCCUCGCCGUCACGCCUUGAACCACCGCCAUUUCUGUCCGCCGUCGUCGCACCGCCCGCUCACGGUGAGCACCACCUCGCGCUGCUUCUCUUCCUUCUUGAGUAGUCGUAGGCGAGUCCUUAGGGUCCUAGGAUGGUGUAAGGGUAGCUGUUUGAGUCGGUUGUGCCGUCAUCGUGAGCAGCCACGACCGGCCGAGGGAGUCGCCGCCCGUCGCCGUGGAGGGGAUGGCUCCGGCCAUCUCCCGAGGAGCUGUUGCCGCGCACGGGUGCGUGAAGAUGUAGGGGUGUCGACCUUGUCUAGCUUCGCCGCCGGUGGGGCGCCGGCCGGCGAGUCGCGCCGCCCCCUGUCGCGGGCGCAUUUUGGCGGGAGGAGGAAGAAGCGUCUGGGCGCUUGGGCCCGCGCGGCAGUGAGAAGAGAGGGGAGAAGGAGGCCGGAGCGGCGCGGCCGUCUGUGGGCCGUGGCCUGGAGGCCCAGUAAAGUGCGCACGGGUGGCCGGAAAAGAAAAAGGCCGGAGGCCCAGAGCAACCAGCAGGCCGGUGUUGCGGGAGAAAGAGAAAAAGAAGAGUGGGCCGUUGGGCCGAUGCUGGGUUGCGGAUUGAAGAGGAGAGGAGAAAUCAGCCCAGAGAGCCCGUUAGGGGAGGGGGUAGGCCGGCGGGUAUGAGGAAUAGGAGGAAGGUGGGGUCCGCGCCGUGGGGCCCAGUGCGUGUGAGAGAGGGUAGAGAGGGGCUGUGUAAGAAAAGUAUUUCCGGGUGAUUUUCGGGAAAAAUUAGAUUCCUUUAGAAAAGUAAUUAGUUUAAAUCCGUUUUACACCAUUUUAAUCACAUAAAUUUCUAGGAGUGUCCAAAAUUAGUGAAACCAAUUUUGUUAGGCUUGUUUUAUUUCCCUUUAUGCAUUAAAAUUUUUACACCCUAGAAAAACAAUAAAAAUUCGGGUAUUUAUUUAAUGCCUUCCUUUUAAGGUAAUUAAAUAAAUACUUAAUAUUUAAAAAAUGUAUAAAAUAUGAAUAACACUUUCUUAAUCACAAAUUAUUCUUAACUCAUAGGAAAUUAGAUUUUCGAGUUAGAAAAUAAUUAUAACUUUUUCUAAAGAUAAAAGAAAAAGCUAUAAGGAGGGUUAAAUAAGAAAAAUAAAAUUGUGGGUUAAUCUUUUUGGAUUUUUGUGUGUUGGCUUGCAACUUUAUCAUGAUAAGUUGUAUAGUCCUUGUUGGCUUGCAACUUUAUCAUGAAGGAAAGUUGUAUAGUCUGUUAUUCAAAAUUUUGCAUUUCUAACCCUGCAUGUAUUAUGCCAUAGAUCCCGAAUCCCCAGAAGGAGAAUAUUGAGAAUUUUCAGAAGGACCUUCGGAGUCCGAAGAAGUUUUUGAAUUAGUCCCCUGUGAAGCCCACCCGUCGGAGAAUACUAAUCUUUUUAACGAACAAGGCAAGCCCCGGUGCAUGUAUACCUAUCUAUUUUGGAGUCGUUAUUUCAUGUGACUUAUUAUAGGUUAUUUGCUUUAUGUAUGCACUAAGUCUAGGAGUUGCUUGAACCCUAUUCUUGUGUAUGAUUAUGCCUUGUUUUAAGGACAUCUUUGCCACUUGUUCAAACCUUAGAAGAUACCCAAGUCUAGAAUUGCUUACUUGCUUACAUGCUUGGUUUACCAACCUUAAGGAAAACUUUUAAGUCAUACAUGUUGCUUAUGGAAGAUAACUUGGAAAAUGAAAACGGACAGAAGCUAGAGAUGUAGUUCUGUCUGCUAGAUUAAUUUGGUUAAGGCCCGAUUCGUUGUCUUAACCUUUGAUCAAGUGAUAAGCAUCUGAUCACUUACUGGGUAUGGGACCAGUAAAGCCCAGUAGAUUAGUAAACUCUAUGAUCAGGAAUACUUCGUACCCGCGCUUGACGUGCUGGAGAUUGGCAGGGGUGUAGCCUGAAACUCACAUGGUGAUCGGGCCAGACGUGGGGUCCCAUGUGGGGGUGCAUCCCUGGGUCCGAGUAGUCGUAUUCCUAAUCAUUGAUUUUGCUAAUCGAGAGGUUGUUAGAUACGACCUGGACAGUCGUAUGACGCUGGUGAUCAGGGUACUCUCCUGCAGGAUGUAAUUAGAUCCGGAUCGCCGCAAUUCUCGGUUAUGAAUGCACUUGAUCACUGUUGAGCAUCGUAGUAUCAAUUCAUGGGAUAUGUAUCCUUCUGUUAUCAAUUGAUGUAUAACUUAACAGUAUGGUUGUUUCUACUUUUUGUUAUCAUUUAGAAUGGUUAGGUAAUAACUUAACCCAAAUAAAAGAUAAAACUAAGGCAUUACUCGUAGUAAGCUUUUUCGGCAAAAGUUAUAUUAGCCAAACACACCCAAAAGCUAGCAUGCAUUCCAAAGAAAACUAUUAUAUUGGUUAGUCGGGUAAGACUUGCUGAGUACCCCGUACUCAGGGUUUUCCCCUUGUGGCUAUCUUUCAGAAGCUCCGCAGGAGGCUACAGAGGAGGAGACCCCGAAGCCCUAGGGUAUUGACCUGAGUCUCAUAAUACCCUAGAGAAAAGUUUACCUACGCACCUUCUCCUAAACUGUUUAUGUUUAAAUCUUAGAACUCUGUCUAACCCUGCACUGUUAAGCUUGUUUCAACCUAUGUUCUGUAAUAACUCGUACCUUUUAUAUGUAUGUAAAAAUGUAAUGUUUGUUGAUAUUAUCCCAUCGCGGAUAUUAUCCUGAUGUAUGGCUAUGAGACACAUCGUGGAUCCUUCGAGGAGUCCUAGGGACACUCGACGGACUACCGGACUUAUGCUGUUUUAGGUGCGUUUCGAAUAAUUGUUGUUCCGACAGCGAUUAGGCGCACUUAAACCAGCUUAAGUUGGGCGGUUCCACCACACUCAGCAUAUUCACUAACAAUGGAAACUUCUGACCAUUCUCCUUGUAUUAUCUCUUUUGCAACAAAUAUACCCAGAGGUGGUAUCUUUCGAUUUGAAAAUCAUUGGCUGGAACAUGAGCAAUUCAUGAAUGUUGUCUCCCAUGCUUGGUCUUUACCAGUACAGCAAAUUGAUCCAGCACUUAGACUGACAGCAAAAUUCAAGAAUCUAAGGAGAGUUUUGAGAUGUUGGCAGAAGCAUCUCCAGUUUAAAAUCCAAUAUUACUAAGGUUAAGCUAGUUCUUUCCUUUAUGGAAUUUUUUGAAGAAUUUCGAGAUCUUACACUUCCAGAAUGGAAUUUCAAAUCCAUUUUAUCAGAUAAAUUGAUUGCUUUGCUUCAUCAACAGAGGAUAUAUUGGAAACAAAGGGGCUGUAUUAAAUGGGCAAAAUUUGGAGAUGAAGGGACCAAAUUUUUUCAUGCCAAUGCUACUAUUAAGCAUAGAAGGAAUUUAAUUACAGUUCUAGAAGAUUCACAUGGCAUUCAGCAAACAAGUCAUAGUGUUAAAGAACAGAUUUUAUGGGCUGCUUACAAAGACAGGCUAGGUAGUUCUGAACCUUCUCUUAUGUCGUUUCCUCUUGAGCAACUUUUCCAAGCUGCUACAAAUCUACAUUGUCUAGAGGAACCAUUUGCACAAGAAGAGAUUGAUGCUGUCAUUCAGAAUUUGCCAUCAGAUAAAUCACCCGGACCUGAUGGGUUUAACACAGACUUUGUUAAGAAGUGCUGGCCAAUUAUCCGGCAAGAUUUUUAUGACUUGUGUUCUGCUUUUCAUUCUGGAACAGUUUGUCUACAGAGCAUAAAUGGUUCUUUUAUGACUCUUCUGGCUAAAGUGGAGGGAGCAUGUAAAGUGGGUGAUUAUAGACCCAUAUCUCUGUUGAACAUUUCUAUGAAGUUGUUGACCAAGUUGUUGGCUAAUAGGCUUCAGAGAGUUAUCAUGGGUCUCAUUCAUAAAAACCAAUAUGGGUUCAUCAAAAAUAGAAUUAUACAGGAUUGCUUAGCAUGGGCCUUUGAGUAUUUAUACUUAUGCCACAAAUCUAGAAAAGAGAUAGUCAUCCUAAAGCUGGAUUUUGAAAAAGCUUUUGAUAAAGUUGAACACCAAGCCAUGCUAGAUAUCAUGAGGCAUAAAGGUUUUGGCUCCCUCUGGCAGACUUGGAUGAAGGACAUCUUUACCUCAGGUACUUCGGCUGUCUUGCUUAAUGGUGUAUCUAGGAAAACUUUUCAUUGUAAAAGAGGAGUCAGGCAGGGAGACCCCCUAUCACCUUUGUUAUUUGUAUUGGCAGCAUAUCGUUUGCAAACUGUGAUUAAUGAUGCUAAGAAUCAGGGCUCCCUUACUCUGCCAAUUCCCCUAUUGCACAGUCAAGACUUCCCCAUUCUUCAAUAUGCUGAUGAUACCUUGAUUAUCAUGGAAGCUUGUCCUACUCAGUUACACACUCUCAAGGACAUCCUUCAUAGGUUCUCUUUGUCCACUGGGCUCAAAGUCAAUUAUGCAAAAUCAAUGAUGGUCCCCAUCAAUAUUUCAGAUGACAGACUUCUUGAGCUCUCACAGCUCUUUGGUUGUUCCAGAGGAAGCCUGCCUUUUACUUACUUGGGUCUGCCAUUGGGUUCAACAAAUCCAACUAUUGAGGAAUUCCUCCCUUUGGUUACUAAAUGUGAAAGACGACUGUUAGUCACUUCCUCUUUCUUAUCCCAAGCAGGGAGGUUACAGCUUACCAUUCAGUCAUUACGGCUCUACCCAUGUUUCAUAUGUGUACUUUUCUUCUUCCAAAAACGAUAUACAAGCAGAUUGAUAAGUAUUGUAAGCACUAUUUAUGGAGAGGCUCAGAUAUCAAUAACAAGGCUCCACCUACAGCUUGGCCUCUGGUUUGCAGGCCAAAACAACAAGAGGGUCCGGGUGUUUUAAGCAUUAGAACACAAAAUGAAGCUUUGAUUUUAAAAUAUUGGCGUAAGUUUUACAAUAGGAUGGAUAUCCCAUGGGUGAACCUUGUUUGGGAAAAAUAUUAUUCUCAUGGUCGCAUCCAAAAUCAUAUUAAGAAAGGGUCUUUCUGGUGGCGUGACCUAUUAAAGCUUCAGACUACUUUUAAGGGUUUAUCAAUGGUACACAUCAAUGAUGGGUGUACUUAUUCUUUUUGGGAUGACCUUUGGGGACAGCAUAUCCUUUCUCAAGACUAUCCGCAACUUUACUCUUAUACCAGGAAGAAAUACAUCUCACUUCAUCAGGCUGCUCAUUCCUGGGACAUACACCAGUUGUUCACUCUGCCUUUGUCAGCAACAGCUUUUCAUCAGUUACUUCAGUUAGCCACAGCUCUGGAUAAUUUGGAUCUUAAUCAAAAUCAGGACACGUGGAUGUAUAUUUGGGGCUCCACUAUCUUUUCUUCAUCAAAAGCAUACAAGCAGCUUUUGGGAAUCACUCAGGUUCACCCAGUUUUUAGAUGGCUAUGGAAGUCUAAAUGCCAAAACAAGCAUCGAGUGUUCUUCUGGUUAGUUCUCAGGGAUCGGCUAUCUACAAGAAACAUUUUAAGGUGGAAAAAUAUGUUUCUACCAUCGUAUGAGUGUGUGUUAUGCACAAACAGUGUUGAGGAGGAUUUGUUUCAUUUGUUCCUUGGAUGCCCUUUCACGCAACAAUGUUGGAUUCAUAUUGACCUUUUUCCUAACUUAGAUCUUGAACCAUAUGAAGUCUUGGAAAGCUUCAAGGCACAACUUCAAGUCCCCCUCUUCAUAGAGAUCAUCAUUCUUAUGUCAUGGUGCAUUUGGAUUGUUGGGGGUACGCCUUAGGUGGACUAAGGCUAUAAACCCCCUGUGUGGAAAAGAGGCCCAAAGGGUCUAAGGACUUAUUUGUAAGGGUUAGGGACUCGGUUGCAGCAUCCAGGGGGCUUAUUGUAAUAUUUUAAGAAUCUUGUUGUAAUAUUCAACCCCACUAAUGAAAAAAUUAUAAACAACCUCCUCCUCCUCCUCCUCCUCCUCCGUAUAAAAGAAACCAAGGGGUGAGAGGAGAGGACUUUUGACCAUUUGCUUAUUUUGAUCACUCGGCUCACCUGGUUCUAUCUCUCUCACUGUUCCGAAACUAAGGGAGAAUGUUGCUCGUUUGGUGUUGUGGUCCAGCUUCUCUCGAGGACAAACCCCAACAUUUGGCGCCCACCAUGUUUCAGCAUGAAAUAAAAUUCACGAUCGAGAGAUAAAGAGGUUAUAAGCAAUCGAAGCGAAGUUCGCAGCCCAGUUUGUGUUCUGCCCGAAGCUGCCCCGAUCUCCCAAAGUACACGAAGCUACAAACCCUCCCGAAGCUACUAGGUGCCUUUACCGAACGAAGCUAUUAUAUUAACCAGCGGCAACCGAAGCUAUUUGUUACCCCAACAUGCAACCGAAGCUGUUCAUUACCUCAACAUGCAACCGCAUGGCAAUAUGGCAUGGAAGCACCCAAACCUAUUAUAAGGAUCAGCGGCAAACGAAGCUAUUUAUUAUCCUGCAUGCAACACGAAGUCACCGUAACCUCGCGGCCUACGACAACCUCAGCGGCAAGCCUGCACGAGGUCAAGAGCUGGUACCCGUCAAUCACACGAGGUCACGAGGCCACAAGCAUCACCGGCCGCAUGCAAUUACACGGCACCGCACAGGCCCUACCUUCGCAUGCAACAGCAGGCAACAUGUGCAUGCAGCGGGCAUACAACACCGUACUACAACUCACAUGCAUGUGCAUCCCCGAAGCCAGCUGCUCACCAAAACUGCCGGGCUGCUCCCCCUCGCAGCAGCAGCUACCGAAGCCAAAGGAGAAAAAUAUAUAGAGCGAAGCACAGUUUUUUCCCCCCAAGAUAAAUUAUUUGAUCACGUCACCUUCGUUCAUUUCCAUCUUGUAUUACAAGCAAAAAAAAAAACAUCACUUGCUUUGGCAAGAGGAAAUAAAGCUAUGAUGCCGUCGCUAAUUUUUGGCUAAUGACAACCAACAAAUCCAAUCGAAGCUCACCAAUGAUAUCAAAACAAAGAAAAAGCUUACAACUUUACCCCCCAUGCUUCAAGACAUCAUGACAUAUUGACAGGAUAACUAUAAGCUGCUGAUCAAGCAACGACGCGAGGCUUGAGCACAAAGCCACCUGGCGUGCAGUAGCGAAGCUACCAAGCAACAAAGCGGCCAUCGGCCACACAAGCCGCAUGCAGUGAUGUUGUAUCUACACAUGCAAGCGUGAAUUACCCCCCGCGCGGCGAGCAUGAAUAUCUGCAGCAACCCUCGCGGAAACCCUCGCAAUGCAACGAGCAUCACCCCUCACAGCAAACGCCGAUUUCCUCGACAAGCACCGAUCACCGUCGAUCGUCUUUAGCAGAUAUAUAAAGAACAGAACAUGCUUGUCACCCUCGCAGCUGCCGGCCAUCGCGUCCAUGGCACCCGUACCGAGCGACACAUCAAAAUGCAGGAUCGAAGCUGCCUGGCAAGGUCAAACUGCAAAUGGGUGCUGUCUCCCUCAAAAAUUCGCGAGGUUGGCUGUCCCCCUCAAGAAAGCAAAGGCCGACAACCUCCAAAAGCUGCAUUAACCUCUACUCAGCCCCGAAGCUGCCCAUCAUCAACUACUGAUCACUACCGCAAGCAGUCAACACCAGCUCUACUCACACCCUCGCAAGAAGCAAGCAGAACCUCGCAGGCUCAAACCUCCGUGGUGACAGCUCAAACCUCCAUGACAAAAUGUUUCAUAUUUUAUUCAACAAGAUUUGAUCAGUCCAAAUGAAGUCUAUUUGAUGGUUUGUGCUCGAGAUACACCAACCUCGACUCGGCUCCGAAGCUGCCGAGUACAACAAGACGACACCAAAGCUUAAAGGCACCACAAUCGCGAAGCUAGAGCCCAGCUAGUUACCUGCGAGUACAUGCUCAAACAACUACCGUCCAUCACCUCAACUCUCAAGUGCCAAACAAGCAUGUGCCGACAUACCACGAAGCCGCCAAGACAAGCACAGCUCGAAGCUGCCGGCAAGACCGUAGCAGCGAAGAUGCCACGAAGCCGCCACACUGUCAUGGCAGCCACAGGGUAAAUGUGCCAACUCCGCAAGCCAGAACCCUCGCUUAGGCCACCCCGUGCCAUCUCAGAGCAACAUCGAAGGUGCUAAGCAACUCAAGUCGAUAGCAAAGCUACUACCCAGCAAGCUCUCCCGAAGUGCCCGAGCGAUCGAGGCUGUAACCUCUCCCGAAGUGCCCGAAGCUCUAAGCUCUCGUGAAGUGCCCGAAGCUAACCUCGAGUUCCCAGCCACUGGCCGAAGUUGCUAACUCUAUCGAAGCUGCUGGCCGAGCGAAGCCGUUAUGGCAGCACUGCAAGGUUACCAGACUCCAAGCUGCCGAACCCUUGCAUGCAAGUGCGAUCCUCUUCUAGAGUACUCUUUCAACCAUGAACCAUCGAAGGUCCGGGUGUUCGCAAAACAAGUGAUCAGCUAAUAAUAUAGCUUACCUCAGCAGUAAAUAUAGCUUGCCAGAUCGAAGCUGCGGAACCUCUCUAAACUAACAUCUAUUAUCGCAGCAUGUAUCCUUCAAAGUACUUAUCUCAUCCUCAAUAUGCUUGCAUGUUGCCACCUCUUUCACGAAGUAAAUUCAAUAUAGCAAAAUUAAUUUACCCUUGCCAGUCAAGCUAACCUCGCAGCUGCCGAGCGAAGCUAUUAUUUAGGAAAACAGCUAAUAAUCUAGCUUACAAGCGCACGCAACUGGAAACUGCCAGGGCAGGCAUCGAAGCUACCGACAAGCUGCAAGGCCAGGCACGCAUGCAAGCACAUGCACGUGAAGGCAGCCGAAGCCAAGAGUUGCAAGCACAUGCAUGCAAGCACCGAGGCAGCGGGUCUCACCAGCAAAGCCGCUAAGUAAGCUGCCACCCUAUCCAACCUGCUGGAACCCCCACCGGGAGCCGAAGCUGCGGAACCUCGCAAGUCAAGUUGUUCCCGGAAGCUCCGCGAAACAAGUUGCGGAAUUUUGGAACCUCGAAGGUCCGGCUGCGCACGAAACAAGCACAGAGCUACAGGCUGCACCUCGACCAAUGAGCCAGAUAAGUAACCUCGAGCUAGGUUCUAGUUUCACAAAUUUAAAUUACUAACGAGCUUUUUCUAAAUACCUUACAAUGUGUAACAUCCCCAUGCAUGCACCUCUUACUUAGCUUGUGCACUACGUGAUAAAUAUUGUUGAAGCCUCGAAGUUGCUCGUAUGAAAGAACCCUCGCUCACAGAGCCCGCGAGGUUGCGGUACCUUCGCGGCAAAAUCGCCCCUCGUGGAAGCAAGCCUCGUGAUGGUUCCUUUUAACCUCGUCAUACUGCCAAAAUAGCAUGCAUCUUAUUAUAAUUAUGUCGCCACUAGCAUGGCCAACGAAGCUGAGCCUUUCCUGCCUGCUUGAAACAAGCGAAGCCAUACCUUCGAUGCCUUUAAAUUAGCCUCGGUAAAAAACUGACAGAAGCUAAGUCUUAUAUUAACCUCUAAUCAAACUCCAAUUCAGCAAGGUUGCAAAACACCAGCUGAGCCAGGUUGCAAGUAUCAAAGCUGCUAGCAGGUAGGCAAACUCUAACCUCCGAAAUAGGGAAAAUUGGCAAACUCUCCUAAAGCUGCCCGGCGCCUCUAGUAGCACGAAGUUGCCCGUUAUUCCCCAGAUAAGUAUUUCGGCACCACUUUAAGCCUGCAAGAGUUCUGCUUUCGCAGUAACCUGCAAGCUGCAGUUAAGUUUUUUGCAGUUAUGUUAACUCUCAAUACUCUGCCUAGAUUCUUAGAGGGGUUACAAUUAGAAACUCAUUUCUUCUCCUUAGAAAUCCUUCUCACUAACUUGCAGGACUUCGCUAAUCUCAUUUUCAAUACAAUGUCUUAUCCCUCAUGAGACUAAGUUCAAAUUGAUAGUCGAAGCAACCAAGAGUUGCUAUAUCGACUAGAGCUUCACGCUUGAGAAGUAAGUCCACAAAAGCUUGAGCACGAGCAAUCUUUUGUUGACUUAUCUGUUUACUUGUAUUACUACUAUCUCACGGACCUUAAUCAUAUAGGUUACAACUCAUAUAUUGAAAUUCCCUUUGUCUAACAUGCAGGUUCUCACCAUUGUAAAUAGUUUGUCCGUUUAAAUUAACCCUUGUAUACCAGACUAUUGUAUCUUUUUAUAGGAACAUUGGUUUUCACCUGGUAAUCGAAGUUAAAAAUUAGGGCAUGCUAUAUUGGUUUCAUUGGCGCGUUGGUUUUCAUCAAGCGACAUAUCUCACGGACAUUUGGCUCUCAUCAACUAUUGGAAUUAUCUUUAUUGGCUUUCAUCAGUCAUUGACCUUCCACCAUAAGUGGUAUUCAAAGCACCAAGUCACAACCUUUGGAGGUUGAUCAAGACAGUUUAGAGAACCACUCUAUCACGUGCUCAAGUUCUAUCGAAACUACCUUCUCUUAUAGGGCUGAUGAUAUGAUAACUACGAUAUAUACCCUCGCAUAUGCAAGCAUUUCAUUCAUACGCAUCAAAGCAUGCAUCAAAUCAUCGCAUUGCAUGGACGCAUUACUUUUAUCCAUGAAUCGCAUCAACAACAAGUUGUGUAACCUCGCGCUGGUAUGCGGAGGAGAGUGUAAAUUUCCAUGAUUAAGUGCAACAACAAGUUGCGUAACCUCGCGCUCAUAUGCGGAGGAGAGUGUGAAUUUCCAUGAUUAAGUGCAACAACAAGUUGCGUAACCUCGCGCUGGUAUGCGGAGGAGAGUGUGAAUUCCCAUGAUUAAGUGCAACAAUAAGUUGUGUACCCUCGUGCCUUUAUGCGGAGGAGAAAAGUGUGAUUCCAUCAAAAAUUCAGUGCAACAACAAGUUGCAUAGCCUUGCGUUUUCACGCGGAGGAAAGAUAGCAGCUCCAGGAGAGCCUAGUAAUAAUAAUAUAUACUAUACUACAGACCAAAGCCCACUAUCUGCGCACGAAGGCAUAGUUUUCACACCCGUCUUUCUCGUUUACAAGAAGAGUCAGCCUCGACUACCGGAGAUGGCAUCGAGCGCGAAGCAACCUUCGGGCUGAGCAUCCUGUCGCGCGAAGCGCAGGAGGGGGGUGACAUUUUUUUCAAAAAACAGUUCACUUUCUACCUACGAGUGCAUUGCCGCAUGCCCAAGCAAUUAAACGGUGCUCCAUCCAUCACCUUAACCCUCGGCUGCCAAGCCUUGUAACCUCGCAGCAACCUCACUAGCGUUACCCUCGCAGCUAGGCAGCUAGCAGUAACCUCCGUGGCAAGCUCUACCCUUGCGGCCAGAGCUGACCCUCAUGGCAAGCGCGGACAUCCACCACAAGCCAACUUAUCCGAGUUCCCGAAGCUGGCGAACCUUCGCGUAGCAAUAGUGCAGGCAGGAGACACAAAGUGCCCAGGCUCGCCACCCGCAUGCGUAUGCUAAAAAUGCAUCAGCAGGCAUGCAUACGCGCAUGUAUAUUUUACCUUCGCAUCGUCACCCUCGCAUACAGCCACAAGUGUUGUUACCCUUGCAUGCGUACAGGCGUAAGCCAAGCUAGGCAUCAUGGCCAAGCUGUUCCCUGGAAACUCAAUCGCAUGGAACAAGAAACUAGCGUGCCCAAGGAUAAGACAAGUAAAAUAAGUGACAAAGAGGUUAACCUGGAGGCUCCUAACCUUGGGUACUUUGCACUUUUAUGUAUCUUUAAAGCGUUUCAAUUGCUACUAACCUUUAACAUAUUUGCAUCCGGGUAUUGCAUCAAGCCAACCUUGCUCGGGCCAGCCUCGCAGCUCGCGGCAAUCUCUCUCGCGCCAACUUCACGGCAUCCUCGCAUUCACAAACGGGUUAAGAAGCCCGCGAGCUGAUCCCUCAAGCUCGCGGACAUCGUGGACCUCAAUAAAUGGCUCAAACUUCCGAAGGCAGCCGAACACCCGAGCCUCCUCAACUGCAUGGCAAUGUACGUUUGCGUGCAUUAAAGCAAAAAACUUUCGCACUUGUAGAAACUCUACAUGCAUGCGCUAAAGCUACCACUGCUCGAGUAAUUCAGCUAACUCUCCCAAAGCUAAAGCUACCACUGCCCGAGUAAUUCAGCUAACUCUCCCGAAGCCAAUAGCAACCUGCUGAACCGGCCGAAGCAAGUACAUAGGCAAUUAUGUUACCUUCGAUGGUUAAAAUCCUAUUCCACACCAUCAAUUGCCAAGCACUGUUGGGCUAAUCUUUUUGACCCUCGAUCGAAGGUAUCUAAAGGCAUCAGGAUGCAGCUAACAUGCUAUGUUAAUUUAUCACCAUGAUAUGCGAAACCGAUCAGCCAACCCGCUAUUAUUGAUAUCCCUGCUAUACUAACCUAUCUCAAAGGUUUGAGUUUUCCGAAAAGAUCAGGUCUAUCAAGGGGCUCAACCUCGGCACCAUCUGCUACAUCGGCUUGAGGAAGACCAACCUCUACAAUGUCCGAGACUUCGUGUCCUGCUGCUACGUCAGCUCGAAGGGCUCAACCUUGGCAUCACACUCGACUUCGCCUCCACUACAUCGACUUGAGGGGCUCACCCUCGGCAUCGCCGUCAGCAUUGAGGUCAUCACCAACUUCACGUACAACUCAACCUCGGCCACCGCUACUGCAUCGACUACUUCCACUACAUGCGGAGUUUCUCCCGCGAACACCAGCCAAAGGGGGCUGGGGGGCGUACUGGGGGGCCGGUUUAUCCUAGUUGCCUGGUGCCCGCGAGAGAAAGUCCGAAGGUGUUGCAACUACCAUCGACGACGACUACUUCGACUACCUCAGCUUCUGAAGCAGGUCCCGAUGAUUUGAGACUCACGAGUGAAGCCACAUGCAGAUCAAAGCUUAUCGCAGCCAAGAGUCUGGGUUGUAAUUGGGCCUCUUUUAACAGGAGCAACUAUUAGGUCGUGUUGUGCCAGCCAAGACCAAAUAGUUGAGGGGCUACUAUUAGGGGUACGCCUUAGGUGGACUAAGGCUAUAAACCCCCUAUGUGGAAAAGAGGCCCAAAACAGGGUCUAAGGACUUAUUUGUAAGGGUUAGGGACUCGGUUGCAGCAUCCAGGGGUCUUAUUGUAAUAUUUUAGGAAUCUUGUUGUAAUAUUCAACCCCACCAAUGGAAAAAUUAUAAACAACCUCCUCCUCCUCCUCCCUAUGAAAGAAACCAAGGGGUGAGAGGAGAGGACUUUUGGCCAUUUGCUUAUUUUGAUCACUCGGCUCACCUGGUUCUAUCUCUCUCACUGUUCCGAAGCUAAGGAAGAAUGUUGCUCGUUUGGUGUUGUGGUCCAGCUUCUCUCGAGGACGAACCCCAACAUGGAUGGUCUGGAAUGAUUGCAUCUUCAAGGGCAUUGCCCCAUCUUUAGCAGCCUGCUUUCACUAUUUCAGAUUCAUUUUUGCUCAACUGCAGUUUCGAGUAAAAGACCCUUGGAAACCACUCAUGUCUUUAUGGGUAGAGCAAUUUGUGUAAUUUUAGCUAUCUUUUUUAUUUCCCUUUUUUUUCUUAAACUUGCUUAUGUAAGUCUCUAUUGUUUAGGGCUUUGGCCUUCUUAUAUAUAAUCAGUAGGGGAUCUCAUUCCCCUCUGUUGCAUAAAAAAAAAACAAUUCGUAUCUACGAGUAAUUCAGAGGUGCGGGGCACUUCAGAGUUCAGGUAUCCUUUCCUCGUAGAGUUAAGUGGUUUCUGAAUAGACGAAUCGCAUCCACAAAAAUACAGUCUGAAAAAUUGAUUUGGAAACGAGAAUCCUGUAGACGCAAACAAUUCCACGAGCCGAGUUUUGUCAGAAUCGCAGGCGGACGAGACGUGUAACACGUCAGUGCGUAAAAAUCGUUGUCCUGUUCAGGCUGAAAAGCACACGCAGGAGCAGGAGUAGCAGUACACCACCGGCGGGAUGCGCUAGCUGCUGCCAGCAGGACAUGCCGCGAGCCCGCGACGAUUAGUCCGGCUCAAACAACGACAUCACCGGUGCGUGAGGAGAUGAAAGCUGAGAGGCGACAGUAACCUGCUAGUUUGACGGACUCCAUCUCGGCGCAACAGCGUAAACUUAAGCCAAAAAAGGCCUGUAUUUGUGACAAGGAAGAUGUGUGGCAAGCUAGCUGCUCCUGAGCUCGUCCAACGCAGCAGUUCACGGUUCACACACCCUUACAGCAGCACCCGGCACAACCACUUCUCGGCGCUGGCUAGCUGUGAUGUUGCGCGCUCGGCUGAGCAGAGGUGCAAUACUCUCUUUCCUCCUGAUUAGUUCUUUCAACAUCCCUUUUAUAAACCUGUCAUUAAUCUUAUCUUCAAGCAUUUAGACGGAUUAUUAUAUGAGAACCUGAUCGGAUCAUAAGAUGGCAGUCCGGACAUGCCUCGGAGUUGGUACCUCCGCGACGGGUGAUGUUUGUUCUUUGUGCUUUUCAGGUAACAAGGGCCUUAUGUCUCCCAAUGACCCGGCGAAACUCGGCAUGCUUACGCUGCUGUUCCUGCUCUUGUCUUACGGAGUCUGCAACGCCAGUUGCUCGACGAUCCCUGAUAACAGCACGGACAUGCUCUCUUUGCUUGAUUUCAAGCGGGCCAUCACCAAUAAUCCUGGAGGUAAGGUCUUGGAACUCCAGCAUUCAGUGUGAGGGCGUCACCUGCAGCCUAAAGCACCCAGGGCGAGUCACGGUGUUGAGCCUAGGCAGCUUACGCUUGGCCGGUCCAAUUUCCCCGGAAAUCUAACGUUCCUUGAGACACUGAAUAGCUUUUCCGGCGAGUUACCCCCUCUCAACCGUUUCCACAGACUGCAAACACUUGUGCUGGCACACAACUCACUGCAUGGGAUCAUUCCAGAUACACUUACAAAUUGUACCAAACUUAACUCGUUAGACCUAUCCGGAAAUUCCCUAUCACGUGAAAUUCCACUCGAUAUAAGUCUCUUAUCCAAUUUGGUUGUUUUAGUAAUUCACGGAAACUAGUCCAUCAACCCGUGCUCCCGUACGGGCUAAUAUUUUUAGAAGCUAUUGUAUUUGAAAAUUAUUUAAAAAUUAAACUCCUAACUAAUAAUCAAAAUUGUUUACCUACUACUCUCUUAUUUUCCAAUACUUCAACAUAAUACUUAUAUAGAUAUGUACCUAUCUUUGUUCAAUUGUGAUUGAUUUUUAAUCAAUAAUUACUCUAUGCUCGUUUUCAUCCAUGUUCGUACUUAUUCCAUUUUGUAUCACACCUCCAAUCCUCCAUAUAUUAUGUUUAGCAUACAAAUCAAUAAUUUUCAUCGAUUCCUCACAUACAUGUAUAAAUGAUCUAAAUGGUGGAACUCAUCAUGUGUAUAUACUUUAACUUAAUAUUUUUAUAUUAACAAUGACAUAAAUAGGUAAUUUAGAAUCAUAUAUUAGUUUACUUUUUGAUAUUUCUGUAUGAUGCACACGAGAUAAUUAGAUUAAUAUUUAGAUGUUUAAUUUAGAUUAUUUUUAAUAACGACACACAUGGGUAAUAUAGAUAAAAUUUUAGAAUGACAUUUUAAGUUAUGCUUUAUAAUGAUGUGUAUUAGUAAAUUGGAUGAAGAUAAUGGGGUUACUUUAGAUUAUUUUUUAUAAUAGCUGAGCUCGGUAAUUUAGAUAUAGGUUUAGAGCUCAUUUUUGAAUAUUUUCACAAUGACAGUGGAGGGUAACUUUUUAGAAAAUAUAAUAGAUCAAUGGCUAUGAUUAUUAGAGUUUAUAGGAUUGGUGUUUGAUGUUUUUAAUUUUUAUGAGAAUUUAUCUUUUUUUUCUUGCUUGUCUCGUGAGAACUAAUGCGGAGUCUCCAAUGGAAAAAAAAAUGAGACUACAUUGCUACAAAACUAUUACCAUAAGCUACCUCUCGUUUGUUAAAUAUUCGAACACAAUACUUAUGUAGAUAUAUACUUAAUAUAUUCAUCCAAUUGUGAUAGAUUUUAGUUAGUAAUUACUCUAUAAUAUUUUCAACCACGUUUAUAAUCUUUAACUUUUCACUUUGCAUCGCAGGUAUGCGCUUGAAUUUGUUUAAUAAACCUUAAGUUUGAGAUACAAUUUUAGCAUAAAAAUCUAUAUUCUCAUCACUUUAUAUCCUUAUAAAUGCGUGUCAGAUACAAUUUUAGCAUAAAAAUCUAUAUUCUCAUCACUUUAUAUCCUUAUAAAUGGUGACACGCAUGUAUAGACCUUAAUUAUUAUAUCGUAUACCAAUAGUGAAAGAUAUAGAUGAUUUAGAAUCAUAUAUUGCUGUAUAUUUUUAAUUAAGAUUAUUUGAUUCAAAUGUAGGGUUACCCCAUGUUAUUUUUAAUAAUGGCAUGUGUGGGUAAUAUAGAUGCAAAUUUAAGGGUUCCUUUAAGUUUUUUAAGUAAUAGUGGUAGGCAAUUCAAUUGCAAAUUAGGGGUUAUUUUAAAUAUUGUUUAUAAUGGCAUAAGUGGGUAAUUUGGAUGAAGAUAGUUUAUUUUAUAUAAUGGCAGAGGUGGGUAAUUUAUAUGUAGAUUUAGGGGGUUAAUUUAGGCUAUUUACAUAAUGGCAUAGGUGGGUAAUUGUUUAGAAAACAUAAUAGAUCCAAAGGCUACGAUGAUUUCAAUUUAUCGAUUGAUGGUCAGAUGUUUUGCUUUUUUUAAGAAUUUCUAGAAUUUUUCUCUUUUUCUAGAUUAUCCACCUAAGAAUCCUAGGUGGGUUCACCUGUAGGUCAAAAAAAACCUCCAAUUAGCAGUAAGAUAAGCUAACUGGAAUCAUCCCACCAAGCGUACAAAACAUGACCCAGCUACUAGUUCUCGAUCUUGCCGAUAAUCAGCUAACGGGAAGCAUUCCCGAUGAGCUGGGCAAAUCAACAAACCUGACGGGUGUGUUCCUGGGUGGAAAUAGUCUAUCAGGUGGAAUACCAGGAACCUAUUCAAUCAUUCCUCACUCCAAUUAUUAGAUUUGAGUGUGAAUAAGCUAGGGAAAGAAUUGCCACCUGAAAAUACACUGCCAAAUCUCGUAUAUCUCAUACUCGACUACAAAGACAUUGAAGAUCAUAUCCCAGCUUCAUUUGGCAAUAUUUCAGGGCUACAACAAUUAGACUUGUCCUCCAACAACCUUGGGAUGAACAGGCUUGAGGCAAAUGACAGACAAAGCUGGGAAUUCAUAGACAGGUUAAGUAACUAUAGUAACCUUCUACUGCUUUCACUAACUGAUAAUCACUUCGAAGGAAGAAUACCAGAUUCUAUUGGUAACCUUUCAAACAACCUUCAAGUGCUAGGGUUGGGUACUGUUGACGUCAGGUUUCGUCACUAGUAAAAUCGACGCCAAGAAGAGAGGGAAUCGGAGAAGCACAGUUGGGAAUCAGUCGAAUGGUGCUACAGUGCGAGAUCGGCCGGUGACUUCUGUCUCGCUUCGGAUCGAACGUGCCGGGGUCCCAAUCGUUUGCCUUUUGCCGAUAAGGAAUCGGCCGAUUAGAAGGUUGGUUUAAUUGGGCCUGUAUGGGCUUGGAAAGGAAUAAAAGGAUAAGGGGGAGAUCAGCCCAUGAAGCGUAGAGUAACCAACCUAGCACGAAUCGUGCUUGUAAAUAUUCAUUUUCUGUUUGAAUUAGGGAUAGAAUUCUAGUCGGUUAAGAAGUCAUCUGUACGGGGCUAUAAAUAGCUACCUUUGUAAAUCUGUAAUCAUCAACAAAUCAAUACAAUAUACUACUUUUUCCUCGUACUUACUUUCAAGCAGGCGACUUCGUCAAUACUUUUCUCUUUUUCACGAGUUCGUGCGGGUUGGCAGGGCUGCAUCAGCUUGAUCUCCGGCCGAUUCUGUAAGUUCCGCUUAUCGAGUAAUAUCUAAGCUUUAACUUCGGGCGUAUCGCUGCUGUUUCGUUUAGAUUUAUUCACUAGUUAUCGAUAUUUUCUAGAAUCAUAGGUUUUACCUGUCUUUCUAGUUUUAUCACCAGUUAUCCAGCUAGGAAUCGGUAGUUUCGGCUCUCUUUACGUUCUGCUAUUAAAUUUAUCUAUUGCCGAUUAGAUCUGUUCCUAGUGUUGUCAUCAUAGCUUUGCGUCGAUUACUCCAGUAGUUUUCCGUCUACAAGGCUACAGUGAUCGGCUGUCUCAUAGCCGAUUUCUUUAUUACGGCAAAUCGGCCGAUUCGCUGAUAAGCUCUCUCGAGAUCGGAAAUUUAGCCGAUCGUGAUUUCUGGACCUGACACGUAUUCUUCCUUGCCAAUCAACAGGUCAGAUUGGCUGGCACGCUGCGCGAACCGCAUCAGGGCAAUCACCCGAACAGGAGUUAAGCAGAUUCUCCCGGGUCGUGUGUCGGACGCUGGGAUUCGGUUGACCGAUUUCUAGCGCCAACAGGUACAAACAACUUGUCAGGGAUAAUUCCCACCAGCUUUGGGAACCUUACUGGCUUAACAAAACAUGAACUAAGUUACAACAAUCUCAAUGGUCCAAUCUUAGAGUGGGUUGGAAAUAUGAAGGAUCUUGGAGCUAUAGUUCUUGAUGCAAAUAACUACUUCACUGGUUUGAUUCCGUCGUCUAUGAGUAAUCUUACAAAAUUGACUCUGCUCUCUCUGGCGGAAAAUGAAUUCGAAGGUCCAAUAUCACCAUGUCUGGGAAGUCUGCCACUUCUUACAUAUUUGAACCUUAGUUAUAACAACCUGCAGGGUAACAUUCCUAAGGAAAUAUUCCAUCCCGAGUCCUCAAUGACCACAUGCGUGUUAUCCUACAAUAAGUUAGAAGGUCCAAUUCCUCCAGAGAUUUCUAAUCUUGGACGACUGACGGAACUAUAUCUUUCAUCCAAUAAGCUUAGUGGGGAAAUUCCUUCAACCCUAGGAAAUUGCAAAGAGUUAUAGAUCAUUGAAAUAGAUUAUAACUAUCUCCAGGGGAGCAUUCCGUUGACUUUUAAUGGUCUAAAGAGCAUGACCUUGCUAAAUCUUUUACACAACAAUUUGUCAGGCUUCAUCCCAACAAAACUGGGGUGACUUACAGGACCUCACCCAGCUGGAUCUUUUUUCGUGAUCGCGCUCGGCUCCACCCCCCCCCCCCCCCCCCCCCCCCCCCCCCUCGGCCUCCGGUCUGUUGUAACCUGGAAUGGAUUCUGUCGCUUAUAACAUCCUAGUUUGGAAUGUCCGUGGACUGAACGCGCGCUCCCGUAGAGAUUCCUUCAGGGAGAUUAUGGGCGACGCCAAUGUUUCUGUUGCAUGCUUCCAGGAAACAAAAGCUCCAAGUGUUUUCACAGUACCUCGUUUGUGAGACGCUUGGCCACAGGUUUGCAAGUUUCGCUUAUCUGCCGUCCAUCGGCGCUAGCGGUGGCAUCCUCAUCGCCUGCAGAGGCCCAGACCUAAGUUGCUCCACGCUGCACACCGGCCGAUUCUCAAUUACAGUCACCAUCUCCACUGGUGCACCGAAUGAACAUUGGUGUUUCACAGCAGUAUACGGGCCACAGCCUGAUGCUGAUAAACUUGAGUUCCUAAACGAGCUACGCUCCUUACAGAGCAUCGUAACGCCACAAUGGAUGAUUGCGGGGGAUUUUAACCUGAUCCUCGACGCGUCGGACAAGAACACACACACAAUCAACCGAAGGAAUUUGGGCCGUUUAAGGAGGUUCGUUGACGACUUGCAGCUCAAAGAUGUGCAUCUCCACGGCCGUCGCUAUACGUGGAGCAACGAGAGAUCAAAACCAACAAUGGCGAAAUUGGACAGGAUACUUGUGUCUGUGGACUGGGAGAUGCGGUUCCCCUACGCCUUCCUACAGGCGCUCUCUUCUGAUAUCUCGGACCAUUGCCCGUUGCUGUUAACCCAGCUGGAUCUAUCUUACAAUAAUCUGCAAGGCGAAGUACCCCCAAAUGGAGUAUUUGGAAACGCCAAAUUUGUCUCACUUUUUGGCAACUAGGGACUUUGCGGAGGAGUGCGGGAUCUACAUAUGUGCCCAUGUCCUACAGUCUCAAGGAGCAAAUAAACACGAUACUACUACCUGAUCAGGGUACUCAUCCCGGCAUUUGGAAUCAUGUCACCCAUAAUGUUGAUCUAUGCUAUAAUCCCACAGAAAAAGAAGUCAACAACAAGGUAUUCAUUGUUAUUUUCUUUUGGUAAGAAAUUCCCUAGAGUUUCUUACAAGGAUCUAGCUCAAGCUACAGAAAACUUCUCAGAGUUCAACCUGAUUGGGAGGGGUAGCUAUGGUUCAGUGUACAGAGGAAAGUUAACUCAAGCUAAAAUGCAAGUGGCUAUCAAGGUUUUUGAUCUUGAGAUGAGAUUUGCAGACAAAAGCUUAGUAUCAGAAUGUGAGGUGCUGAGAAGCAUUAGACAUCGAAACCUUCUUCCUGUCCUAACUGCAUGUUCAACAAUAGACAAUAGAGGCAAUGAUUUCAAAGCUCUAAUUUAUGAGUUCAUGCACAAUGGCUAUUUCACCAAUGGAUGGAGUCUUUGCAAAUGCAACGGCUAUUUCACUCAAUGGCAACUGGGGUUUCUGUGGAGGAGUGAUGGAUCUCCAUAUGUCUGCAUGCCCUGCGGUUUGUCAGGGAAUAGAAUGGAAACGCUAUGUGACCAUCUUACUGAUUCUAGUAUUUAGCUUCAUGUCACUCGGAAUGUCAAUUUACGUUAUAUUCCUUGGGAAGAAGCCACCAAGAAGGCCAUACUUAUUAUUGCUUUCUUUUGGUAAGAAAUUCCCUAGAGUUUUUUACAAGGAUUUAGCCCAAGCUACAGAGAACUUCUCACAGUCCAACCUAGUCGGGAGAGGAAGCUAUGGUUCAGUGUACAGAGGGAAGUUAACUGAAGCUAAAAUCGAAGUAGCUAUUAAGGUCUUUGACCUUGAGACAAGAUUUGCGGACAAAAGUUUUAUUUCAGAAUGUGAGUCUUUGAGAACCAUUCGGCAUCGAAAUCUUCUUCCUAUACUAACGGCAUGCUCAAUGAUUGACAAUAAUGGCAACGAUUUCAAAGCACUAAUUUAUGAGUUCAUGCCCGAUGGGAAUUUGGAUACAUGGUUGCAUCAGAAACAUGGUGGUGUAGCUCCAACACAUUUGGGCUUAGCUCAGAGACUAAACAUGGGUGUUGGCAUGGCUGAUGCACUGGCCUAUCUACACCAUGACUGUGGAAGACCGAUUGUGCACUGUGAUCUGAAACCAACAAACAUCCUUCUUGAUGAUGAUAUGAAUGCUUACUUGGGAGACUUUGGAAUCGCAAGCCUAGUUCUUGAUUCAAAGUCAGAAACAGUUGGGCAAUUUGGUUAUAAUAGUUCAGUUGCUGUGUCAGGAACUAUAGGACAUAUAGCUCCAGGUACAAAUCAAGAAUAUUGUCAUCUCCAGUUGCACAUGAACAUUUUAACUUUAGAUUAACCUAACCAGUGGAUCUUAUAUGUGUUUUCUAGAGUAUGGUCAAAGUGUUCAUGCAUCGACCCCUGGGGAUGUUUACAGCUUUGGAAUAGUUCUUCUGGAGAUGCUAAUAGGCAAAAGACCAACCGACUUUAUGUUUGAGGGUGAACUCAGCAUUGUUAACUUUAUGGAGAGGAACUUUUCAGAUCAGAUCUUAAGUAUCAUUGAUUCUCAUCUCCAAGAAGAAUGCAAGUGCUUUAUUCAACCAUUGGCGGAAGCAGAAAAUGAGGUCCAUCGAUGCUUGCUGUCCCUGGUGCAAGUUGCUCUUUCUUGCACCCGUUUAUUACCAAGGGAACGAAUGAACAUGAGAGAAGUAGCUGUUAUAACUUGCACGCAAUCAGAAGGUCAUAUGUUGGAGCAAUUAAGCGCAAGUAAGAUAUGCAUCGCUCGAUCUAGGAUGGUUACCUCAGUUUCAUUUUUUAAUUCAAUAGGCAUGAAGAAGCUGGAUCAGCAUGCUGAAAUUGACGAAUUAUCAUGCUAGGGAAACUGUAUGCAUGCAUGCAGUGGGCGGUGAGUUUUCUUCUAGUAUUAGUCAUACUAAGAUUUAGGGUGUAAACGGAUCGAAUGGAUACCUCCGUAUACGAAUUUAGAUAGUUUUUUCUUCUCGGAUUUGGGUAUGGAUAGUGUCAGUUGUGUCGGAUAAGAUAUAUAUGGAUAUCGACAUCCUAUAUAUCUGACUUUGGAUGAUUUUGGUGCUGAAUAUACGGAUUCGGAUAUGGAUGCCCCUCCAAUGGAUUCAAAUUCGAAUACGGAUAGACAAUAUCCGUAAUAUUUCGAACAUCAGCCGAUUGGGACUUCGUAGGCAUAAAAGAUUUUUAUAGUAUGUCAGUUUGCUUUGAUGGUGAUGUGAUUCUUUUUUGACAAUUUCCCAUCGCAAUUAAGACACAUACGAUGGAAAAUUAGAUCGGGCGGCAGUGCUAAUCAAUCUGGAAGUCCAUGAUCUAGCUAAAAGUCAGAUUUGGAUCCCAAAUCCAAAUCCCAAACUGCAAUUACCACCAAUCAAUUAGUUCAAAGAGCAAGGAUUAACAGGAUCGUUCGUAUACCUUUUAUGCGGGUGCCGGCUGGACAAUUGAUAGCCCUGUCAGGCUCGCCCGCAGAUGACGCGCCCGUCGCCUGUGCGCGUGGCGGUGGAGUCUAUUCGCAACGAUGAGGUGAAAAGCGAUUUCUCCAAAGUAAUCUAUGCGCCUAGGCCUUGGGUGCACCAAAUACUCCAUCCGGCCACCUCUUCAGGUUUGGAGAAUCAUCAAAUUCAGAAGGCAAGGUUUGGAGAAUCUUCCGGUUUGAAUUUUGAAAUGAAACUGAAGACUGCAUCCUGGGAUGAUUUAGACUUCCCCAAGACAGUUUGUAAUCAGAUAAUGAAUUAUGCAUUCAAGUGACAGCUCUUAAAAGACUAGUAGUAGAAUUCUAACAUGUCCUCAUAUUUCCUUGGAGAUAUCAAUGAGCAUGAUCCGAUACCUACAUCUAGAAAUUACAAUUCUCACUUGGACUUUUAUAAAGCACGCGGCACUUAUAUCCAAGCACUACCGGAAAGAUGAAAUUCACCGAGUGUUUUUUAUUUGCCGAGUGUUUUUUUUCGGGCACUCGGCAAACAAGCUCUUUGCCGAGUGUCUACCUAAAAACACUCGGCUAAGAGGGGGGGUUCGCCGAGUGUCAAAAAUAAAACACUCGGCAAAGAGGGGGGUUUGCCGAGGGUCAAAAAAAACAUUCGGCAAAGAGGGGGGUUUGCCGAGUGUUUUUUUUUUGACACUCGGCAAAAUAAUAAGUUUUUUUCUCUUUUCACCUUGAAAAUUUUUCUACUCCCCACAUACAACAUGUGGUACUCCAUGUUCAAAUUUGGUAUAUUUUUGGAUUUGUUUUCUAUAUUUAAUUAAUUAAUUGCAUUUCAAGGAAUUUUUUGGUAUAAGUCAAAUUUGAACUACAAGUGAUUCAAAUUAUAGAAUAAAAUGAGUAGAAAAAUGAUAUUCAUGUUAUUUAGCCCAGUUUGAGGCCUUACCCAUGAAAUAAAAAAAAAUUUGAACAUCUUGUUCAAGAAACACGACCACGAACGUGUGGCCGAAUAAUUUUUAAAUUGUAAAAAAAAGCAAGCAAAGUUUGAAAAUCAUGAGAUUUGUCAUGAUGUCAUGAUAUCAUAUAUGGAGGUUGUGGUAAAAAAUUGAGAAGGUUUCGCAUAUUUCGUCACAUACGAUGUUUACAAACCAAAGCAUCUCAGAAGAAGAAUAGUAUAGUUGAGAAGGAUUCGAUAAGAUUUGGACUCAAAGUGAGGUCAUGUUUUGGUUUGACUACAAAACUUUUUGUAUAGGCAAUAGAGAACAUAUAUUAUUUCAUGUGAAAUUUUGGUAAUUUUUUGGAACCGUUUGAUAAUUUUAAUGUAUCAAGUGCAAUUAUAGAAUUUUAAUUGAUAUAAAUUGAAUUGGAGCUGUAACUUUUUGUAGCUAUAAAUCGACGCGGGGCCGUCGGAUUAGACAGACGGCUGAGAUCAGUCGGACCGAACGGCCCAGGUGGGAGAGAGUCACGGGCUGCUUGAGCGGCCCAGGCCCAGGUUGGCUCAGCUUCGCGGAUCGCGCAUGGCAGGCCGUGCCAAAUUCGUACUGCAGGCCGAAAGAGCGAGCACGUUGCCAGCCGGGCCUCUAGGCCGUGAUGGGCCGAGUGAAUCGCGGCUGCUGGGCCAAAGGCCAGCAGGCCAAGCUCGCGAGCGGGCCGAAUGAGCGGACCAAGUGCAAAAAUGGGCUGUGGGCCGUUUUCGCUGCUGGACCGAAAAGAGAGAUUUGCACAGUAACAUUUGACAAUUUCUUUUUUCUAUUUACAGAAGCAUUUAAUUGAUGCUUUUUGCAUAGUUUUGAUAUUUAAUCAGUUUUGAACCAACAGGAUAUUUGUCUUAGAGAUUAAUAAAGUUUAUACAGUGUUUUUGAUUCUAAAAAUAGAAUUAUUUUACAGUUUCCACUGCAAAAUUUUAAAUUAUUGCUCUAUUUAAAUUUAAUUUGAACCAACAAGACAAUUUAAUUUGAGAGAAUGAUAAAGUUAAUUUUUUCUUAAAAAGUUAGAUUAUGAUGUUGUUAUUAUCUGACCAACAUUGUUAAUAAUUGUAUCAUGAUUUAAAAAGUUUCCAUGCUUUUAUUUCUAUUUCUGCCCAACGGUGAUAUAGAUUUAAAUUGCAUAAACAGUUGUAUGUUUUAUUUUUUGACCAACAUUGGAAAUAAAUUAUGCAAUUGUUGUUAUGAUCUCACCUUGAAUUGCAAAUUUCAGGAGGAUUCAACUUAAUGGCUUGUCUCAAAGAGAUACCUACUCCGAGAGGAGACAACCAUGCAGAGUGGAGGAAAAAGAUUGAUUUUUCCUUCGUUUGUGAAGAAGUUGAUUGGGUGGUGACCACACCACAGCCAAAAGCUCCAGAGAAGCUAGUGAGGGCUGAAGAUGAUGAUGAUGAUGCAUGGCAGAAAAAGGAAAGGGAUUAUGCUCCUCUAGAGUUGGCAUAUACCCUUGAAAACAAACAGUGGACCAUUGCCAACAAGAAGUGUAUGGCUUUGGUAAAGAACACGAUUGAGCUUGCAAUUUUGGGCUCGAUCGUAGAGUGUGACUCCGUCGCAAAGUACUUAGACAAGAUAAGGAAUCAGUUCACUGGUUCCUCAAAGUUAUAUGCUACCCAGUUGUUCAAGCAGUUGGCCACAAAAAGGUACACUGGAGGAGGAACUGGCAUAAGAGAGCACAUCCUGAGGAUGUACAACUUGGCAGCACAGUUGAAGCCAAUGGAUCUUGAGCUCAAGCCUGGGCACAUUAUUCAUCUGGUUUUUGCUUCCCUACCAAAAGAGUUUGACACCUUUGUUGUCAACUACAACAUGCAGCCAGAACAGUGGGACAUGGAAAAGAUGAUAGCCAUGUGUGUGCAGGAAGAGGACAGAAUCAGAUCUUCACAUGGUGGUUCUUUGCACUAUGUGGAGGAUAACAAGAAAAAGAACACAAAUGCUAACUCUUCCUUCAAGGCACGUGGAAAGGCUCCUAUGCAGCAACAGCAUCAGCAAAAGCCUCUCACAAUAGACAAAGAUCAGUGCCUCCACUGCAAGAAAAGGGGGCAUUACAAGAAAGAAUGCCCCGACUGGUUGAAGUCGAUAAUGGUAAAAAGAGGUGAGAAUAUUAUCUCAUUUGUAAAUGAAUCCUUGUAUACACAGUAUUCGAAAUCUACUUGGUGGAUUGACUCAGGUGCAACUGUUCAUGUUGCAAAUUCUUUACAGGACUUCUGUUUGAUGAGGACUAAGCGAAAGAUGCGUUGAAGUCGCAAAUGGAGUCCAAGCAGAUGUUGAAGCUGUUGGCGAUGUCUCUCUAGAGCUAGUUGAUGGUUUCACGCUUGUACUUAGAGAUGUUCUUUAUGUUCCUUCAUUACACAGAAACUUGAUUAGCAUUUCACGUAUGGACCAUGAUGGAUAUGAAUGUCAUUUUGGAAAUGGCAAGUGUGCCAUUUGGUUUGAUAAUGCAUGUGUUGGUGUUGCUAUCCUUCACAAUGAGUUGUAUUUAUUAUCGCCGCAUGAAAAAGUAAAUUUUGUGUGUGAUGUGAAUGUGAAUGUAUCCUCGUACAAGAAACAAAGAAAAGAAAGAGAACUCAUGAAACAUCAUCGAAAUUAUGGCACUGUCUUUUAGGCCAUAUUUUGAGGGGGAGAAUAGAAAGACUAGUUAAUAUGAAAUUCUUCCUCAAUUAGAGUUCUCGGACUUAGAACAAUGCGUAGAUUGCAUUAAAGGAAAGUAUGUAAAGCAAAUGAAAAAAGGCGCUAAACGUAGAGUUUUAGAAAUAAUCCAUACUGAUAUUUGUGGACCAUUUCCUAUGAAAAGCAUGGAUGGCUAUGACUUGUUCAUAACAUUCACAGACGAUUACUCCCGUUAUGGUUACAUUUAUCCAAUUAAAUAAAGAUCAGAAGCGCCGGAUAAAUUUAAGAUAUUUAAAGCUGAAGUUGAAAAUCACCACAACAAAAGAAUCAAAAUAGUAAGAUUCGACCAUGGGGGGAGUACUAUGGUCGGCAUACCCCAUUUGGCCAAGUUCCUGGACCUAUUGCAAGGUUCUUGCAGGAAAAUGGCAUAGUAGCCCAGUAUUCAAUGCCGGGCAAGCCUCAGCAAAAUGGAGUAGCUGAAAGCCGUAACCGUACACUAAUGGAUAUGGUGCGCAGCAUGAUGAGUUAUUCCACCUUACCAUUGGGACUGUGGAUGGAGGCAUUGAAAACCGCCAUUCACAUUCUAAAUAGAGUGCCAAGUAAGUCGGUGCCCAAAACACCGUAUGAACUAUGGACACGAAGAGUACCCUCACUAAACCACUUGCAUGUGUGGGGUAGCCCAGCUGAGGACAAAGUAUUUAACCUAAACAUUGGGAAGAUAGAUUCCAAAAUAGUGAGCUGCCACUUCAUUGGUUAUCCGGAAAAAUCAAAAGGUUUUCGUUUCUACUAUCCAGACAGAUAUACAAAGUUUGUAGAAACGAGAUACGCUGUUUUCUUAGGGGAUGAAUUGGUGAGGGGGAACAUGGUGGCUUGAGAGAUUGAUCUUGAGGAGAAGCGGGUGUGUGAACUCACUCCGAUGAUUUAGGAGCCAUUCUUCUCAUUGCCUGUUGUUCCUGCACCAACAGUUCCUGAGGUCGCGGUGCAAGCACCUGUUACAGUUCCUGACAUUGUGGUGCAAGCACCUGUUGUGAUUCCACUCGUGGAAACGAUGAGUGAAAAUUUGGAACCUAUCCUUUAGGAGCCAAUUGAACCCAUUGUUGCACAUGAGGAAGAGUUGCAGCAGCCACCUCUAGAUGAUGUGCCACAAGCUGAGGCACAGAAUGUGCCUGUAAAUGAGGGGCCUAGAAGGUCUCAAAGAGUUAGAAGAUCAGCUAUUCCUAAUGAUUAUAAAGUUUAUAAUAUAGAAGAAGUUCAUAUGGAAGGUGAUCCCAUUUCAUAUGAAGAAGCCAUGAGAAGCACUCACUCAUCAAAGCGGCUAGAGGCCAUGGAAGAUGAGAUGAAAUCGAUGAGUUCCAACGAAGUUUGGGAACUUGAAGAAAUUUCUAAAGGAGCCAAAACAGUAGGCUAUAAAUGGGUCUACAAGACUAAACGUGACUUCAAAGGGAAUAUAGAAAGGUAUAAGGCGCGACUUGUGGCAAAAGGCUUUACACAAAGACAAGUAAUAGAUUACAAUGAGACUUUUUCUCCUGUCUCAUGUAAAGAUUCCUUCAGAAUCAUAAUGGCAUUAGUGGCACAUUUUGAUUUAGAAUUACAUCAGAUGGAUGUAAAAAGGGCAUUUCUAAAUGGAGAUUUAGAAGAAAAUGUCUACAUCAAACAACCCAAGGGUUUUAUCAUAGAAGGCAAAGAGAAUAUGGGAUGUCGUCUAAAGAAAUCCAUUUAUAGAUUAAAGCAAUCCUCUAGACAGUGGUAUCUAAAGUUUAAUGAUAUGAUUAAGAAAUUUGGGUUUAAAGAGAAUAUAGAGGACAAUUGCGUCUAUGCAAAGUUUAAAAAUGGGAAAUACACUUUCCUAAUCCUGUAUGUGGAUGAUACCUUGCUUGCGAGCAGUGAUGUCAGUUUGCUACUGGAGACAAAGAAGUUUUUGUCCUCAAACUUUCAUAUGAAGGACCUCGGUGAAGCAUCAUAUGUUUUGGGCAUAGAAAUUCACCGAGAUAGAAAGAAUGGGAUUCUUGAAUUAUCGCAAAGGGCAUAUUUAGAAAAGAUUCUAAAGAAGUAUAAUAUGCAUGCGAGUAAAGCCACACCUGCUCCCAUAGUCAAGGGCGGCAGUUUUAGGAAUUUUCAAUGUCUCAGGAACCAAUACGAGCUUGAUCAAAUGAAAGUGGUUCCAUGUGCUUCAGUUGUCGGAAGCCUACAGUAUGCUCAAGUAUGUACUCACCCUGACUUAGCUUUUGUCACCGAGGUACUUGGAAGAUAUCAAAGUAAUCCAGGUAUAGAGCAUUGGAAGAUGGUGAAGAAAGCAUUGGGUUAUGUGCAAGGUACAAAAGACCUCAUGCUUACGUAUAGAAGAUCUGAUUCCUUAGAGAUAAAAGGGUAUUCAGAUGCAGACUUUGCGGGAGAUAGAGAUGAUAGAAAUUCCACGUUUGGUUACGUGUUCACUCUCGCAGGAGGAGCUAUUUCGUGGAGAAGCUCCAAACAGAAAGUAACUGCGUCAUCUACGAUGCAUGCAGAGUUUAUAGCAUGUCAUGAGGCCACGGGGCAGGCGAUGUGGUUAAAGAAAUUUAUACUCGGAUUGAGAGUGGUUGAUUGUAUUCAUAGACCACUAAAGAUGUACUGCGACAAUAAGCCAACAGUAUUCUAUGCUCACGACAAUAAAUCAAGCAAUGCUUCCAAAAUCAUUGAGAUAAAGUUUUAUGUUGUGAAAGACAAAAUCCAGAAUCGCACUAUAAGUCUCGAGCAUAUAAGAACAAAGGAUAUGCUUGCAGAUCCAUUGACGAAAGGCUUACCACCCAAUGUGUUCAGAGAACACUUAGCCGGUAUGGGUUUAAGGGAAAGCCUAUGAUUCUUGGGCCCAAAAGAAAUAGAAUUGUUUCAAAAUAGAGAAGUGUGUCGUAGCUGUUGAUUCUAUCGGCGAGCUGUGACGAUGAGGCAUGCUCUACACAUUAAUCUAUGAUGGAACGAAUAAAACGAAAAUUAUAAAGUUAAAAGUAUAUGAUGAGAUCAAGGGGGAGAAUGUUAGAUUGAUCUCCUCUCUAAUGGGUCCAACGGCCCAUUGAGCCCUUGACUCGCGCCCUGAUCGGGGGCGCCCACCCUAGCAUUGGGUGGUGAGCCCCUGUCACCUGCGCUAUAAAAACAGAGGUGGGGGCCAGGGCGCACGGUACGAGGUUCACCGCGCCACCAGCCACCCCAUCGACAAAACCCUAGACCGACCGAUCACGGGAGUGCAGCAGUGAUGGAAGCACCACCACCGCCACACCGACGACUCAACACGGCACUGCGCGUCGCUGCCUAGCGCAGAGCUCCACCGACCAAACCACGGCAAUGCGCAUCGCUUACUAGCACAGAUCUUCACCGAUAGAACCUGAGAUGGCCAGCGGCUCUGCCGCUUCCACCCCUAGGGGUGAAGGUACCCCAUCUCUCUCUCGGUUAACACUGGAACCCCAUGAACUCAAUGUCAAAUCCUGAAUCCUGACUAGAUGUGCAUCUAGAGUUUCAGAUUUACACCUAACAAGAUUGCCUCAAGCAACGAAAGUGUGUGGAUGUGAGAUGUGCUGUUAAACUCUCUUGGACCCAUGGGUACCCCCAAGCAAAGUUCAUGGCUCAUUUUCUCAAUGAAGGAAACUUUAUUGAUCUUAACCAAUUACCUUGAUGGUACAAUUAUAUUAAGAUAACUUCUGGCGACUUGGCCUCUGUACAGGUAGGAUACACAUAUGACAUAGCCUAAGUACAAGGUUCAUGCAUCACCAAAGACGACCCGGCAAAGGCAAGAAGAAAAGGUUGUCAUGUUGCGCCCUCUCGAUCCGAUCAGAGGUUUUUGUUCUCUCCUGAUUACCAAUACAUGCAUUUUUGGAUUAUCUCUUGCCGUUAGGCCUGCCAUGUUGUUGCUGCCUAAAAAAUUAAUUAAAUUAGUAGCGGUUGCCACACUUGAUUUAGAUCAUCUUUUUUCUAGGCGAAUUAGUGGUAUCUUGUCCAGUUAUCCAGUUAAUUGGCGCAUAAAGUAGCUCCGCUGGUGAACACAGAAUGCCGCCAUGCUAAUAUUACAUAUUUCACAGGUAACAAGGCCACAAGGGCAUCAUGUUUGUCUACCAACUAGUAAAACUCACCAUGCUUAUGAUAUUGGCUUUGUUGCUUCUGUCUUACGGAGUUGGCGGCAUCCGUUGCUUAACGAUAUCGAACACCACAGACAUGCUAUUGUUAUCUGUUUUCAGGGGGGACGUCACCAGUGAUCCAAAAGGAGCAUUCAGCUCCUGGAACACCACCACCCCCUAUUGUCAAUGGAAGGGCGUCACAUGCAGCCUCAGGCACCCAAGACGAGUCACGACGUUGGAACUGAGCGACCAAGACUUGCCUGGCCCAAUUUCACCCUCACUUUUUUUGCGAAAUUUUUCACCAUCACUUGGGAACUUAACUUUCUUUAAAGGUACUCAAUCUGUCCCAAAACAGCUUCUCGGGGGAGUUACCUCACCUCAAUCGCCUCCAGAAACUUCAAAUCCUUGAUCUGGGCACAAACUCACUGCAGGGCAGUAUUCCAGAUACACUCACAAAUUGUUCAAACUUGAUGCAUUUAGACCUCUCUGGCAACAAGUUAACGGGCAAAAUUCCUCCAAAAAUAGGGUUCCUUCCUAAUUUAGUUAACCUUCUCCUUUAUCAAAACAAGCUUAAUGGGACCAUCCCACCAACCCUCAUCAACGCCACCCAGCUAUGGAGGAUUUACCUUGGAGCAAAUCAACUGGAAGGGAGCAUUCCCGACCAGCUUCUGGCAAUUUCCCAAUGUAAUCUCGUUGUUACUUGGUGAAAAUAUCCUUUCAGGUUCCAUCUCUCCAGCCCUUUCCAAUCGGUCUUCUCUUCGUGCUCUGGACUUGAAUUCAAACAUCCUGGGUAAUACAUUGCCAGCAAACAUAGGUAACAUCUUCCACUACCGGAAACAGUAGAUAUACCGAGUGUUAAAUCUUUGUUGAGUGCUUUUUGUUGGGCACUCGGCAAAUGCGCCGUUUGCCGAGUGUCUCCGCCUAUACACUCAGCAUUCAUAAUACACUUGGCAUACAUCCUAGUUGCCGAGUGUCACAGAGAAAACACUCGGCAAACAUCCCGAUGACACUCAGCAAAGAUUUGACACUCGGUAACUCUCCAGCACGUGACUGGCACGUGCACCGUCCGUAGGGGGCCGUGCCGGCCGUUAGAACUUUGCCGAGUGUUCGUUAUCGACACUCAGCAAAUUAAUAGUUUGCCAAGUGUUUUCUCUCGACAGUCGGCAAAUGUACUAGUUUGCCGAGUGUUUUCUCUCGACACUUGGCAAAAGUAAUAGUUUGCCGAGUGUUUUUGGAGGCACUCGGCAAACACAAAACUAUUUUUUCACCUAUGCCCUCCACACUUUUUCUACUCCCCACAUACGACAUUUGGUACUGUAUGUUAAAAGUUGGUCUAUUUCUUGGUCUGUUUUCUAUAUUUAAUGAAUUAAUUUCAUUUAGAGGAAUUUAUUGAUUUAAGUCAAAUUUUAAAUGCAAGUGAUUGAUAUAAUGGAAUGAAAUCAGUGGAAAAAUCAUAUUCAUGUUAUUGAAUCCGGAUUGAGGUCUCAUCCAGGAAAUGAAAAGAAAUUUCGAACAUUUUGUUCAGAAAGCACGACCACGAACGUGUGGCUGAAUGGUUUUUAAAUUCUAAAAAAAGCAAACAAAGUCUGAAAAUCACAAGAUUUGUCAAGAUGUCAUGAUAUUAUAUAUGGAGGCUGUGCUAAAAAAUUGAGAAGGUUUCGCACAAUUUCAGACGUAUGAUGCUUACAAACCAAAACAUCUCCGGAGAAGAUUCGUAGAAGUUAGAAGGAUCCGGUAAGAUUUGGAGUCCAAGUGACACUUGAAUUGGGGUUUAACUUCAAAACUUUUUGUAUAGGCAAUAGACAACAUUGAUUGGUUCAUGUCAAUUUUUGGGAAUUUUUCGAAUCCGUUUGAUAAUUUUUAUGUAUUAACUACAAUUAUAGAAUUUAAUUGAUAUAAAUUCAAUUUGAGCUAUAACUGCAUGAAAUAAUGGAAUAAUAUUAGUAGAAAAAUCAAAUAUGCAUUGUCGAGUGAAUUUGACAAGGUUUUUCAAAGUAUAUUGGAAAAAAGUUAGUAAAACACGUUAUUGAAGGAGUAUACAUGAAAUAUAAGUGUACUUUGCCGAUUGUUUUUGAGGCUUCGCCGAGUGUACUUUGGGGCACUCGGCAAAGCUACUGUUUCCCAUAGUGUUCCCUGAUCUUAUACUACUAGACCUGUAUAAUAACAGGUUAAUUAGAGGGUCAAGUCCCAAUUUCAUUAGGCGAUGCUUCAGGGCUGCAACUGUUAGAUCUAUCAUUUAACAGUUUCGCUGGUCAAGUUCCGAUCCUAGAAUUUUUGGUAAAACUUCCGGGACUAAAUUUUCUAAACUUUCAUAACAACAAACUCGAAGCAAAAGACAUCCAAGGCUGAGAAUUCUUGGACACGCUGAGCAAUUGUAAACUACUGCAAACACUUAUACUAAGUCAAAAUCAGUUGCAAGGAUCUAUACCAAAUUAUAUAGGUAAUUUGUCCACCAGCCUUCAAUGGCUCGCGUUAGGUAUAAACAACUUAUCAGGGUCUGUUCCUAUGAGCAUAUUGAGCAUAUACAACAGCCUCAGCGGUCCAUUUGGAGAGUGGAUUGGAAAGAUGAAAAACUUACAGGGUUUAAUUCUCUAGGUGAACAAUUUGAUUGGACCAAUCCCGUCCUCCAUUGGUGACCUUACUCAUUUGGAAUUUCUCUCUCUCGCACAAAACAAUUUCACUGGUACCAUACCUACCAGUUUGGGAUACCUUCAAUAACUCUCAAAUUUGGACCUUUCCAACAACAAUUUACAUGGUAACCUACCUGCAGACAACAACUGGGGGCUUUGCGGAGGAGUGAUAGAUCUCCGCAUGCCGUGUGCCCUGCAGUUACUCGGAAAAUAGAGUGGAAACAUUAUUUGACCAUCUUACUUAUUUCCAAUAUUUAGCUUCAUGUCACUCGUGAUGUCAAUUUAUAUUAUAGUCCUUGGGAAGACAUCAAGACGGCCAAAUUUAUCAUUACUUUCUUUUGGUAAGAAAUUCCCUAUGGUUUCUUAUAAGGAUCUAGCUCAAGCUACAGGGGAACUUUUCAGAGUCCAACCUAAUUGGAAGGGGAAGCUACGGUUCAGUAUAUAGGGGGAAGCUAACUCAAGCUAAAGUCCAAGUUGCUAUUAAGGUUUUUGACCUUGAGGUAAGAUUUGCAUAUAAAAGUUUUGCCUCAGAAUGUGAGGCUUUGAGAACCAUUCGGCAUCAGAAUAUUCUUCCUAUACUAACUUCAUGUUCAACUAUAGACAAUAAUGGUAAUGAUUUUAAGGCCCUAAUUUAUGAGUUCAUGUUCAUUGGGAGUUUGGAUACAUUGUUGCAUCAAAAACAUGGUGGUGUUUCUCCAAAACUUUUGGGCUUAUCUCAAAGAAUAAGCAUACGUGUUGACAUAGCCGAUGCAUUGGCCUAUUUACACCAUGACUGUGGAAGGCCCAUUGUCCACUGUGAUAUGAAACCAACUAUUAUCUUUCUUGAUGAUGACAUGAAUGCUUAUUUGGGAGACGGCAUAGCAAGUCUUGUUGUUGAUUCUAGGUCAAUAGCAGUUGGACAUUCAUGUUGCAGUAGUUCUCUCACUAUCACAAGAACUAUAGGCGAUAUUGCUCCAGGUAUAAAUGAAGAAUUUUGCCAUCGCCUCCACUAUUUGUAUACUAUCUGUUAUGCACACAAUAAUAAUUUUAUUUUUCAAUUUUUCAGAGUAUGCUCAAAGUGUUCAUGCAUCAACAUAUGGGGAUGUCUAUAGUUUUGGCAUAGUACUUCUGGAGAUGUUAUAGGCAAAAGACCAAUUGAUUCUAUGUUUGAGAGUGUGCUCAGCAUUAUCAGCUUUGUGGAGAGAAAUUAUCCAGAUCAAGUGUUACAUAAAAAUCAUUGAUGCUCAUCUCCCAGAAGAAUGCAAAGACUUUAUUAAAGCAAUGGUGAUGACAGAAAGCAAGGUAUAUCGAUGCCUAUUGUCGCUCAUGCAAGUUGCGCUUGCUUGUACACUUCCAUUUCCAAGGGAAAGAAUGAGCAUGAGAGAAGUUGCCAUUAACUUACAUACAAGCAGAAAAUCAUAUGUUGCAGCAAUUAAGUGAGAGAAAACCAUAUGUGGUGUGUUAAGCCAAGUUGUACGUACUAUGUAGUAUGUAGUACCAGCUCAUACUAAUAUUUGUCUUUAGAACAUUUAGAAGUUGGGAUUUGAGGUGCUGUUUGGAUUUUAUUUUUGUUUUGGUAUCUCUGGAAUUUGAGUAUGUGACUUGUUAGAAUUGAUCCUAUUGAUAAUACAUAGAAAAGGCCUAUUAUCUCUAUCAAGAUAAUUCUAAUUCAUUGGAUAUUAUUUAUUCUGGUAUCUGGAACACGAAAUACAUAGAGUGGAUCAAGAAAAAAAAUGGAACUAUGAUUCAUACUCACUAUUUAGACCCCGCAACCAGACUGGAAAAAAAUUCUAGUUCUUAAUAAAAAAACAAAUUUUUUCUUCCUUCCAAUUUUGUUUGCCCAAAAAAGAACUUUUUUCUCCUUCAACAAAUGAUCUUCAAGCAGAGUAAUGGUAAUGGAAUUAGAAAGCAGCGGCAGGGAUUUUUCUGAUUAGAUGCUGCACAUUAUUGAUGCAAUGCUCAUCUCCAAGAAGAAUGCAAGGGUUUUAUCCAAGCAAAGCUCAAACAGACAUGGGCGGAUGCAGGAUGGGAGGUUUGUGGGGCCUCAUCUCCCUUCCCCUUCCUCUAGCCCCACUUUCUUCUUCCUCUCUCGCUUCUUUCCUCUUCCUCUCUCGCUUCUUUCCUCCUCUUCUCCCUCCUCCUUCCCUAUUCUUUCCAUGGAGUUCCUGAGGGUAGGGGGCUUGAGCCCCCUGCCCCACGCUGGAUCCGCCCCUGGAAACAGAUAAUAUGUGAAUUCAUGAUUGCUAUCUCUAGUGCAGAUCGCUCUUUCUUGGACUUGUCUAUUCCCAAGAGAAAGAAUGAACAUGAGAGAAUUUGUCCGUGUAAGUUGCAAUCAAUCAGAAUGACAUACGUAAGAGAAAAUAGUCAUAAUUCAUAUUUAGUAGAGUAUUUUACAAUGUGGCAGGAAUCUUGUGUAGGCAGUUUAGGUUCUCUUUGAAUGCAAUGGGCACAAAGUUGGCAAUUCAGCCUAUGGGUUCGCAUGUUAAAAAAGAACGAGCUACCCUGCUAUAAAGCUGUGGCAUGUAGGUGGUGAAUGAUGAAUAGUGUAAAGUGCCAUCAUAUUAAGAUUUGGCUUUUGAGCAUUUGAAAAAAUAGUUUUGAUAAAGCAUCAAUAAAUUGACAAAGUACUCAGAUUGCUACUAUGGUAGUGUGUGACAGUAACAAUGAAUGGUGUUUCAGACAACUUUAUGAUAAAUGGAACGACGCUGCUAAUCUGACCGCAAGUCCGCAACCUAGCUAACAACCACUCGGAUCCCUAAUCUGAACCUCAAACUACAGUCAUUCCAAAAGUCAAGGUCGAUGAGAUUAGUGCAGCCGCUGGUCAGUCACCUACUUUUUUUUAUGAAUUAGGAGGGGGAGAUCCCUACUGGUUAUAUAUUAAUAAAUAAAAAUAAAUGUACAAACAUAAGAAAAGAAAAAAACAGAAUUACAACAGAGAUAGCCAGAUGUCUAUACUAGGAUGGUACUUCUUUGCUCGAUGCAUAACCAUGCCAAACUCUUUCCUGAAUAAUUGUUUGCAGUGCAGAGUUGCAGGCACCUAGUUUUCAAAGAUAAAGUUAUUUCUGCACAUCCAUAUACUUCAUGUCAUGAUGACAAUAAUCUCCAUGAAGAAAGGCUUAGCAAUCUGAUCUUUAAGGGAAUUUAGGUUGUCAUACCCAGAUAGGUUGUCAUCUAUGUGCAAGCCUAUCUGUUCCCAACACAAUUUAGCAAAUGGGCACCACAGGAAGAGAUGAAGCACAGUUUCAAGGUUGUUGUCAUUGCACAGUACACAAAUGUAACUUUGGAGAUCCAUAUUCUUUCUCUGCAAAAUAUCUCUUGUAUUGAGUCUGUCCUUUAGAAGUAGCAAAAGAAGAUCUUGUGCUUGGUUUGACAGCAGCUGUUCCAUAUCCAUUUGAAUGUUGGAUGAAUAUCUAAAUGGCCUUUCAAUGUUGUAUAUGCUUUUUGUGAACUGUACAUCUUUGAUCCCCAUAUGUAUGUCCAAAUGUCAUGGGCUCCUUGAUUCUGAAUAUUUCCAAUGCUAUUUUGUAAAUGCAGAAAUUGAUCAUAUGCUUCUAUGGAUAGGGGCAGGUGGAAAAGUGAGUGCAGCUCUUAGGAAGUUUAAACUAGGUACCAUGCCACACCAAAGAUCAUUCCACAGGUAAACUGAAUUUCCAUUAUGGGGGAUAGGAAUAGUCAUAUCUUUGCGGAGAUGCAAGAUUUUUAGAAUGUCUCUCCACCAGAAUGAUCCUUUUUUCACUGAGCCUGGAAGCUUACCAUUGCUGCAGUAAUUAUCCCAGAUUAGAUGAACCCAACCCAUGGUAAGUCUGCAUGGUUGAAGAAUUUAUGCAAGUUUUUCAAAAUGAAAGCAUUAUUUUGAGCUUUGAUAUCUAAUACCCCAAGGCCUCCUUCCUCCUUGGGUAGACACACCAUUUCCCAUGCAAAUUUCGGUGGCUUCUUAGCAUUUAAAUCAGAUCCCCUCCAGAGGAGAUGCUUUCUAUAUUUAUCAAUCUGCUUUAUGACAGUGGCACGUAGCUUCAUAGUAGACACGAUGAAUGUUGGUAGAGAUGUUAAGACUGAAUUGACUAGGAUAAGUUUAGCAUCCUGUGAGAGAAGGUUUGAUGUUACCAGAAUUCUGCUUUCACACUUCUUGACUAGAGGCAUGAAAUCCUUUACAGAAGGUUUAGUGAGGCCAAGAGGCAUGCCCAAAUAUGUGAAAGGCAAAGUCCCAAUUGCACAACCCAAUGUGGAUGUUAGGAGAGAUAAUUUAUCUUUAGGAGUGUUAAUUGGCACUAUCACUAACUUUGAGUAAUUUACUUUCAGGCCUGAUGAUGAGGCAAAGCUAUUCAAUAGAUCCUUGAGAGAAGCUAAUUAUGAUUCAUCACUUUCCAGGAUUCAGCCGCUUGCUUGGCCGUCCACCGCUGCCCGCAAAUGUGACUCUCCAUGCUCUAGCCGCAGACGACGCGUGCCGCCUACGCUCGUGUAGUGGCCGGUUUCAUCCGCAACGGCACGGUGCCGCCAUGGUGGGAACCGCUUUGUCGCUUUGCGACUGUGGUGAGAUUUUGGAAUUUUUUAUUUUUAUAUUUUUAUGAAAUUUGAGCAUUUUGUGAAAAUAUAUGUCCAAAAUCUAAAUGCAUACUGUCAUUUGAAACGGCUAUAGCCAAAUGAAUCGGCGGAAGGUGUACUGCAGCAACCUUACCGCCGAUUGAACCGGCGAUAUCUCUCCUCUCUGGAUAGCUCAUCUUCAAAAAAUCAUAAUCAUAUGAACUCAUAUGAACAGAUUCCUUAGACCCUAAUCGAAAUCCCAGACUAGAACUAGAACCGCCACCUAGCUACAGAAUUGAAUCAAACGAACAGUGAGGACCUAGCUAGGAGAUCUUCCGCGUACCGUUGAUGCAGCUUCUGGUCGGCUGCCUAAUGCUGCUGGCCCGUCCGCCUCUCUGUUUCGUCCUCAAAGUCUCAAACGCGCCGCCUCUCACCGCCCGUCGCGCGUGGAGUGGCGCGCGGUGGACGUCGCUGCUGUGUUGGCUUCGCCCAAUCGCGCUGUUCGCUGGGCGAGGCCGAAUGCGCUCUGUUGGUGGGCCGGGCCGAUCGAUCCGUUCGUGGCCAACAGGCCAAGACUGCUAGUUUGCGGGCUGCAACAAGAGUACAAGACGCAGAAUGAUGAUGGCUGAACAGGCCUAAUGGGCCUCAUAAGCACUCAGAAGCCCACCGCUGCAAAUCUCCAACUCAUACGAAAAAAAAGCUGUACGCACAGAUUAUUUGGUCUCUAGUGUGUCCUUCACUUAUGCAUAAACUAUGCACGUUGUGAUUUGUAUUAUUAAAAAAUUAGAAUAAGAUCUCUAUCUAAAUAAGGCGCUUCCUCUGAGGAGACUGAGUUAGCUAGCUCUUACAUCUCCCUAUCAGAUUUAUUUUUACACUAGUAGAGAAUUGGCUUUCGAUGCGCCCCCUUUUGUCCCGGUUUAAAGUUGGCCCGGGACAAAAGGAGGUGCGCCACGGUAGGCAAAAAUGGAGGGGAGAGUUAGUCCCGGUUGGUAAUUGCAACCGGGACUAAAGGCCCCCCUUUAGUCCCGGUUGCAACGGCUAGCUGGGGGGCGUCGGUGGCGGCACCAUUUAUCCCGGUUGGAAGCUCCAACCGGGACAAAAGGGACACCCUUUUAUCCCGGUUGGAAGCUCCAACCGGGACUAAACCUUCAACCGGGACAAAAGGUAUUCCUUUUUGUCUCAGUUGAAGUUUUUAACCGGGAUAAAAACUCAUCGCCAUUAUAUACGGCCAAGACAGAAGACUUUCUUCCUCCUCCAGCCCGAGCCAGUCCAGCACAUUGACAGAGAGAGCUGAGCUUCACCUACUCUCCGGUGGUGCCGAAGCAAGGGAGGUGCUGCCCGAAGUUUUUUCCCUUAUUUUCGUGGGAAUUUCACUUGGCCAACAUAAGUGUUGUGAAGGUUUGCUACUUCAUCCUCGUGUUAUGCUUUGAUUUAUGCUUUGGAGAUGGAAAGAUUAUUUGCUAGAAUGUGAUGAUGAAGUAGAAAAUGGAGAGGUAUUUUGAGCUAGAAUGUGAGGGAGAUUGAUGUGUCAUAUAUAUAGUAUGCAUUAUUGCAGUGGUUUAAGAAUGAUGCUACCUUGUCUAGACGGUUUAUGUUAUCAAAUUCAAUAUGGUUUUUCAAAUCCAUACUUGUUGAACUUGCAUACCGUGUUCAUCUCUGCGAUGAUGUUCUCCGCCGAGCAGCAACGUAUGUCAAGAAGGAGGUUCGAUUCUACGAGAAAGAGUGGAUACGAACAUCGUGACCGUGUCCCCUUUUCCGUAGCAUCUAACCUCUUUCAUGACGAAGUGCGGUGCCGCCCAGUUGAGAACAUGCUCGCGAGAUGAUCACGGUCUUCAAGUUCAACAACUUAUGCAGUGUUAAGGUAAUAAUUUUUGUACAUAGAUGGCUUCUUCUACUUGUUGAACUUAUCAAAUUCAAUAAGGUUUUUCAAAUCCAUACUUGUUGAACUUGCAUACCGUGGUCAUCUCGCAUAGGAUGUUCUCCGCCGAGCAGCAACGUUUGUCAAGAAGGAGGUUCGAUUCUACGAGAAAGAGUGGAUAUGGACAUCGUGACCGUGUCCCCUUUUCCGUAGCAUCUAACCUCUUUCAUGACGAAGUGCGGUGCCACCCAGUUGAGAACAUGCUCGCGAGAUGAUCACGGUCUUCAAGUUCAACAACUUAUGCAGUGUUAAGGUAAUAAUUUUUGUACAUAGAUGGCUUCUGCUACUUGUUGAACUUAUCAAAUUCAAUAAGGUUUUUCAAAUCCAUACUUGUUGAACUUGCAUACCGUGGUCAUCUCGCAUAGGAUGUUCUCCGCCGAGCAGCAACGUAUGUCAAGAAGGAGGUUCGAUUCUACGAGAAAGAGUGGAUACUGACAUCGUGACCGUGUCCCCUUUUCCGUAGCAUCUAACCUCUUUCAUGACGAAGUGCGGUGCCGCCCAGUUGAGGACAUGCUCGCGAGAUGAUCACGGUCUUCAAGUUCAACAACUUAUGUAGUGUUAAGGUAAUAAUUUUUGUACAUAGAUGGCUUCUGCUACUGGAGGAAGUGGCGAUGGUGGGGGCGAUCGUGGUUCCUAUUUCGGCAAGGGGAAAAUCAUAGUUGGCCCUCAGCAUAAGCCGAAGAAAAAGAGCGCGCUGGAAAAAGCAAUGCUUCGUUAUUUGCAGCAACGUCAUGAAGAAGCUGUUGCCGUGAGUCAGGAACCUCCUUUUGGUGGUCGUUAUGCUCCACCCUCAGUCCCGGGUGUUUCACGUCCACUUAGUACUACCGUUUCAGGCGGCACAAAUAAACCUAAGGAUGAGGUUGGGUCAGCGGAACCUUCGUCUUCAUCGUCCAAUGAUGCUUAAAGUCCUCCUAGAUAAUAACCAGUGGAUGGCUUGUUGUAUUGUAUCAUGUUGUUUGGAACUUUAAUUUAAAUAUGUGUAUUUGGAUCUUCAUGUUGUUGUAUUGUACCAUGUUGUUUGGAUUUUUAAUCGAUUUUCACGCGUAAUCCAUUGUCAAGUGUAAUCCAUUUUCAUGCGUAAUACGAUGCAGAUGGACCGGCAAUGGAUGUAUAAUGCAGACAGGCGGAGCAAGGCGUUUAUUGAUGGCUUGCAUUAUUUUCUUGAAGUGGCCAAAGUGAACAAGCCAGAGAAUGGGUUUGUAUGUUGUCCAUGCUUCCAAUGCAAUAACAAGAAGGAGUAUUCAAAGGAUUCCUGGGGGACUAUUCACAGCCACUUGUUUAAAUACGGUUUCAUGCCUAACUAUUUGGUUUGGACCAAGCACGGUGAACUAGGGGUCGUAAUGGAAGAUGGCGAGAAGGAGGAGGAGAAAGAUGACACCAUUCCAGACUGGGUUGCAGGCCAAGCUUUUGCAGGUACUACAAUGGGCGAGGCUGAUGAAAAUGAGUUUGCAAGAAAAUGGCCCUACUGAUGACCUUGGUCAGGUGAUACGAGAUGCAUACAGAGAUUGCGAAACUGAGAAGGAAGCAGCAAAGUUGCAGCGCAUGAUAGAUGAUCACCAAAAAUUGUUGUACCCAGGUUGCCAGCAGGGCCAUAAAAAACUAGGUACGACACUAGAAUUUGUGCAAUGGAAGGCAAAAAAUGGUGUGUCCGAUAAGGCAUUUCAGGGGAUGUUGAACAUUGUCAAGAAGAUUCUCCCCGAGAAUAAUGAAUUACCGUCCACAACAUAUGAAGCUAAACAGAUUAUUUGCCCUCUCGGAUUGGAUGUUCAGAAGAUACACGCAUGCCCUAAUGACUGUAUCCUCUAUCGUGGUGAUGAAUACGAGAAAUUGGAUGCUUGUCCCGUCUGCGAAGCCCUAUGGUAUAAGGUCAGGCGAGAUGAUCCUGGUGAUGUCGAGGGGCAGUCUCCCAAGAAGAGAGUUCCCGCGAAGGUGAUGUGGUAUUUCCCUAUAAUACCACGCUUGAAGCGCUUGUUCAGGAACAAGGCGAAUGCUAAGUUGAUGCGAUGGCACAAAGAAGACCGUAAGGAAGAUGAGAUGCUGAGACACCCCGCAGAUGGGGCACAGUGGAUAUCAAUUGAUAGAACAUUCCCGGACUUUGAAAGUGAAGUAAGGAACAUAAGGUUUGGUUUAAGUACUGAUGGAUUCAAUCCAUUCGGUGAGUUGAGUAGUGGCCAUAGUACUUGGCCUGUGACCCUUUGUAUGUUCAACCUUCCUCCUUGGCUGUGCAUGAAGCGGAAGUUCAUUAUGAUGCCGGCGCUUAUCCAAGGCCCAAAACAACCCGGCAACGAUAUUGACGUGUACCUAAGGCCGUUGGUUGAUGACCUUUUACAACUCUGGAAGGAAGAAGGUGUACGUGUGUGGGAUGAGGAUAGACAAGAGAUCUUUAAUCUAUGAGCAUUGUUGUUCGUAACCAUCAAUGAUUGGCCUGCAUUGAGUAACCUUUCAGGACAGACAAAUAAGGGAUAUCGGGCAUGCACCCACUGUUUAGACGACACAGACAGCAUGUACUUGAAGCAUUGUAAGAAGGUCGUCUAUAUGGGUCAUCGUCGAUUUCUCCCUACUCACCACUAGCUGAGAAAGAGCGGGAUGCAUUUUAAAGGGGCGCCAGACCAUCGUAAAAAACCUGCACACCGUAAUGGAAAGCGUGUCUUCGAGAUGAUGAAGGAUGUAAAUGUAGUCUUUGGAAAGGGACUUGGUAGCCAACCUGUUCUGAACGACGAUAACGGACAUGCACCCAUGUGGAAGAAAAAGUCAAUAUUUUGGGAGCUACCUUAUUAGGAAAUCAUAGAGGUCCGCAACGCAAUAGUCGUGAUGCACCUGACGAAGAAUCUUUGCGUGAACGUGCUAGGCUUCAUGGGUGUUUAUGGAACCUCAAAAGAUACAUUGGAAGCACGACAGGACCUGAAAGCCAUGGGGCAACGAGAUGACCUACAUCCGGAAAAGAGAGAUAAUGGACAGCACUACUUACAUCCUGCCAGUUACACUCUCAGCAAGGAAGAGAAGGAUAGCAUGUUUGAAUGCUUGAAUAGUAUGAAGGUCCCGUCUGGGUACUCUUCGAAUAUAAAGGGAAUAAUAAAUAUGAAACAAAAGAAGUUUACAAAUCUCAAGGCUCAUGACUGCCACAUGUUGAUGACCCAAUUGCUUCCGGUUGCACUGAGGGGUGUUCUACCAGAAAAUGUCCGGUUGCCGCUCGUAAAGCUAUGCGCGUUUCUCAAUGUGAUUUCGCAAAAGGCAAUCGAUCCAUCCAAGCUAUCAAAGCUACAGAACGAUGUGGUGCAAUGUCUUGUCAGUUUUGAGUUGUUAUUUCCACCAUCCUUCUUCAAUAUUAUGAUGCACUUACUGGUUCACCUAGUAAAAGAGAUUGGUAUUCUCGGACCUGUAUACCUGCACAAUAUGUGUGUUGGAGGUAUGCCCUAGAGGCAAUCAUAGAGAUGAUGAUAUUCCAUUUGUAUCCAUGAUUUGUAUAUUGUGUUCAUUGAAUAUCCAUUAAAGGCUACUUGAAUUGAUUUGCAAUUAUGUGAAUUGUAUGUGAAACUCUUUACUUGUAUGGUUAUUCUAAAGUUGUCCCUAGUCGGAGUUCAUGUGAGGACACACAUGAAUAUUAGACUAGCACAUGUAUUAGUUGAUGACUAUGUUUCACAAGUCAUGGACAUGGAGAUGUUGAACUAAUAAUGUGGACACAUGUGGAGACAUGUGCUAGGACUGACCCAACACGAGAAGUAGUUCUCUCUUUAAACAACAUAUACGCUUUGUCCUUAGACCUGAGAUUGUCGCAUGUAUUCUAGAUGUGGAUCGACCUACUUAGGGGCUAUCAAACGCUACGCCGUAACAAGGUAGUUAUAAAGGUAGCUUUCGGGUUUGUCAAGAAGCAUGCUAUGAGACAUGGUCAAUCAAGAUGGGAUUUGCCCCUCUCUGAUUGAGAGUGAUAUCUCUGGGCCCCUCGAGUGAUCGGAUCCGAAAAUGCAUGGCCAUGCUACGUACGGUUAAGAGUUAACCUACAAAGGGAUUCCGAAUCACAGGAUCGAGAAAGAGCGGUCGGCUUGAAGCUAGACCAAAUAUCGUGAGGCAAAGGGAAUAGCAUGUAUAUUAUGUUGUGAUGGUUCGUCUGAUAUUAUCUUUGUGUGCGUAUAGGAGUUGGCACGUCUUGCUAGAGGCCGCUACCGACUAUUGGGCCGAGUAGGAGUACUCAGGCCAUGUCUAUACGUAUCCGAACCCAUAGGGUCACACACUUAAGGGGCUGGAAGCUCAAUUCGGAUCAGAUCCGAGUUGGAUUAGGUUUAGAAGUACUAAUGGGCCUCGGACCCAGAGGCCCGUUAGGAACCUCUAUAAAUAGAGGGGUGGGGGCGCCCUAGGGUUUACACCUUUUUGGCGAAACACAUCUGUCGCGCCUCCCACACCCUCGCUGUUGCAACUCGCGGAUCUAGCAGUCCGGCUUGCGACGCUUCCUCCCUGCACGUGUGGAUACCUUGGAGGUGUUGCGCCUGCAGCACUUGGACGAGCCGCCAACGAGCCACGACGAGCCGACGACGAGCCACGGCACGAGGGCGAUCUUGCUGCACGUGGACGAGCUGCUGAGGAGCUGCUGGACGUUGACGUGAUCGACUACGUACGACUAUGUUGAUCGACUAUGUACGACUACGUUGAUCGUCUUCACUGCAUCGACGCAAAUCUACAUCUUCCGCACCAGUAGUGCGUCGAGUGGUAAUCCCGUGAUCCUUAUACGGCAGUUCUUCCUGGUUUUACGCGGUAGAAAUUUUGAUUUGCGCUAGUGUAGCCUACCUCGUAUCCCAACAAUGUGGCCUUUCGAGAGGUUCAUGGCAGUCCUAAAAAACUAUGUUCUUAAUCGUGCCCGUCCAGAAGGAAGCAUCGCAAAGGGAUAUGGAACAGAGGAGAUGAUCGAGUUUUGUGUUGAUUUUAUUGAUUCAAUUGACUCGAUUGGGGUUCCAACUUCACGCCAUGAGGGGAGGCUCCGAGGAAUGGGCACCCUUGGAAGGAAAUCAAGUUUGAGCAAUGAUACUGAUUUGUUCGACAAGGCACACUACACUGUUCUACAACAGUCAUCCUUUGUGUCUCCGUAUAUCGAGCAACACAGGCAGAUGGUAGCUUCCAAAAACCCGACCAAAUCCGAUGCUUGGCUUACCCGUCAUCACAUGGAAACUUUUCCCUCCUGGUUGCGCCAACAACUUAUGGGUAACUCUGAGAUUCACCCACAGCUUGCCUGGUUAGCCAGGGGACCUGCUAGCACAAUCGUUAAAUUCCAAGGCUAUGAGAUAAAUGGUUACACAUUUUACACGAGAGCCCAGGACCAGAAAAGCACGAACCAGAAUAGUGGUGUCCGCAUAGAUGCCAUGGACAGAAAUAAUAGCAAGGAGUCGUAUUAUGGUUUCAUACAGGAGAUAUGGGAACUCGAAUACGGACCGCUGUACAUCCCUCUAUUUCUUUGCAAUUGGGUGAAGCUAACUGCCGUAACCAAAGAUCAGUAUGGAAUGACAAUAGUAGAUCUAAGCAAGACUGGAUACAGUGAUGACCCAUUCGUACUUGCCAAUGAUGUGCAUCAGGUGUUCUAUGUGAAGGACAUGUGUAGCAAACCCAAGAGGAAUCCAGAAGAGACAUGGGAGCCAAAGUGCCACAUAGUUCUUCUAGGUAAAAGAAAAAUCGUGGGAGUCGAGGAUAAAAUAGACCAAUCAGAUGAUUAUGAUCAGUUUGAUGGCAUGCCUCCAUUCGCCGUUGAAGUUGAUCCAAGCAUCCUGCUAUCCAAAGAAUAGGCCACAUAGUUUGAUGUACAAAAUAUGUGAACUUUUCAUCCUGAAAUGCAGUGAAAAGAUAAAUAAAAUCCAUUUCCAAAAAACAGGCGGGAGAAGAAAACUAGGAAAAAGACCUUUUGUCGCGGGUGCCAACAGCAACCGGGACAAGAGGCCCCCCUUUUAUCCUGGCUGCAAACUGCAACCGGGAUAAAAGGGUACUUUUCGUCUCCCACCUGGACGUACCCUUUUAUCCCGGUUGCCAACUGCAACCGGGAUAAAAGGCCCCCCCUUUUACCCCGGUUGGUGGUGGCACCCGGGAUAAAAGGGUAGGCUCCUAGCCCCACCUGGCGGGGCCUUUUAUCCCGGUUGGUGAUGGGACCCGGGACAAAAGGCCCGUUAGUCCCGGGUGCCAUUACGAACCGCGAUAAAAGGGGAGGGGGUUAAAAGGCACUGUACUCCCUUCUACCCCCACGCCAGUUACACUUAGAAAAAUUUUCGCCAAGUCCCGCGCGUUCUGCUCCGUCGCUGCCCGUCCGCCUCCCUCGCCGGCCGCCGCCGCCGCCGUCCCCCAUUGCCCCGGCUGUCGUCGUCCCGCCGCCGACCGCGCCCAGACAUCCUCCUCCUCCAUCGCCCCGGCCGGCCCGCUUCGAUCCUCCUCGUCCGUCGCGCCCGGCCCCUACCUCGUCGCCGCCGGCCACCAGAGCUCCAUCGCGGGCCUCGUCGCGGCCUCCAUCCUCGUCGCCCCUCGUCGCCGUCCCGCCUCCGUCGUCCCGCUGUCCCGCGCGCCUUGGCUCCGUCGUCGCCUCGGCCGCCGUCCUCGCCGCCCCGGCCGCCGCCGUCCCGCCGACCCGGCCACCUCGUCGCCCCGGCCACCGUCGAUGACCGCACGCGCGAGGUCCGCCGCGCCGGCCGGCACUGGCGCCGGGAGUACCGCCUUGCUGAUGCAAGCCCACCGGCUUGCGUCAGCAAGGGCCUUUUUUUUAAGUUAGAAAAUUAAGUUAGAUUUUUGUAUAUGUGUUUAAGUUAGAUUUUUAAGUUAGAUUUUUUUUAAGUUAGAUUUUUAAGUUAGAUUUUUAAGUUAGAUUUUUAAGUUAGAUUUUUUAAGUUAGAUUUUUGUAUAUGUGUUUAAAAAUCAAAUUAGUGUAAAUUAGUAGUAAUUAGGUUCGUCGCUCUUAGGUUAGAAAUGAAUCGUGUUUCGUCGUGGUUCCGUCCCCGCCUCCGCCGUCCCGCCGCCCUGACCGCCGCCGUCACAACCUAGUAGGCACCGCCCGUGGUUCCAUCCCCGCCUCCGCCGUACCGCCGCCCUGACCGCCGCCGUCACAACCUAGGCACUGCCUGUGGUUCCGUCCCCGCCUCCGCCCGCCGCCCCGGCCUUCGCAAAUUCAUGUUAUUGCUAGAAAUUCGUACAAAUUCAUGUUAUUGCUAGAAAUUCGUACAAAUUCAUGUUAUUGCUAGAAAUUCGUAAAAAUUCAUGUUAUUUCUAGAAAUUUGUAAAAAUUCAUGUUAUUGCUAGAAAUUUGUCACAAAGUACUACUAAUUUGUAGAAAUUUGUAUAAAUAUUCCGAACUUUGUAGGAUUCAUGUUAUUUUAUGAUUUCAUUAUAUACAUAUAAGUAAGGCGAUUUCUAUGACUGUCAUGUAUGAUUCCAUGUAUGUUUCAAUCAAUAGUUGAAAUGGUAGACGAUGAGACCGCAAGGUAUAUCAUGGAGCAGAUAAUCACUGGCGAUGGUAGUGGUGACAACCUUCCACUAUCGUACACGGAUGAAGAGGGCACCCAGGCAGACAUGUUCCUCAACAUGUCCGCCGAUGGGAAUGAAGAGCAACAGCCCCAGCAACACCUUGCCGUGGCCGGAAGGUUCCGGCGAGGUAUAUAUAACGAUUCUUGUAUUGUUUCACGCCACCGUUACUACUACGUACUAAUUAACGAAUCUUGAACUGUUAGCCCUCCGGAUCGACGCAAGGGCAGAAGACCCGAGGUCGUACAAAGGUGAUGGAAGGGAGGCUUGUCAUCACGGAAGUGACAGGAGAGGGCAGGUCGGUUGCUCCCGAGAAAGUAGCAAAGAAGUACGUGAGUCAGAUCGGGGCAAUCGUCCGAGACAACGUGCCUAUCAGCAUCAGAGAAUGGAAGGGUAGAAGCACUAAUCCGUACGCCCUCCCGAAGAUAGAAAAGAAUAUGCUGUGGGAAGACGUCAAGAGACAUUUCACAUUCCCCGAAGGAUAUAUUGAGAAGGAUGUGAAAGCGUGGACGCUUAAGAAGAUGGCUACACAAUUCCAGACAUUCAAGAAGAUGCUGGAUACCUACUACAUUAAGAAGGACCGAACUCCAGACUUCAAUGCGUGGCCAAAGUUGAGGGACCACUGGGAUGCAUUUGUUGAAUAUAAGAGGAGUCAAGACGGUGUGAAAAAGAUCAUGACCAACACAACAAAUGCUAGUCAGAAGGGCUACCAUCAUCAUCUGGGGCGAGGUGGGUAUGGCUCAGCAAUUCCCAAGUGGAGGAAGAUGGAACAAGAUCUGAUCGAACGGGGAAUCGUACCUGCAACUAUUGAAUGGCCCGAACGAUCAAAAAAUUGGUACUACGCUCAUGGAGGCUCCCUGAGCCAAGAGGAUGGGACGUUGAUUUUUAAUGACACAAUACGUGAGAAGGCCGAACAUCUUGUGAAGAACAUUGAAGAUUCUAAGGCUGGGAGGUUGAAGGUGGACUGAGAAAAUGAUGAGCUCAUAUUGGCCCUCGGUAAUCCAGAGCACCCAGGACGUUGCCGAGGGUUUGGGGUGGUUCCGUGGAAGUUUGCUUUCCGAGGUGACAGCGCCUCGUACAGAAGCCGGAAGCGAAGAAAGGAACAGAUCGAGGAGAGCUGGCGGCAGAUGCUAGAAUCUAAAGUGCAGGCACAAGAACAAAGAAUGAUGAAUGAAAUCAAUCAUCGAGUGGCCCACGCAGUUGCGGAGUUGGCCCAAUCUGGAGCAUUGUCGAAUCCUAACACCGCCAGCCCUUCUCAACGCCUCUUGAGCAGUUGUGCUUCUACAGGGGUCCCCGAUGCGCAGACGCCAGGUUACCCGUGGAGGAGCAACGGUUCCCCGUGGAUGCCAUCACGCAACGGACCUCAUGUGAGCUGCAUGCACCGGUCGGCAACCUCACUAUUAAGGUAUACUUAUACAUAAUAUUUAUGCAAUCUUGUCAAUUGAUCCAGGCCUCGAGAUUGGAGUUUAACUUGUUUACUUCUGCUAUAUGUACAGGUAGCGUACGGGAGUGUGUUAGCAACCCUGGCGGGGCAGAGCAGUCAUGGCAUGGAGAUUCCACCUGGCUACGCCAGCGUCCGCGUAGAGCAAAUAGUUGAUAGCCAAUAUGAAGGUCUAGAGCUCGACCUCCCGGGAGGCGACGGGGAAAAGACAUUGUCAGAUGCGCUUCAUGGGAUCAUUCUAUGGCGAAAACGCUACAUCAUUAUUCCCGGCACGGAGCCAUCUCCUCAGAGCUCAAGACCGCUCCCCGUAGAUCCCCAGCAGCGACCUUCUCCUCAUACCUCGAGACCGUCAUCUCCUGCUCCAGGACCGUCCCUUCCAUCUGUAUCAAGGUCUCCAUCUCCACCACAUCCUGGUGCUGGGAGCGAUGACGACAAUAACAACACCCCUCCCCGAUCACCGUCGCCGGCACCAAGAGCGGCCCCCUUGAAGGAACCUGCACCACCACUAAAGAAGUCACGAGCACCGCCUCCCAAGCAAAGACAGAGAAAGAAGAAAACAAAGGAGCCUGAAGUGACUCGCAAGGAACGCUGGGAGGCAAUGUCUCAUGCGGAACAGUGGGAAGAAAUCCAACGAGAGGCCAGUGAGUGGUUCAAGAAACAAGCCAAAGACAAAAAAGCAAGGGAGAUGGAGCCACCGCCAGUAAGUCGAAGAGAUUUAAACUUUUUUAUCAGGAUGGAAGAAGGAGCCAAGAAAAGGAUACCACUCUUAUCAAACUAUGAACGGGCUUUAGUAAAGGCUGAUGAAAAGGAUAAAAGGAAAGGAAAGUCAUCUUCCAGCGGUCCUAUCCACGACCUCAGCCAUUUAUCAAAAAAAGAUGCUCAACGGGUAAAAGCAAUGCCCUUGGAUCAACAAGCAAAUGUAUUGAAGUUCAUGGAAGAAACAGGUCUGGGACUUGAUGAAUGCAUAGGGCAAGUUGAGACGCCAACUGCACCGCCCCCUGAGCCGAGAUGGCCUUAUGAGCUAGGCAAACCUCUAGUAAAGCCUUUAUUGGUACGAAAGCUAUCAACAAAGAUGUACGCAUUCCAUCAAUGGUACAUGAUGGCAUCCGCCGACUCGAGGGAGAUGCUCGGCCUGAAGGUAAAACCGAUAGAUUUUCACGACGAAGGGGAGAAAGUGCUAUGGCUAGACUUCAAGGAUAUAUACGAAGUGUACCAUCAUGAUGCCCUGGACGUCUCUCUGAUCAGCGCUUGGGUUCUGUAAGUGCCCGUUUAUCUCUACAUGUAAAUUUUGGCGUGCGUCACCGUACUAACUUCGUCUUCCAUUUCAUGUAGGAUGCUAAUUCAGACAUGCCGCCGAGAGGCGUACCUACAUAUAGGCUUCAUGGAUCCAUCUGUAGUUAACCAACAACAGAUACAAUUAGUGCUGGAAAAAACCUUGGUGGAAGUAUACAAUUUCCUAGACAAACAAACAUUCAAGGAUUUCAUACUACUUCCAUACAACUUCAAGUAAGUGUGUGUAUACCGUGUACUUUCGAUGUCUUUUUCCUUAUCUCUACAUGUUAGUUAGCUCUAAUAUGCAUGAACAUUUUACGCACGCAGCUUCCACUAGAUCCUUAUUAUAAUUGAGCCUGAAAGAAGCCACGUCACUGUCUUCGAUUCGUUGAGGAAAGAUCCGGUGGAGUACCAAGAAGUGCAAGACAUGCUAGGCUUGUAAUAAUUCUGGACCUUUAUCUCUAUGCAAAAGUUUGUUUCCUAAAUUUUAUCCCUGUUACACUAUAUCAUUCAUUAUUCUAAUCCGCAGCGUAUGGAAAUAAUUCAUAAGGACACACAAAGGUCCAUUCAAAGAAAAACUUACAUGGAACACAGACUUCCCGGUACGUAUGAAGUCUGCACAUUUAUUACAUUGUAUAACAAGAAUAUUUCGUAACUUAUUUUUUUUCCGCACUGAAGUGCUUAAGAUAGGAACCCGGGAAUAAUCUAUGUGGCUACUAUAUCUGUGAGCACAUGCACAGUUUUAUGGGACCCAAGGGACUGAAGAUGACGCCGCACAACUUUAAAGUACGUAAAAUAAAACUAUUACUAGUUAAUUAUUUUCUAGCUCCUUAUAUGUAUUUGUUCGUGUAACAUUCACAAAUUUCCAAAUUAUAGAUGUUAAAUAUUCAACAAGGACUCUUGAAGGAAGAAAGAGUAGCGGCAAUAUGUGAAGGUCUCAUUGGAUUCCUAAUGGACGAGGUGGUAGAUCCAAAAGGAGAAUUUUAUUACGAUGGAUGACAAUUAGACACUCCGACCAGCAACACCAUGACGGGAAGAUUGUAGAUAGAUACUUUGAUUUAUUUGUAUAUAUAAUGCGCGCUAAUUAUGAUCGAUUUGUACUAGUUGAAUUGUGUAUAUGAAUUGUGUAUAAGAAUUGUGUAUAUAUAUAGUAAUUGUAUAAUUACAAAUCCCAUUAGUUUAAAUACUAGUUGAUUUUGUUCUAAAAAAAUCUCAACUACUAAAGGUUAACAAAAGGGCCGUGGUACUACAUACGUGAUGCAUGCAUGAAAAAUUCAGGCGCCAGGCAGUGCCAUGCAGGGCGCCAUUUAGUCCCGGUUGGAAUCCAGCCGGGACUAAAGGGUAACCCUUUAGUCCCGGUUGCUUUUACCAACCGGGACUAAAGGGCCUGUCCCGCGCCUGGCGUGGUAGGCCCUUUAGUCCCGGUUGGUGUCACCAACCGGGACUAAAGGGGGACCUUUACUCCCGGUUAAAAGACCCGGGACUAAAGACCCCCCUUUUGUCCCGGUUGGUUUAUCCCAGAUGGAUUUUCGGGGAUGCACCCUACCAACCGGGACUAAAGGCCAAUUCUCUACCAGUGUUAUGAGGAAGAGAGAAGGUGAGAAGAGAGAGUUCGAGGAGAGAAAGUGCAGUUUUUCAAGAGAUAGCUUAUAACAAGAAGGUGUGUUCCAUAUUUUAUUAAUUAAAGAGAGGUUGUUGGAGUAGGAUGCUUCGAGCAAUGUGCUAUUAUAUGAGUUGGAUAAGCUUAUGGACAAUGCAUGUACUAACUCAACCAUAAAAGUAAGUUUGCAUAAUUCAUCGUGGAAUGAUACACCGUGGUCAACAGAUCUUAGUACAAAGUGCUGGGAUCAAAGACCCCGAACAGACGAGGGAAACAAACCGUAAGAGAGAGAAAUCAUAUAAUCAAAUAGGCACUCUCCCCCAAAGCUCUAGGCUCUAUUUAGAGGGAGGAGCACAUAACUAUUUAUAUUUAUUCCAUUGAUGAGGUAAAAUAUUACAUAUAACUCUCUAAACUUUACAACGGCGUCUGAGAACAUUGGAAAUAAGGCAUACACCUUUAAAAAAAACCGUUAGAUGUCGCGAAUAGGUCAUCGAACCACUAAUUCAAUCUUUUUUAUACGAAGGGGUUCCUAGCCUUGGCAUCCUAAGGCGCCCCAACACGAGGAUUGAAAAAAUUAAUAUGAACAUGGAUAUUUAUUUGAGGUAUAGACUCAAACCUUAAGUGAGCAAGUUCCACCAUGUAAAAGCUAACUAGUUGCAGUAUGCUCAGUUUGCUAAGUUGCGAUAUUUCUAUCGAAUCUCGUAAAUAAAGAUCGUCGGUCAAUAAAGACAUUGGCUUCUUUAGUAAUUCAUGGUAAUGUAAGACAGUGGAAACUAUUCGCAGUUUACCAUAAACAUAUAUACCUUCCGUAAUGCAUACUAAGAGCAGCCACUUCAAUCAAAAUCCUCGAAGAGAAAGUGCUUUUGGCCAUAUAACUGAAUUGGGUUUCAAACUUUCAAUCACCAGAUAUCCUGAUCUAUAAUUCGUACAAUACCCACCGUUAGCAUUCUUAGCAAAAUCGUGAGAAGCACGGCCUCCAUAAAUCUGAUCCAGAUCGAAUACUUACAGUUACAGGUUUACUUGACCGGCGGCGUUAGUUGGCUAGGAAAACCAGUGAACAGAUCAAAUCCACAAUCACUACUACUUCACUAGAAAGAACCAAAAUGAUUAUGGAGACAAGAAUCUUGUAGCGGUACCAUUCCACGAGUUGAAUUUUGUCAGCAUCGUAUGUGGCUUACACAUCCGCGCAGAAAAAUUUCUGUUCGAUUCGCUGAACAGUGACCGCAGAGCUCUUGGAUUAAAAGCGAUGGACAUGCCGCAACAAGCUCGUCCAGCUCAAACAGUGACCGCAGUGGCGUACCUUUGAGGAGAUGAAAGCUGAAAAGCCGCGGUAGCUGCCAAGAUUGACGGACUCAAGGUCGUCGCUGCAAGGGCAAGGGCGAUAAUAACCUUAGCAAAGGCGUGACAGUGCCACAGCCACAGCCCACAGGGCAUCGCCGCAUCGGAGGCGUGUGGACGUGAGAUGCUGUAACUGAUAAUACUCACCCAACGCACUGCUUGUGGAUGAAAUGGUGAUGUAAAAUCGUUUUUGAACCCUGGAGCCCUGAGCCAGCUGUGCAUCCAACUCAAAGUUCACAGUUCAAACACCAGACUGCCAAACGGCAGGACCAAGCUCGUCAAAACCGCUGCUGCUUCGUUCGCGCUCCAUCCUGCCGAUCAGAGGUGUUAUGUUCCUUCUCUAUGAAUAUUUGCAUCUUUUACGUGUCUUAUUUGCAUAUAAGAGGAGUGCUCUCAGGCUUCCUAAUAUUUUAUUGGUUGUCAGUGAUGUGGGGGCAUUUGACAAAGUCAAUGCUCCGCGUUUCCUUCGCUUAGUGCUCUCUCGCAGUAUAGUAGGCGAAGCUCAUAGUUAUAGUCAGUGGCAUGUACGAGGCUAGGGAUAAGUUCGAAUUAUGGAAUCAAAUAAAUUUGGAUAGCUCUAUUUAGAGCAGUUCCAGUGUAUUAAAAAAAUUGAAUCGUGGAUGUGGAAAACCGAACUACGGGUGUGUAUCACGGACCAGGGGUGUUUGGGAGGCAUGGGCUAAACUUUAGCCCCUGUCACAUCGGAUGUUUGGACACUAAUUAGUAGUAUUAAACAUAGGCUAAUUACAAAACUAAUUGCACAACCCCUAGGCUAAAUCGCGAGACGAAUCUAUUAAGCCUAAUUAGUCCAUGAUUUGACAAUAUGAUGCUAUAGUAACCAUUCGCUAAUGAUGGAUUAAUUAGGCUUAAUAGAUUCGUCUCGCGAUUUAGCCUAGGGGUUCUACUAUUAGUUUUAUAAUUAGCUUAUAUUCAGUCUUCCUAAUUAGCAUCCGAACAUCCGAUGUGAUAGGGCUAAAAUUUAGCCCCUGCUAUCCAAACACCGCCUAAAGUUUAGUCCAUGUUACAUUGAAUGUUUGAUACUAAUUUUAAUUAGUAGUAUUAAACAUAGACUAAUUCUAAAACCAAUUGCAACUAUGGAGACUAAUUCACAAGACGAAUCUAUUAAGCCUAAUUAAUUCAUAAUUAGCAUAUAUUUACUGUAGCAUCACAUUGUCAAAUCAUGAACUAAUUAGGCUUAAUAGAUUCGUCUCGCGAAUUAGCCUCCAUCUGUGCAAUUGAUUUUAUAAUUAGCUCAUAUUUAAUUCUCCUAAUAAUAUUUAAAUAUUUGACGUGAUAGAGUCUAAAUUUUAGUCCGCGGAACCAGCUAAAUACUUUGCGAACAUCGUAAAGUGCAGCUAAAAAUUGCACUCCGCAAACGUCCACAUCACCGUUGCCGGUCACUCAUCACGCCUUCACACGCCGACGAGCUGCACUCGGAGGUCCUCUGAUGAAGCCUGCCGGUCACUACAUGCAGGGCACGGCAGAAGCAGUAGGCCUGGAGAUCUCAUCGGUGAGAUGGAGUAGAGCUUCUCCAACAGUCAUUUAAUAAAUUUUUUUCAAACAUCCUAAUAUCCUUUCGUUGUUAUUGGAAGAGUUGAUUUUAGAAGAGUCAAAGCAACUCUAAAAUCUUCCUUAAAUUACCCUUAAUACCUUAAUUAGGGAGAAAUUAAUUAGGGAGAAAAAGAAUAACCUCCAACAGCUCCCAAAAGAUCCCGCAAACAUACAACGACUCCGUAUCCCGGCUUCCUCGCUCGCAUGUUUCCACCGGCUCUCGGCACUCCCAAUCCACGUUUUUUUUUCCACAAGAGGCGACGUGGCACGUCGUUAUUUUUCUCCCCGUGAAAAAGUCACUCGUUUUAAUUUUUCUCCCCACGAAAACGUUGCUAGUUUUAUUCUCCCACACGAAUAUCCUUUUUUCAAAAAAAAAGUCGUUGGUUUUCUUUUCACGGUAGAGAGUGCCCCCACAAAUGGAUAAUGUCUAGCACUUAAAGUUUUUAGCAACUUUUUUCUAGGUACUGUUGGAGAGAGGAACUUUUUAGCUCUUAAUAUUUUUUAGAAAGGUCCCCAGUUUUUGGAAGUCUAUUUUUGGGGCACUCUUGAGAUGCUCUCACAACUCCUCCUUUAUUUGGGGAGAGUUGAGGGAGAGUUGAGGUGAAUUAUUAGUUUGUCCAAUAGUUAUUGGAAAUAAAGGAAAGAUUAAGGGAGUUUGUCGGAGCACUAUUUUUCAACAACUCUACCAAUAUGAUACUUGGAUCGGGGAAUGGGGAUGAUCUGUUUGAGAUACUUUUAAACAAUCACUACUAGAAAAAUAACCUUUCAUCCACUCCCUUAGUACCGGUCACAUUUUGACCCGAUACUAAUGUUAGCAUUAGUACCGGGUCCAAAUUUGAGAUCCCCCGAAGGUCUUUUAGUACGGGGUGGUGUUACGACCUGAUACUAAAAGGUCUAGAACUUUUAGUACCGGGUACUAACACCACCCAGUACUAAAGGGAUACUUUUAGUACCGGGUGGUGUUAUGACCCGGUACUUAAGGCCCUUCACGGGUUACUUCAAAAGGAUAGCAUAUCUACCUCCAUCACAUGCGCUGCGUAGGUGGGAUGUCAAGAAAAGCUCGCGUGAGGCUUGAGGUCAUAGGCUCGAAUCCUACAAAUCGCGCACGACGCGAGACUUUGUUUUUUGGUGCGAAACAAGUGUUACCAACCAGUACUAAAAACAAGUGUUAUCAAUCAGUACUAAAGGGAUCCCUUUAGUAUUGACCCAGUCCUACUGUACAAUCGGUACUAAAGAGUGCUUGGAACCGGUACUAAAAAGCAGAAUCCUCAGUAGUGAGUGAAGAAGCUAUCUCGGUGGGGGAGUGAAGGCAUGUACGCCUAGGCCUAUGAUCACGUAUGUUUGUUUGGGGUGGUUCGGAGUGAACGUGGAUGGUUUGUUUUUAUGAAGGCCGGGGUGUUUUGUUCCUUAAAAAUAGCUUUAAAAAGUGAAUUUCUAGUAAUGGUCAUGAGGCGAACCGUCCCUUAAAAUAGGAGCGGAUGGACCGAUUUUUAGAGGCAGUUUAUAAGGAGCAUCUCCUAGAAAUUAAACCACCACUGGAAAACAUCAUGAUGCACCCUGGAAAAUUAGGAAUAAUCCUUUAACCAUCUGAUCCCCCUCUCUCUUAUCCUCUCCACCCACACAUCCUCCCUUCUCUCUCACUUAUCCUCCCAUGCGCUGAUCCUCCUACAUUCCUCCUCUAUUUCCCCCAUGUUUUCCUCCACUCCCACGUAAGAACACACAAGGACGAGCGAUCACAGGCUGGAGGUUGGUUGGUGGGCGAGCGGGCAGCUCCGACGUUGUGGCAGGUGCGGGCGUGCGGCGGCACGCCUAGCUUGGGUGCCGGAGGUGUGGAAAGUAUUUUUUUCUGCACUAAAAAUUCACAAUUUUUUCUGCACUAAAAAUUCACAUAACCUUCAAAAGUAGUAUAUAUAGUUUGGUGAAUUUAGUUUUAAGGUUUAAACGAUGCAUAUGUGUUUUCAUGCAAAAUGGGUUCAUCUGCAUCUGUUUUAUCACCACAAAAGUUUCAUGAAUUUUAUAAGUGAUUUGAAGGUCGUUUUGAUUAAGAGAAAAGAGGUUAGAUCAAAUCCUUGAGAAAUGGCUUCCAAACAAACCGAGGCAGGUGGAACCGUUUUUUUUUUUUUUGCGACUAAAGUGGAACCGGUUAAGUACUGCUAGAAGCAUAGUUAUUAGUCUAUUAGCAAGGACCGCACACAAUAGGCUUCGGCGAAAAACAUCAUUAAGGUGCUUGGACAGGAGGGAACCAAGAACCAAUUGUAAUCUCUUACCACAUUAGUGUUAUAAAGACUAUUGUGCUUGUGCCCCGAAAUAUUUUUAGCAUGCAGUGGUUGCGAGGAUAUAAUAAUAGCGUAAAUUGUAAAGUGAUGUUUGGUCCCCCAUGUGUAAACCAAAUUUUGAGGAGUAUAAAGAUAGAUCGGUUGAUCUUAAUUAUUUCAUUGAUGAUGCGUUUAUAUCUUGGAAUAUCAUUGUCACUUGCUGAUCUAUCAGAGUGUGCUGCAGUUGGCCGUCUGGAAGGAGAGCUGGCCCUUGCCGAUGUCGAAGAGGAGGUGCAUGUUCUGCUGCUGGAAGUUGCCGAUAAUGCUUAUCUCGAACGCUUCGAAGAUAGCCAUGCAGGCCGUCGACUUGUCUAUUGGCGCCCAGUAGUUCUCCGGAGGCAGGGCCAUGUCCGCGCCGCCGCUGAAGUGGAACACGAGCGUCGGCACAAAGCUGUCCAAGUCGCCCCGUGCCACACACAGCGCCAUCCCACCGCCAUCUCCCCCCGGAGGUGGCACGAGGCUGCCGUUCAGCUGCCGGGCAAGCUCGUCGGUUAGCGGCUUGUACGCGUCUUCGACGAGCGAUGUGAAGGGGCUGCCGGAGUCGAUGAUGACCCCGCCCGCCCAGAACCCCUGGUCAAGGCGCCGGAGAUCGAACACCGAGCUCUGGAUGGGCAGCUUGGUCUUGCCGACGGUGAUCCCCACCAAAGGGAGGUAGUAGAACAGGCUGUAGGGGUAGUCCUUGGGGUUCUCCGCGAACGGCAUGGACGUCACGGGGCCGCCGCCGCCGCUCAGGCUCGCCGCGGCGCCGACGAACAGGAGGCUCGACGCGCCGUUGUUGUGGAAGUAGGGCGUGAGGCAGUAGGAGAACUUGGUGGCGCCCGUCUGGGAGACAAGCGACAGGCGUCCGCGGCCGAGCCCGAUAAGGCUCGACGCGCCGCGGAGCGCCCCCUGCGUGAGCCGCGAGAAGCUCACGCACCCGAAGGCGAGCGUCGCCACGCCGGACUGGAACGCAAAGGCGUCGGUGCCGAGGAAGCCGAUGACGCUGCCGGCGCCGUAUAAGACCCGGAACGUGCAGCUGCCGUCCAGGGCGCAGAAGUGCACGCUGUUGGCCGCGCAAGCCCUGUCCCUGCACAGCACGGGCGCGAAGCUGCCGGAGGCCGAUGCGUUGAAGUAGGGCAGGUCCUGCCGCUCGCAUGACUUCCGGAGGCAUGCCGUGGACUGCGUCCAGAUGAGGUCGCUGCCGGUGUCGAUGAGUGCCUCCACGCGCUGCGGCGGGUCGCCGAUCAGGUACUCCGCGAUGUACUGCCGGGUGGCCCAGUGCACGGGCGCACUCACGCCGCCGCCGCCGCUUGCACGCAUGGAAGCCAGGCGCUGCUGUGUGACAGCGACGGCACGCUGCACGCGCUCCUCCGUGGUGUAGCUCCCCUUGGCGUUGACGUGGGUGAGCUUCAUGCGGACUCCUGUGGCGCUAGCGGUGCCGCCGCCGCCGCUGCAUGUUAUUACAGCGCUGAGGCACAGGAGCCCGAGUAAUACCAAUGUCGUUGGCGCCAUUUUCGAUUUCAACUUUGUUCUUGCCGAGACUUAUUGUAGUUGUAGCCGUUUAAUACCAAUGUGCAUGUAUGUGCAUCAGUAAAUGUGUAUACAGGAAGACAAUUCUGAUCUCCAGCUUGUGGGUGAGCAAUAUAUGGGUGGCCGUGCAAAAACGGCUGACUACACGUUGACUCUAGUUACUAUCAAAAUAAUUAUAUACUGCCAGAGCUUGAUGACGACAGGACAAUGCUGCCAAGGCUCAAGUGUAGAGGAAUAAUACGUAAUAAUCUGGGUCCUUCUCGAUUGAUUCUAAUUUCUAUUUUCUUCUCGCGAAGACCUUAUCCGUUGGACGGUGAUAGUUAGAAUGGACCAAGAUUCCAUAUGGGCUAAUACUUUUAAGAAACAUAGAAUUAUAAAAUAACAAUUAUAAAUUCAUAGAAAAAUGAUCUCUCAUCUCACACCUUAGUACUGGCCACAUUUCAACCUGGAACUAAUGCUACCGGGUCCAAAUUUAGUAGCCCUAGAGGCCUUUUAGUACUGGAUCAUAACACCACCGGUACUAAUCGUGGUGCUAUGACCCGGUACUAAAACUAUAAGGACUUUUAGUAUUAGGUCAUAACACCACUUGGUACUAAAAUGUUACUUUAAAAAGAAAAAAUAUCUCUUAGUCCAUCACAUGUGUUGUGUCGGUGAGAUGGUAAGGAAGGUUCGCGUGAGGUUUGAGGUCGCGGGUUCGAAUCUCACGCACGCAUAUUACGCAUGAAAAUCACGUGACUUGCGACUUAUGAUGUUGUGCGUGUGUGCGAAACUAUUUAGUACCGGUUAGUGUUACCAACUAGUACUAAUUUGGCCCUUUAGUACCGGGUGGAUGACUAGUACUAAAGGGAUCCUCUUUAGUACUAACACAGCGAUACCGAUUGCCAAACCAGUACUAAAGGGUAGCGUUUAGAGCCUAUACCAAAGAUCACUUCUCUAGUGAGAGCCUGUAGCUAAUACUAAAAGUUACUUACAUUGCUCUCUCUGUUAAUUAUUAUAUCACAAUACUUAUAAGAAUAUGUACUUAUUGUUUAUCUAGUUUUAAUAGACUUUAAUUAGCAAUUACUCCAGGUAUACAUUAUACCUUUUUCUCCAUGUUCAUAUUUUCUUCACUUUGCACCACAGCUGCAUAUGUAUCAUGUGUUUAAUUGAAUCACUAGUUUGAACAAUGUGUAUAGUAUGGAAAUCGGUAUUCUGGUUGCUUUAUGAUGACACACAUCAUGCAAUAUACCUUAAGUACCCUAAGUUAAUAUUUUCUACAUUAAUAAUGUCAUAAAUAGAUAAUCUCAAAUCAUAUAUUGAUGUGUACUUUGGUCUACUUUUUAAUAGAGACAACGAGCAGUUAGAGCCGGAGGGGGUUUUAAAUUGCGCGCAAGCUGUGGCCUGCGGGUGUGAGUUUAUUUUGCAACGGGGACACCGGCACGUCGCACGGUGCGGGUUAGGUUGCUAACGUGACAUGUGAAUGCUUUCAAUGUGGCAUAUUUCCAAAGUUCGUGAAAGACUGAAAGGUCAUGAUGCGCGGGUUAUUUUGAGAAUUCUCAAUCAUAAAGGCGGAGAUUCACCGAAUAUUUGACAUUUUUCAUAUCUUUAAAUUAAGGUUAAGCAUAUGAGCACACAGGCCAUGUUAGGAUCGGGAUCUUUGACAGCAUUAGAUUGUAGAAUCAUGAUUCCGUCAGAUUCUAGAAAAGAAGAUAUAUUUGAAGUAUAACAUUAAUCAUAUUAUGAAGAUAGAAGUCUAUAAUGCCGCUUUGAUAGAGUUAUUAAAUUAUGUAUACUUAUUAAGUCCACAUAAUCCAUUCAAUUUGAAUUUAAUGUAAUAUUUAACAUUAUUUAACCAUAUUUUAAAUCAUUUAAAAGGGUCAAAGUAUUCAUAAUAACAUUAGGAAACAUGAAAAUAUUCAUAAUAACAUUACAAAACAUGACACGCCAUACGAUGUAGAGAGUAAAAUAUGUAAAAUGAAAUCCAUAAAACAUAAUUAAGCAUAGAUAUUACAAUAACUUAGAUGUUAGUAAAAUUUAAUAGUAGGAUCAUGAGCAUGUAUGAUCCCAUAGGAUCCUACAUCAAGGGUCAUGAUAGAACGGAACUAAGAUCAACAAUGGGAUCAACAUGAGCAUGUUUCGGCUCGAUGCUUCAUAUAUUGUGUAAUAUUCAAUAUUUUCUUGAAUAUUUUUUAUCUUUAUUUUCACAACGAUGUUUACACUUUCGCAUUUAUGGGCAGCAAAUCUAUUUGUGUAUUUAUAUUUCACUAUCUGGUUGAAAAGGGAAAACAAUUGUAGCUACAAAAUUGAAUUUUUAAUGAAUACUCAUCUUCAGCACUAAAGCUUGAGUAACAAACUUUGUAGUUAUAGAAGUAAUCAUGAGCAUGAAGUAGUUAGAUGUUGAAAAACUAUCAACCAGCCAUUCCCUAUUCGGCUAAUCCUACAUUUAAAACUGGUCUAUGAAAUUAGUUGUCAACAUAAGAAUAAGACAAAAAGGAAUUUAAGGACUUGCAUAACUUAUUUUUCAUCACAUAGACUUACUACUUAAUAGACAAUUUUACAAAGUUAUUUUGUCAAAGAAAAUGAUCAGCCCCCUAACUCCCAACAACCUAGUGAAUCGUGGCUGCACCUACAUGAUUCAUAUUGAAGUUUUAGGAUACCUGUUGUACAUGUAGCAUUUGCAUGAAAGAGAACGGCACUUGAUAAGAUUUUUGGAAAUUAGAUGUAGUUGAUCAGUUACUAUCACUUUCGUAAUCACUAUUAUCAUGCUAAUACUCCUAAGACAAAAUGUUCUAGCUUUCCAACAGAAGAACGCGAGAUAAAACCUUCACCUGCUUCUCUUAUUUUAUGAGAAACUUAGAAAUGUAAUUACCAAUAACCCAUUCAUGUAUUUAAGAAUCAUUAUGCAGUAUCCUUGAUAUGCAAGAUUUUUCUGGCUAAAGGAAUAUAAUAUUAACCAUUUCCUUUUAUUUCAUUGAUGGUUUAAAUGAUUUUAGAGAAAUGCAAUGGAGUUUCUGUUCCGUUAAAAUCUGCUGCAAAAUACCACAAAAAUCAAAUCCUGGAGAGAGAAAAAAAUGAUUCCAUGUAUAGGGUAGCCGAAGGGGUUUCAUUACAUAUUUUCUGCUAAAUUGAUACUAAUGCUGGUACGACCUCAAAAAACUUUUCAACGUUUUGACACCUUUGAACUCUGGACUUUACACCUUGUUGAAGCCGUUACAAACAGCGGUGGACGCAACGCAGAGCACAGAGACUUUUCCCGGAUACCAAAUGAUAAGAAAAGCAUUGGUUCUUUUUCUGCAACGUCGGCCAGUCGGUGACCCGGUGCGGCAGCUCACGUCAGAUGUGCCGGCCUGACGCCUGCCUGAUCAUGUUGUAGUUCCUCGAGGGAAAGCCGGGUAGUAGAAUUCCUUCAUCUUUAUAUAAUCCCUUCCCUAAUCUCUUUCUUCUUGAGCAAUAAGCAAUGCACGUGGUGCGGGAUGGGUUCUCACGUGGAGGAGGAUCCGGGUCUUUGCUUGAUCUGACAGGAAAAAGGAAUUGGUUUGCAAGUGAUCGUUGGUCCUUCGCAUUCUCUCGAGCUUCCUGUGAUGUUCUUGUUCUCACUCCCAUCAGUUGGCUUGUUUUUUCCGAUACACAGUUUGCUGAAGCAUUAUUGAAAACAUUACCCCGUCUGCUUUUUUUUUUUUUUGAGAGACUGAAUCAUUCCUCAAACCUGGGCCAGAGCCCAGAAGCAAUGUAGGCUUCAGACGAUCAGAGCGGGCCGCGCUGCUGGAUUUCGGCAGUGACUGAAGUGGCCCAAGAAACCAAUGAUGUAAGGCCCAAGAAGUUACCUGUUGAAGGGAAUCAGACUCACUAGUGGCUAGUCACGGUGCUGCUACCUGCACGUGUGCAAACUGGUAAGUUUGACGGACUCAGGCUAUCAGCACCGCGUGAGCGGUACGCCCAUCCGCAAAACCGUGAGGUCCACACGUUGUGCAGAUUUCUAUCCACGGAAUGCUGUCGCGCAGAGAUCUCUAUGCCCAUCUGCAAAUCCACGUGCUGAGCGACGAGUGGGCGUGGGGUCCCGUGUGCGGCGCCAGCAGCAGCGGGUGUGGGAGAGAGAUUGGGCUGGAGAGAGAGGAUAGCGUCGGAACGCGCAGACGCUGGGUUUGCAGUAUCCCUGUAGGGAACGGUGGCAUACAGAUUCAUAUAGAGACCUGCGCUGCAGCUACUCAACCUCCACAUUUCACGUACAGGCCUGCUUACUGCUCAAUGGUGCGGAUAGCCUCAAGGUCUUCGCAGCAACAGCGGUCAAGCAAUGAAGUUAAGAUAAGCUGUGACAACGGUGGAUAAGAGGGUGUGUAUGCGACGAAAUUUCGAAAACUGUUCUUAAACUCCCGCAAAAGCAACUCCCAUAGAUUGGCCAUUUCCCUUUUAUCUCCAUAUAAGAGAAUUACCUUUCAAAAUUCCAAAGUACUAGGUAGAGUUGUUGCAGCAGAUCUCAUUUUCCCUUUCCUCUUUCCAACUUCUCUUACACAUGGAACCCACAUGUCAGUGACAUAAUAAUUUUUUUCUUUUUUUUUCUUCUUCUUACUUACCUUCUCCUUUCUUCCUUCUUGCACCCUUCCUUCUCGCUUGGUGCGAGUGGCGAGCGCAAGACAGCAGCCUGGGUAGGGUUGGUGUAUGGCGCGCCGUGGCGACUAGGGCAGGGCGUGUCGGCCGGCCCGCAAGGGUGCACGAGCACUGGGCACCCAAAGCGGCCCUCCGAUUAGCCGCGCACGGGUGAAGUCUAGGGCGCCGGGUAGGGGUAGUGGCGGCGCGUCGUGCGGUGCCCGCAGGUGAGCGCCCAUGGCGGUGGCCAAAGCAGGGCCCGCUGGCGAGCUCACAGGCAGGCAAGCGAGUGGCACGCGGGGCAUGCAUGGCGAUGACAUCGGGCGGCCAGGAAUGCUUGGUGGCCUUGAGAUCGUGGGGCGGAGGAAAGAGGAAGGAAAGGGAGGAGGAGCAAAUCCUCAUCGAAAGAGGAAGAUAAAGGGGAUUGAGAUAAAAGAAAGGGGAUAGAAGGGAAUAUGUUGGAGCAUUUUUUUUACCUCUCAAUCUCCUUUAUAGCUGAAAAAUAAAAAUAGAAAAAGGGAUUUGUUGGAGUUGCUCUAAAGGUUCUUGAGCAACCAAAGUCCCAAAUAAACAAACUCAAAGUUCAUAGUUCUCAGUUUCUCACACCACCACCCGUCAGAACCAAGCAGAUAAAAAGGCCUGGCUAUCAGGGCUAGCUGUGUGCUCCGGCCCGUCGGCCCCUCCUGAACCUUCUUUGACAUAGCAGCCUUCGUUCAUAAGCUGCAGACAGAGCUACUCUGUAGCGAGUGAUUGAAUCUGCAUCGAGCAAAGACAAGCCGUGCAUAGCAGCCUUUGGUUAUCUGCCGUCGAGAGAGUGAUCCCGAGCCGUGUCUGCAGGGAAGAGAAUGAAGGAAGAUCAUGUACGUGUGGAGUCAAAGGCUUGCAACCAUACCAUGCAUGUCCAUCGCUACCGCAGCGCUCUGCCUCUCUCGUCUCUCCGCCGCGCGCGCCGCCGCUCCUCAACGGUGCACACUGCACAGGCUCGCACGAAGUACAGGCAUCUCCUCAAAUAAAAAGUAUUUGUUGAUGCUUGUGUACGAGUAUUUGUUGGAGAUGGUAAUGGUGGCCGGCUAGCACGUGAUGCUUCAAGUUAUUGCAGUGAUGUGGGGGAGCCGCCCUUGCUGCUGGUGGGCCCGCCUGAUCUCCUGGUUUAACCGGGAUGGAAAGAGGAGUCGCGCUCGCGCCCAUGCCCACGCAUGCAGCGUGGAAAAGUCAAAGAAAUAGACUCUGACGCGUGUAGCUCCUCCGAGCCAGGCCGCUCCUCAGCUCGCUCUAGCCUCUAGCUCCUCCGUGCCAGGCCGCUCUUCAACGCUUGCACAGGUUUGCGGAGGCGGUCCAUGCCGGCCGGAGUCGACUAGGCACUUCGAAUGAUGGAUCACAGAAAGGUACAUUUGAUUUACCGAUUUUGAAGUAUUGUAACAAUGACCUGCAAAUUGCAUUGGUGGCCACAUCCGUUUCAGAUCCAUGGCUCCGCGAUUGCUAGCUAGGCUGCAAGGAGGCACCCAGCAGGCAGUGUCAAAGGCUAUUCAUGCACACCAUCCAUUCUGAGUGUCUGUCAGUCUAGUAGUUAUGCAUGUAUACCGGUUAUUCAGCUGUCAUGCAUGGCUCGUCAGAUCCAACAUGUAAAAUGCAUGCACGUCGUCCUUCAUCUACUUCAAGAAGCUGCGGAAAAAGGGCUAAAACUCUCUGUUGGUCAUUUUUCACCGGCAGGUCAGGAACAAGAACUUGUAACAGGUAAUGAGUUGCAUGACUCAGUUCACUUGUACUUCAGUAGUAACAGGCAAUAGUUGAGGGACGGCGCGGCAUGCUAUACGCAUGGCCUAGCGAGUGAUUCAACCUGCAUGGGAGCAAAUGUGAGUCGUGGCUGCCUUCGUUCCCUGCCAUCGAGUGAUCCAACACCGGGUCCUCCCUUCCUUCCCCGGCGUCUCUGCUGCGACGUCGACGUGCGUGGAAAAGUCAAAAAUUAAGGAGAGAGAGAAAGAAUGCCAACGCGACUCGUGUGGAGUCAAAUAAAAAAGCUGGACCCGGCAGGUCAACCAUUCAUGUCCCGCAGCUCUGCGCGCGCGCCGGAACCAAAGCGUGGACCGACUCCGACCGUGCUCGAGCAGUCGAGCUCGAUUCGGGGCCUUGACGCUCCUCGCUCAAUAUAAUGUCACUUGUCACUACAGGAAUAUACUCGGAAGAGGGUGUACAAGAAAUUGUUGGAGAUGCGUCCAUUGUAUUGAUGCUUGUUUACGAGUCCGUAUUUGUUUGAGAUGAUGAGCGAUGACAGUAUGACACGGUGGGGGUUAGCACCUGAUGCUUUAAGGGUGUGGAGGAUCCCUUGCCGCCGGUGUGGCCUGAUUUAAUUUAUAGUGUAGCUGAACCGGGUUGGAAAGACAUGAACUCCGUGAUGGCCUGAUGAGUGGCUUGGUUGGUUGUAGUCGUGGCGGAGGCGGUGCAUGCCCCAUGCAUGCAGCGUGCAAGCCGCGCGGAGUAGUUACUAAGCGGUCAGGCCCCUCGUCGGUGCAACGCCGGGGCUACGUAUUUGGAGUACAUACUAGUACGUUGGUUUGGACUUUGCCGUAGUCCGUAGUAGAUAGCAGGUGAUCGGUGAUGAUCAUGCACGUACGACUUUAUUUUGGCCAGGCGUCGUCGCUUCGUCCGAUCGCCGUGUUGACAUGCACACCCGACACCGGCGGCCGGCAACGUGAUCCGGGACUUGCCUCUGCACUUUUCUGCUGCAGUGCAACUUGUUUAAACCUUAUGUUUUCAUCGAACUGUUUAAAUGCCAAAAAGGAGGAUGAGUGACUGUCUAGCGUUUAACGUGUAGAAAAACACUGAUUUUGAGAGAGGUAGCAUUCAUUGUUUUUUCUUUUCAUCAGUUUGUCAAUAGGAUAGUUGGAAAAAAUAAUCUGACUGUAGAUUAACUAGUAUUUCUAAAACAUAUUAUUUCAUUUUAUUUCCUGAUGUGGGUGGGCCUAGGAGCCUUGAUACCUAGUCAUCUUUCUCCAGCUCUAUUACUGAUCUGAGUUGUCUCCAUCUUACUUACUGCUAUUUGCAUUUGCAGUUUGCUCUUGUUCCAGUAAACCCUGCUCCACCCACUGGCAACGCCACCAUAGAUGCUGAUCUUGCUCGAGUGUCCAUGAUGUAUGGUGGGGUCGAAAGGGUUCGGAGCCUUCUACAUGCUCGUGCUGACGUAAUGAUGACUUCGGGUGUCUUCCUUUUUGAGACGAAGCGGUACUGGAAACUGCAUGACCGGCUGCUGGCGGCAGCGAUGGCCCUUCGUGAGAAGGUUCUGAUGGACUAUGGGGUUGAGGCCCCAGCACCCCCCGAGUACUUCUUCUACAACUUUUGAUGGAGUAAAAGUUUUGGAAACUCUGAAUGACCUUUUGAAAUCCUUGAACUCGUGUUAGGUAUUUGAAACCUGAAUUCUUUCUAGGGUGGAAGAUUUGGAGGAUCUUGUUGGUUGUCUUAAACAUGUAAUCUUGUUUGUUGGCAGAAGUUUUGGAGGCGCUGGAACUCGGAGGACUUGUUAGUUUGGAUAAGUCCUUUAUCUGUGCGAUGGUACUGGUGUAGUGGUGUUAUGUGAACUUGCUGGUGCUUAAAGCCAUUUUGUCUGUUGGAAUGCAGGUCUAUUCUCGCUGCAUCUUUCUUGUGAAAAAUUAGAGAACUUUAUGUUAUGCCCAUCUCUUUGUUUUUGCUCUUCUCAGUAGCCGGAUGUCAAGCUAGCUAAUGCGUGCUACAAAGCAGGCAACCUGCGCAGGCAAGCGAACAUGAGGCAGAGGAUAGCCAAGCAAAAAAUCAUACCCAAGUUAUCUGCCGACCAGCAAUCACUACGGGAAAGCUACAAAUUGCUGAGUGCCCCAGUCACUCGGCGAAACCCUAAAAACACUCGGCAACGUGUUUGCCGAGUGUAACACUCGGCGACGAGCACACGGCAAAGUUUUACUCGGCAAAGUUAACUUUGCCGAGUGUCUUUGGUCGGGCACUCGGCAAAGGGUGUGCCGAGUGGCACAAAACACUCGGCAAACAAUAUUUUCAGAAAAAAUAAAAAAAACAUACCCCGGCCACCGGGGGCAGCUCCAGCUGGCCGCCGCCGCCGCCGCCAUCUCAACCAUUGCGACGCCGCCACCACGCCCAGGCCAUCCACGGCAGUUCCAGCUGCUCGACCGUCGCCACCACGCCCGGGCCACCAGCUCCGGCUGCUCCACCGCCGCCACCACCGCCUGCUCCGCCCGCCUUGGAGUGCGCCGCCGCCACUCCAUCCACCUUGGAGUGCGCUGCCCGCCUUGGAGUGCGCCGCCGUUGCUCCAUCCCGCCGCCACCUGAGCUUCUUCCCGCCAGGCACCCUCCCCGCCGCCACCCGAGCUGCUUCCCGCCAGGCCACCUCCCCGCCGCCACCCGAGCUGCCUCCCGCCACCACGCCGCCUCGCCCGCUGCCGGAUCCGCGCCAGAUCCGGAGGGGAGAGAGCAGGGGGCCGCCGGAUUCGCGCCGGAGGGGAAGAAGGGGGCGCGGAUCCGGCCGGAGGGGAGGGAGCCGGGGAAGGAGAGGCCGGAUCCGGAGGGGAAGAAGGCGUCGAGCGGCGGGGGCGGGGGCCGGGCGUCGAGCGGCGGGGCUGGGGGCCGGGCGCCGGGCGGCGGCGGGGGGCGGCGGGCGCCGGGCGGCAGCGGGGGGCGCCGAGCGGCGGGAGGCGGCGGCAGGGAGAGAGGAAGAGGUGGGGGAGAGGAAGAGGUGAGGUCGAGUGCGGGAUCGAGGGGGCCGGGAGGGAUAAGGACGCCCGCGCGGUUUGGAAAAAAAAAAUUCGCCGAGUGUCCGGUGUGGACACUCGGUAAAGGGUUUCUUUGCCGAGUGUCCACAUUAGGACACUCGGCAAAGUUUUUUUAAAAAAAAAUUAAAAAAAUCUCACAGUUUCAAAAAAAUACCAAAUUUUUACACGAAACAAUAUAUGUUCUCUAUUGACUAUACAAAAAGUUUUGUAGUCAAACCGAACUCGACCGUCACUUCAACUCUAAAUUUUAUCGAAUCCUUCUCAAAGUUACUAUUAUUCUUUUGAGAUGCUUCAGUUUGUAAUCAUCGUAAAUGAUGAAAUGUGCAAAACCUUCUCAAUUUUUUUCCACAGCCUCCACGUAUUAUAUCAUCACAUCAUGACAAAUCUCAUGAUUUUCAGACUUUGCUUGUUUUUUUUACAAUUUCAAAAUACUACCGCCACACGUUCAUUGUCGUGUUUCCUGAACAAGAUGUUCGAAAUUUCUUUUCAUUUCAUAGGUCAGGUCUCAAAUUGAGCCAAAUAACAUGAAUAUCAUUUUUCUACUCAUUUUGUUCCAUAAUUUGAAUCACUUGCAGUUCAAAUUUGACUUAUACCAAAAAUUUCCUUGAAAUGCAAUUAAUUAAAUAAAUAUAGCAAAUAAAUCUAAAAAUAUACCAAAUUUUAACAUGGAGUACCACGUGUUGUAUGUGGGGAGUAGAAAAAAUUUCAAGGUGAAAAGAGAAAAAAAAUUAUUUUUUUGCCGAGUGUCAAAAAAAACACUCGGCAAACCCCCCUCUUUGCCGAGUGUCUUUUUUGACACUCGGCAAAGAGGGUAGUUUGCCGAGUGUUUUUUAUUUGACACUCGGCAAAGCCCCGUUUUGCCGAGUAUAUUUUUUUUGCCGAGUAUUUUUAGCUUGGCACUCGGCGAAGAGCUUGUUUGCCGAGUGCUCGAAAAAAACACUCGGCAAAAAAAAAAUACACUCGGCAAUUUGAAGCUUUCCCGUAGUGAAUUACCGCAUUUGUGAACACGACUGCAAAGCUGACUGGCAGCAUAGGAGGAAAAUAGAAACCAUCACGGGACACAACAGUACGAUCAUUCACAGGAGUGCUAGCUACUACACAAUGCAAUUUUCAAGAUAAAAAAGGUAAAGUCAAAAUCAUUUAGCUUAUUCUCUCUAUUGAUCGCUAUCUAAUAUGAAUCGGCAUGGGUUUAACUUCAUAAGCGAUAUCAUGUGCCCAGGUGCAUGGUGCACUGGAUUUUUACUCCAUAGUUAUUUUUAUUUUCCUUGUCUUCUUUAUUUCUUUCUGUCCUGCAUGCAUCCAGGAGUGAGGGAAACGAAAUUCAUGUGUUUCUAAGGCCUCCAACACAUUUUUUUUUGUGUUCCUAACUAUACUAUAUUUACAGUUAACACUCGUUGGAGUUAUAUCAGGCACAAUAAUCUUAUGUAGUUUUCACCUAGUCAUGUUGUGAUCAGGAAAAAUUGAGUGUUGGAGUCCUACAUAACCCAAAUUUAACUCAACUACAAAGGAAAUAAACUCUUAGCCGUCAAUUGCAAAUCUAGUGAAUAAAAAAAAAUCGGGCUUUAAAGCCCAUGGAACUCCCGGGUGUGAUGUAGAUGUCCAUUAAGAUUCUGUUGGGUCUGUAAGAAUGAUUUGUACUUUCAUCUCAACAAAUUCUCUUAUAUUUCCUAAUAUUCCUAUUUGUGUUGUACUAUUUUGUAGAAUGUAGAGAAUGGCUACGACGAGGUUUUUGAUAGAAAAGAGGGAAUGUAGUGGGGAUUCCCUGGAAUAAAAUGAGGCAGCAGAAAUUAUUGAAUACACUACGUUGCAAAAGCCAAUCUUACUAUUACUAAUUGGAGGCUCCUUUUGAAGCCUCCAGGUAAAGCCACCUAGGAUUCCUAGGUGGACACUCUAGAAAAAGAGAAAAAUCCUAGAAAUUCUCAUAAAAAAGCAAAACAUCCGACCAUUGAUCGAUAGAUUCAAAUCAUCAUAGCCAUUAAAUCUAUUGUGUUUUCUAAAAAAUUACCCACCUAUGCCAUUAUGAAAAUAGCCUAAAUAACCCCCUAAAUCUAUAUAUAAAUUACCCACCUCUGCCAUUAUAUAAAAUAAAAUAAGUAACCCCUAAUCUUCAUCAAAAUUACCCACUUAUGCCAUUAUAAACAAUAUUUAAAAUAACCCCCUAAUUUGCAACCAAAUUGCCCACCGCUAUUACUUAAAAACUUGCAUCUAUAUUACCCACACAUACCAUUAUUAAAAAUAACAUGAUAACCCUAUGUUUGAAUCAAAUAACCUUAAUUAAAAUAUACAACAAUAUAUGAUUCUAAAUCGUCUAUAUCUUGCACUAUUGGUAUAUGAUAUAAUAAUUAAGGUCUACACACAUGAUGUGUCACCAUUUAUAAAGAUAUAGAGAAAGUGAUGAGAAUAUAGAUUUCUAUGUUAAAAUUGUAUCACAAACUUAGGGUUCAUUAAACAAAUUCAAGCGCAUACCUGCGAUGCAAAGGGAAAAGUUAAAGAUUAUAAAUGUGGAUGAAAAUAUUAUAGAGUAAUUACUUACUAAAUCUAUCACAAUUGGAUGAAGAUAAUAAGUAUAUAUAUCUAUUGUGUUUGAAUAUUUAACAAACGAGAGGUAGCUUAUAGAGUAAUAUUUUUUAGCAAUGUAGUCCCAUUUUUUUCCAUUGGAGACUCCGCAUUAGUUCCCAUCAGACAAGCUAGAAAAAAAAGAGACAAAUUCUCAUAAAAAUCAAAAACAUCAUACACCAAUCCUGUAAAAUCUAAUAAUCAUAGCCAUUGAUCUAUUAUAUUUUCUAAAAAGUUACCCACCACUAUCAUUGUGAAAAUAUUCAAAAAUGAGCUCUAAACCUAUAUCUAAAUUACCGAGCUCAGCUAUUAUAAAAAAUAAUCUAAAGUAAUCCCACAAUCUUCAUCCAAUUUACUAAUACAUAUCAUUAUAAAGCAUAAAUUAAAAUGUCAUUCUAAAAUUUUAUCUAUAUUACCCACGUAAGUUGUUUUUAAAAAUAACCUAAAUUAAACAUCUAAAUCUUAAUCUAAUUAUAUUCAUGUGCAUCAUACAUAAAUAUCAAAAAUAAACUAAUAUAUGAUUCUAAAUUACCUAUUUAUGUCAUUAUUAAUAUAAAAAUACUAAGUUAAAGUAUACACACACGAUGAGUGUCACCAUUUAGACCAUUUAUACAUGUACGUGAGGAAUCGAUGAAAAAUAUUGAUUUGUAUGCUAAACAUAAUGUAUGGAGGAUUGGAUGUGCGAUACAAAAUGGAAAAAGUAUGAAUAUGGAUGAAAAAGUGCAUAGAGUAAUUAUUAAUUAAAAAUCAAUCACAAUUGGAUAAAGAUAGGUACAUAUCUAUAUAAGUAUUAUGUUGACGUAUUGAAAAAAAUAAGAGAGUAGUAGGUAAUCAAUUUUGAUUAUUAGCUAGGAGUUUAAUUUGUAAAUAAUUUUUAAAUACAAUAACUUCUAAAAAUAUUAACCCGUGCGGGAGCACGGGUUGAUGGACUAGUGAAUCUAAUACUGCAACACGGGGCUUCAGUCUUGAAACCUCUGCUUUUCAGCAACCAAUCAAGAAUCAUAAAAUUCAAUCAGGCCAGUAUUUUUAGAGGAAAAUUACUCAAACUUCGUUUAAAGAAAAGAGGAAUUACUCAAGUUCAACGUCAAAUCGACACGAACGGGUACAGCAAGGCAACGAACGAUUAUCAUUACGACUAUCCUAUUACACAGGGAUGCAGCAAAGUAUAGCAAUGGCAGAUGGAGCACAGUGACUAGUAGCCAGACAGCUAAUUGAGCUUGUUGGUUUUCCCGCAGCCUGCUUGGUGACUCCAUGCCGGGACCUACUCCGGCCAGGCGUCGCCGGCGUCGCAGUGGUGACCUCCUCGACCGCGUACCCUUUGGUGUAGUAGUCGUUCAGGAUCCGUUCCCUCUCCCGCAUGAAUCGCGCCUCCAUCUCGUCGAGUUCCCUGAAUAUAUUAGCGAUCAGGUGAUGUAGUCGUCCAUUUGAUCCAUGAGCACCGGGAGGUUGCCCUGGUCAGCGAGGUUCAUCUGGGCCAGCCUCUCCUUGCUCACCUUGGGGAUGGCGUCCUCGGGAAAGUACACGGUCUUGUAGCGGAUCAGGCUGUUGAUCUGCUCCCGCGACAUCCGCGCGUGGUUACGUUCAUCGUCGCCUUCAGUGCAUGUUUUAUUGAUUCUGGGAGGUCACAGGCAGGAAAAGAAAAGAAAAAAUAAAAAAGAUUCGUCCGGUUGGAUUGGAACAUCAACGCGGGGAACCACUUGACUCAACUGCCACGCCUAACUGGUCAGAAUGGGAUGUCAACGCGGUCUCACCAUUCCACUCACCACGGCAACAGGUUCGUUGUUGUCUUACGUUGCCGCCUGUGGAUCCGCCGCCAGUGCCUUGCCCUUCUCAAUCUGGGCCUUGUCCGACGAACUCGACAUGGUUGCCUCAAGAACCAGGGGACAGUGCUUGAGUCUAGAGAUGAGAUUGAUUGGGGAAGAAAGAAGCUCCUCCCCCUCUUAAUUUGUAGCACCGCCUUCUGUAGUGCUCGGAUACGGGGUGGAGUUGGAAACCGUUUCUUGUUUCCGUAUUGUUCUUUAGUACUAGGAAACAAUAUGGAUACUAUUUUUUCCUUCUAAUUUUAACUUUUUAAAAUAAUAUUUUAAAAAUAACGCCACAGUCGAAUAUUUUCAUCUCGUGAUAUUCUUUUCGUGCCAAUCCGCGUGACGCGACAGGAUAAUUUUUGCCAUUUGAUAUCUACUCCCUCCGUUCCCUCCGUUCCAAGUUCCCUCCAUUCCAAAUUAAAUCGUUUUAAUUUUUUAUUCAUAAAUAUAUCAAUAUUUAUUCCAAAUUAGAUCAUUUUAGUUUUUUUAUUCAUAAAUAUAUCAAUAUUUAGGAAUAAAAAAGUUAAAAUGAUCUAAUUUGGACCGGAAACGGAGGGAAGUAACUCUUGAACUUUACACCUUGUUGAAGCCGUUACAAACAGCGGUGGACGCAACGCAGAGCACAUGUCAGAGAUUUUCCCCAGAUAGCAAAUGAUAAUGGUUCUUUUUCUGCAACGUCGGCCAGUCGGUGAUCCGGUGCGGCAGCUCACGUCAGAUGUGCCGGCCUGACGCCUGCCUGAUCAUGUUGUUCGGUUCAGAAUCCCUUCAUCUUUAUCUAACCCCCUCCCUAAUCUCUUUCUUCUUGAGCAAUAAUCAGUGCACGUGGUGCGGAACGGGUUCUCACGAGGGGGAGGAUCCGGGUCUUUGCUUGAUCUGACGGGAAAAAGAAAUUGGUUUGCAAGUGAUCUUUGGCCCUUCACAUUCUCUCGAGCUUCCUGUGAUGUUCUUGUUCUCACUCCCAUCAGUUGGUUUGUUUUUUUUCCGAUACACAGUUUGUUGAAGCUUUGAAAGCAUUACCACGGAACCACUGGUUGUUAAAAAACAGUCAAAUGGCAGUCAACGCAAUUCGUGCAUUCCUGGAAUUGUUCAUUCAACUUUUUGCUUUUGAUUUUUUCGUUUCUAGAAGUGUUCAGUCAUUGCUUCUGGGUUCCGGCUGCUGUGUGCUGUGAUUCCUCAGGCCUUGUUCGGUUGCAUAAGAUUCGUGCCGGAUCGGGAAUGAUUCCAGGCAUGGAUCAAGAGCUGGUUUCAGGUUGAUUUUUCUUUUCACCAAAAAUCUUGUUGGUAGAGCAUGAAUUCAAUCUAAGAACUAAACUAAUUGCAACAAUGAUAGGUACAACAAGAGACCGGGAUUGAUUCCACACCCCUCGACAUAUGGAUUGAUUCCAGGUUUAAAUUGGGUAGAAGGGUUGGGAUGGAUCGAGUUUCAAACCAUGGUGGAUUUAACUGAACACCUCUUCCCUCAAUUUCAGUAUGAAAGAAAUGGCUUGGAACAGGGUGUGGAAAAGAACCGGAAUGAAACCUAUGCAACCGAACAAGGCCUCGAAGGGCCAGAGGCCAGAAGCAAUGUUGGCAGACCAUCAGAGUAGGCCGCGCUGCUGGAUUUCGGCAGUGACUGAAGUGGCCCAAGAAAUCGACGAUGUAAGGCCCAAGAAGUUACGGUGCUGCUACCUGCACGUGUGCAAACUGGUAAGUUGGACGGACUCAAGGUCUUCGCAGAAACAGCGGUCAAGCAAUGAAGCUAAGAUAAGCCGUGACACAGUGGCAGAUGAAGUGCAAGUGUGUGGAUGUGACGAAGCUGCAAGAACUGUUCUUAAACCCCCGUAAGGGCUCAGCCUGUUGAGCAUCCAAAAGUUCCAAAUAAACAAACUGAAAGCUCACAGUUCUCACACUGCCACCCGGAAAACCAAGCAGAUCAAAAGUGCUAUAAGGGCGUCGUGUACUCCGGCAACACAGGUACUCCUGGCCUCCACACUGUUUAGAUUUGCUCUCUCAGGUCUCAGCCCGUCGGCCUCUCCUGAGUCCUGAGCAGUACCCCUACUGAACAUUCUUUUAGCUUUUCUCUUAAGCUGUCGAUAUUUAUUGGUGGGGGUGAAGAUGCUAUCAGUUACGCUAUGUAUAUACCUUGCAGAUGAUAAGUGUAUUAUCCAGGGGAAAAAUUGGUUCUAUAGCAUUAAAAGAAUGUCGCUUCCGAAAAAUAUCACUGAAAGAUCUCUGUCACGUAAAAUACCAUUGAAAAAAUAAACCGUUACCUUAAACUACCAUUCCGUUAUAUUUGGGCGUUGACGCCGUCCGUCCGUCCACUUUUUCCUCUUUCGUCCAUGCCCCGCGCACGCUCGCAGCUCAUCUGCCCUGCCCUGCUCCCAGGCUCCCAGCACCAUGGCGCCGCAACGCCCGUCCACGCGUGAUCUGCUGUGCGGCCAGCCUGAGCCAGUAACGAGGCCCAUGCCGUCGUGGGCUCGUGGCGAGUCAUCCAGGGGCUGGACGGCGCAUGGCGAGGCCCGCGCUGGCUUUGGAUGGUGUGGCGCACCCGCAGCGGCAGUUGCGUCGGCCGUCGGGGCUUGCUGUUGUGAGCGAGUGCGUUCUUCCGCGUGGAGGCAGCACACGAAUAGUAGUGCUGUGAGUGCAGGACCUGCGGGCGAGCUACUGCCCAUAAGGGAUGACGUUGUGGCAUGAUGUGGGCAUUGAGCAGUUCGAGAGAAGCUAGAUGCAAACACCGCACGCACAACCACGCGAAGCUAGAGGCCGCGUGCACAAGCUCGACCCUGCAUGCCCGAUCCGCUCGUCCGCAAAUUCCUGCAAGUAACAAAUCCACUCACUUACGGAUUGUUUUUCUCGGUAAAGCUCCGCGUUUUCUCAUGAUGUAUGUUCUGCACCGCAGUCCGUAGCAGGCAGAAGGACAUCGACGUCGACGGAUUGGUAAUCAGCGGCACUGGUGAGCGAGGAUUAGAAUCGUGCUGGCUUGUGGAGCUUCCUCACGGUAAGCAAUCAGCAGGGCAGCAUCUGAUUUGAGCACACCUGGGGACGGACAGAGGAGGAAGAAAGGAGAUGGACGGCGUUAACGUCGAAAUUGAUGGAAUGGUAUUUCAAGAUAACGGUUCAUUCUUUCAAUGGUAUUUUACUUGAUGGAGAUGAUGGAGAUCUUUCGAUGGUAUUUUUUAGAAACGACGUUCUUUCGGUGCUAUAUAACCAAAUUUCCCUUAUCCAAGCCACCGGCGAAACUGGACAUUCAUGUACUGUUGUCAUUGUUGCUCCUAUGCUAUGGACUUGGCAUGCAACGUCGUCCAUUGUUCAGCAGUACAUGGCAACAGCACCGAUCUGCUCUGGCUGCUUGAUUUCAAGAACGGCGUCACCAACGAUCCAUUUGGAGCCUUGAGCAAUUGGAAUACCAGCACCCACUUCUGCUGGUUUAGUGGCAUCAAGUGCAGCCCGACACGACCAUGGCGCGUGACGAAGCUCAACCUCACCGGCCAAAGCUUGUGUGGUCAGAUCAGUUCUUCUCUUGGAAACAUGACCUUCGUUGAUACUCUUGAUCUGUCCAACAACAGCUUUACUGGUACCGUGCCUCUUCUCAACAAACUCCAAUACCUGAACUCCCUUUUUCUGGGAAGCAACCUUUUACAAGGUGUUAUUCCUCCUAGAAUAGGCUUUCUUACCAAGCUACAAGGUCUAAGCUUUCAAAGAAAUUCUCUCUCCAGGUCAUCCCACCAGGCCUCGGCAACAUCACCGAUUUAUCAGUAAUUGUUCUUUCAGAAAAUCAACUGAACGGGCCAAUUCCCAAUGAGUUUUGGCGAAUGCCAAACAGAGCAUCGUUGUACAUGUUCGAAAAUAAUCUGUCGGGUGGAAUCCCGCGAACUCUCUCUAAUUUGUCUUCUCUUGGACAACUAUCCUUGGAGGGCAAUAUGCUGGGCAACACAUUGCCAUCUAACUUCGGCAACGCCCUCCCUAGUCUCCAAAUUCUGUACUUGGGAAACAACAUGUUUGAAGGAUACAUUAUAUUCCAUCUUCCCUAGGCAAUGCUUCAGGUCUAAUAGAUUGGGAUCUGUCAUCUAAUAAGUUCACUGGUCAAAUCCCAAGCAUAUUCGGUAGUCUUUCAGGGCUGUCUAUUCUACAGCCCGUUCGGAUGGCUUCCGCUAGGUUUUUUCCGGCUGGGCUUUUCAGCCCAGCCGUUCGGAUGGCUUCCGCUGGUAGCCUGUCGUGGAAGCCGUUGGAGCGGCUUAACGACGCACCGACGCUGCCCCCGUGCUUAUCCAGUGCCUCCCGCAGCUCGCCCCCUCCAUCGCGUGCUCUCGCCCCUACUCUGCCGCCGUCGCCCCCGCCGCUCCGCAACGCCUGCGCUAUUGCCGCUCUCCGCCGCUCCGAAGCGCCUGCACUAUCGCCGCUCUCCGCCGCCGGCAUUGAGUCGCGUCGCCCGCUCCCUCCCGUCACCCGCAGCUCGCCCCCUCGGUCGCUCGUACUCCCUCUGGAUCCGUCGCCGCCGCAGCUUCCGCUCAGGCGCUCCGUCGCUCGCGCGCGCUCUCUGCCGCCGGCGAGCCGUCGCACCGCCCUCUCCCUCGCGCUCGGCCGGGCGACGCCGCCGUCGGUCCCGUUGCUCGCCCCCUCCGUCGCUCGCUCCGGAUCCGCCGCCGCCGGUCCCUCCGGAUCCGCCGCCGCAGCUCCGACCGGGCGCACCCGCUCCCGCGCUUGGGCCCGAUCUCCGGCGCCGGCCGUCCGUCGCCUCGCCCGCUCCGUCGCGCGGAUAUCGCCCCCUCUGUUGGUCGCGGUCGCUCCUGAGCCGCCGCCGCCGCUCCCUCCGCUCAAACGCUCCCUCGGUCGCGCCCGUCCUCCGCCGCCGGCGGGCCGUCGCGUGCAAGGACCUCCUCCCAAUCCGUCACCCCCUCCCUCCCCUUCGCUCACAGGUAUGGCUGCUCCCCCAUCGGAUUAAGCUUCGUGAGGCUUGUUGGAGGACGUAUUAUGCUCAUGGAUUCUGGCCGUGAUUCUAAUACUAGUAGUAUAUGUUUUCAUCACUCGUUCCUCUGCUUACUCUAAGUUUCAUUAUUUACAGAGUAUUUGGCACGGGUGAAAAUGGUACUGGUGGGCGAAAAUGCAGCAUAUUUUGUUCAACAUAGUUAAUGUGAAUUGUAGAACCUUCUCUAGAAUUGUGAUUGUAUUGUAGAAUUGAGUUGAAAUUUGUAGGUUGUAAGUUAAGGUUUGAGAUUCCUGAAAAUUGAAAUCUUCACAAGUGAAAUUCCUUUGAUUCAUGUUGGAAGCUCAGAGCUAUGUCAAAAAAUACAGAAGUUCUUUUGGGAUGCAUUGUUGACUGAGGAAAUGGUCAUGUUGUCAUUUAAGUUAUUGCUUCGGCUCUGUUUUCGCUCUAUUUGUUUGUGGUUUGUAGAUGAACGUGCUUAUGUUUUCACUAUGUUAGAUAAUAAACUACCUACUGCAACAUUCUACCAUGGCAUGCUUAUUUCUAUAUUUUGAUUGCAUAUCACUCUUACUGUAAUUGUCAAAUGGAACUAGUGUAUGAAUUUAAAUUCAGGAUAACUGAUUCAAAUGAUGAAAUUUGCACAUCAAAACCGUGCCAGCUUUCUUUUGUGCCCGUGAUUGUACUUUCAACCUUCUGGAUUAUGUUGACCGUAUGUUUUUGGUUUUCUCACCUUCCAGGCGACUGAUACACGGCUACUAGGAGGCCAACCGCGAGGAAGUAUCAACGGUGCCCACACUGGCAUCAUCAUCGACUUCGUCCUGCUCUCCUCCACCGGUGAGCCCAUACAAUUUCCGCCACAAACGCGCCAAGACACCUGCUAAGGCAAGUAACAUAUCCAGUAAUUUUAGAUUGUUUAGUUGUACGCAGCUCCUGGUUAUCUGUAGCUCGGUGCCAUAUAAUUGCAGCUCCUGUGUACUCAGAUGAAUAACCGUGCCAGCUAGGAUGAGGGCACGACGAAAACUUUGCUGGACUUGUGCAUUGCUCAAAAGAACCAGUUCAAUUGGAGCAACAAAUGCCUCACUAAGUUGGGAUGGAGGAACGUGUACUCAGGCUUCAGGGCACAAACUGGGUUGCAUUUGGGCAGUAAGCAGCUGCAGAACAAGCUGAACAACUUGAGGAGGGCAUUCCUCACCUGGCUGGCCUUGCAAAACAAAUCUGGUUUAGGACGCGACACACAAACUGGUGGUGUGUCUGCUGAUGCCACCUAUUGGGAGCAGGACCAAGAGGUACGUCCUAUGCCAGGCCCCUAAGUUACUCGGCAUCUUAUUUGUACUUUUAUGUUUGUGAUCUUGAUCAUUUACUGUUGCUUCACCAUUGCAGGACACCACUGGUGGUGAUGCCCAGCCGAGUUCUGUUAAGCCUCCACCUUUCCUUGACGUAUUGUUUGAGUUGUUUGGCCAUGAACCCCAAGAUAGGGGCACCUUGCUGACGGCAGGAGGUAUUCGUGAGGCGACACCUAGCGUGAGGACUGAGGGCAAUGCAGCGGACUUGGAGCAGGACCCCCCCUGCUAGUAGUGCUCGUGCCAUGUCCAAACGGCCGGUCCGGGAAUUCUCUGUGGACAGUCCUACAAAAAGAAGAAGUGACAACUUGGAGUAUUACAUCAGGGAGCUAUCUGAGAGUGUGGCAAAGAGGAGCCUGCAACGUGCAGAUCGUACCCAUGAACAAAUGGUUCGUUGUAUGCAGCUCCUGAAAGAAGAUGGUAUACAGGAGGGGUCUCCGCUUCACUGCCAGGCUGUGUAUUUAUGUACUAAGAGCACGGAGUAUCGGUCGGCGUUGAUGGAGAUGACAACGAAAGAGGGCCGAAUGAACUGGAUACAAUUCUACUAGGACAUGACCAACAAGAAGUGAUUGUGCCAUGACUUUGUUUUAUUAUAGUGAUGUGUAGUGAUGGGUUUCAAAAAUAAUGUUUGCACUUGUGUUGGAACAGUAAUGUUAGCUUCUGUAACAUGUCCUAUUUGUUGAACCUUUCUUUUUAGUGCUAGUUCAAUUCCUUUGAAGUUUGUUGCCAUCCAUGCUCAGCAAUUUAUUUCAAGUUAAAUUGGAUCAGUUCUUUGUGUUACGUUCCUUUCAUCACUAUCUGUUAAGUUUUACCUAUAAGUUUUGUAGGUAAGUUCCUUUCAAGUUAAAUUCCUUUCAAGUUGGAUCAGAACUUUUUUUUACCUUGUCUCAUUUUACAGUGCUUUGAAGUUAUUCGGAAUUUUGAUGUCUGUUGUUUUUAACUUUUGGACAGGUACUUCAGUAGGGCAUUGGUAGCCCUCCGCUCAUCAGUAGCAGGAGCAUUGGUUUACUUCUGCGUCAGCUCAAGGAAGGGGGAGAGUGAACUUUACAGGCACUGCACAGGUUCGAAACAAAUGAAUAUGUACCUAUGUGUAAGGUGGGUUUGCUGAUGCCCCUCCUAUUUUGCAUGCGCAGGUUCGCUCAAGGUUGAGUAGUGCAGAUGAACAAAACAGUGACACCGGCAGCGACAACAGCUCUAUGUUCGAUCUGAAGUGUUUAGGAGGAGCUGCAGCCGCAUAUGCGGAGGUUCGCAGCAUUCAGUGUCCUAGACGGAACCCGCCAGUUGAUCUGCCAUGCAUGACGGGACGGCAAUGGGUUGAGCUGAACCUCCGGGACAGGCGGCGGUGCUUCGAUAAUUUUUGUUAUGUAUCCCGACACGUUCCUUCAGUUGCAUGACAUGUUGGUUAGCAAUCAUGGAUUGAAAACGUCGCAAGGGGUAGAAUCUGUUGAGGCUUUAGCUAUGUUCGUGUGGGCGUGUGCGACACAGCAAGCUUGCCGUCAAAUUAGAGAAAGAUUUGAUCGGAGUUUGGACACAGUUAGUAGGAAGAUGGCGCAUGUGGCAAAUGUAAUGUAUUCGUUUGCCCAGACAGUCAUCGCUCCGAAGGAUCCUGCGUACUCUAAGGUGAAUCAUAAGCUGAACCAAUAUGCACCGUUCUUUGAUGGGUGCAUAGGUGCUCUAGACGGUAUGCACAUUCCAGUACUGGUCGGGCGUGAGUCCCGUGUGGAUUUUAUUAACAGAAAAGGGUGGACGAGCUUCAAUGUGUUAGCCAUAUGCGAUAUGGACAUGUGCUUCACGUAUGUAGGAGCGGGGAUGGCAGGAUCCUAUCACGACAUGGCGGUGUUGCAUGACUGUAUGGCGGCAAGGACCUACCCCCAUCCACCUGCAGGUAUGGUACUUCACUAAUUACGCACAUGAAGCUGCAAUUGCAAAAUGUGGUGCACUAAUGUUGAAUGUUUUUGAUUAUCUGUAGGCCGAUAUUAUUUGGUCGACUCGGGCUACGCAGUUCGAGAAGGGUAUCUGGGGCCGUAUCGAAAUACCAGGUAUCACCUAGAGGAGUUUAGCAGAAGGGCGGCGAACACAUUGGAGGAGAAAUUCAACUUUCACCAUUCUAGUCUUCGCAAUGUGGUCGAACGCGCAUUUGGCGUGCUGAAAUCCAGGUGGCACAUUCUGCGGGAAGUUCCACUAUAUUCUCGAGAUCAGCAAACGAAGCUUGUUAUUGCUUGCUUUGCACUCCAUAAUUAUUUGCUGGACCUUGCCGAUGCAAGUACUGCAGGUUCGACCAUGGCGCGAGCUCCGGACUAUGGGGUGUCCAAAUGGGUGGCAGCAAAUGCUACUCGUGAUAUGGCCAGCGUACGAGAUUGGAUUGCGGCGGGAAUCUCUUUCAUGUAAAUGAUGGGUGUAUGCUGUGUACGUUCAUGUUGUAAUUUGUAUGUAACAAAUUGUAGUAGUUGGUGUGUACGUUCAUACCCUCCAGUGUGUUGGUUAUGUUUGCGUGAUAAAAUUUAAAUGUUGUAGGUCCUUUUACCGUUAGAAAUUUAAUUUUCGAAUGUAGCAGCGCAUCCGUAGGGAGAACAGACCGAAAAUUGCUAAGGAGCAGCUGCCACCGCUCCCUCGCUCCCAUCCGUAGGGAAACAAUUUAUUUUCUUUAUUCUUAACAACCUUACAUUUUUUAAUUCUCAAUAAUUUCCGAAUGAUUUGUAGUCCCACGCCUGACAAUAGUUUCAUUUUAUAAAAAGAAUAGCCAAAUGAGACUUGCUAAAUUAUUUGGUGGAUAAAUUCUUUUGGAAACACCAUAGAUACUUGUUUGCAGGUAAUAGUGAGUAACUAAAGUUUGGAGCUGGAGUGGCCCAAACGGCCAUUAUCCACUGCCUGAAGCCGCAAGCAGCAGCUAGCAGCUGUGCUGCAGCCGCUGGCAGAGCGGCUUCUAGCUCUGCCAAACGGCAUGCUAAACCUUGAGGAAAACAUGCUUGAAGCAAGCGACAGUGCUGGCUGGGAAUUCUUUGAUGCCCUGACAAACUGCAGUUCCCUGGAGGUGCUUUCAUUGGCUAAUAAUAAUCUGCAGGGAGUCAUACCAUAUUCGAUUGCUAACCUGAUCUACUAAUGAACGAAAACCACCUAUCAGGAAUAGUUCCGCCAAGUAUUGGGAAAUUUAGUGCUUUAGUUAGGCUCUCAUUGGGAAUCAAUAAUCUUACCGGUACAAUAGAUUGGAUUGGAAAGCUGCAGAAACUACAAAAAUUAAAUCUCAACAACAACAACUUUUAUAGGGACAAUCCCACCUUCACUUAUUAGCAACCUUACACAAUUAACACAAUGUCUUUUGCAGAAAAUAAAUUGACUGGUUUUAUACCACCUGGCUUGGGAAACCUUAAACAUAUGACAAGUUUGAACCUUAGCUACAACAAUUUCCAAGGGAGCAUACCAGUCAAGUUUGGCAAUCUUAAACAACCAAUCUCACUACAUGUUUCAUCAAACAAACUUAGCGGGGUCAUUCCUGAAACUUUGGGCCAAUGCCAACAGCUAACCACCAUUCAAAUGGACCAGAAUAUUCUUACAGGAAACAUCCCGACCACCUUCAGUAAUCUAAAUAGCUUGAGCACGCUUAAUAUUUCGCAUAACAACUUGUCAGGACCCAUGCCAGCUUGUCUAAAUGAUCUUGAGCUUCUCACUAAACUAGAUCUAUCUUACAACAAUUUCGAAGGAGAAAUACCAAGAAAUGGAGUAUUCGACAAUGCUUCAGUUGUUUCACUCGAUGGCAAUCCCAGACUCUGUGGAGGAGCCACUGAUUUUCAUGUGCCUUCUUGCCAUCUUGAUUCUAGAAGUGUAGGACUCGCAAACAAUCUGGUCGAAAUAUUGAUUCCAAUAUUUGGCUUCAUGUCUCUUAUAGUGUUGAUAUACAUUAUAAUCUAUGGGAAUAAGACAUCAAGAAGACCGUACUUACUGUUGCUUUUUUUUGUAAGCGGUUCCCUAAAGUUUCCUACAAGGAUCUAGCCCAAGCUACAGAAAACUUCUCCAAGUGGAACCUAAGGCAUUUUGUUUACUUCCUAAGUUGGGAGGUGCCAAAUUGGCAUUUUGCCAUAAAUACGACACUGUAGCGUUUCGUUUGUAUUUGUGAAUUAUUGUCCAAAUAUUGACUAAUUAGGCUCAAAAGAUUCGUCUCGCAAAGUACAACAAAACUGUGCAAUUAGUUUUUGAUUUCGUCUACAUUUAGUACUCCAUGCAUGUACCGCAAGUUUGAUGUGAUGGGGAAUCUUCUUUUUGCAUAGUGUCAAAGUUGGGAGUUUGGAGGGAAGUAAACAAGGGCAGUUGACUCCAAAAUCCCAAUUUUGGCACUAUGCAAAAAGAAGAUUCCCCAUCACAUCAAACUUGCGGUACAUGUAUGGAGUACUGAAUGUACACGAAAUCAAAAACUAAUUGCACAGUUUUGUUGUACUUUGCGAGACGAAUCUUUUGAGCCUAAUUAGUCAAUAUUUGGACAAUAAUUCACAAAUACAAACGAAACGCUACAGUGUUGCUACAGUAAUUUUGACACCCCAAAGUUGGGCAACUAAACAAGGUCUUGUUUAGUUGGCCAAUUUGGGAGAUGCAAAAUUACUGUGCCAACACUGUAGCACAAUGUAGCGUUUCGUUUGUAUUUGUAAAUUAUUGUCCAAAUAUUGACUAAUUAGGCUUAAAAGAUUCGUCUCGCAAAGUACAAUAAAAUUGUGCAAUUAGUUUUUAAUUUCGUCUACAUUUAAUACUCAAUGCAUAUACCGCAAGUUUGAUGUGAUGGAGAAUCUUCUUUUUACGUAGUGUCAAAGUUGGGAAUUGGGGGUAACUAAACAUGACCUAAUUGGGAGUGGAAGCUAUGGUUCAGUUUGCAAAAGGAAAAUUAAAGCCUGCCGUGCGCCGCCCCCCGGCCGCCGCCCCAUGGGGCACGGCGUCAGCUGCGCCCGCACCGGCGACGAGCACGACUACUUCCGCGCGGCGCAGCUCGGGGACCUCGACGCCCUCGCCGCGCUCUACGACCGCCUCUCCGCGCUCCACAUCGCCGCCGCCAAUGGGCGCAUCGAGGUCGCCCCUCUUCUCCACGCCAUGGUGAAUCGGCGCAAGCAGGUGCUGGAUCCCAUCAAACUGAUGCCUUUUUUUUUGUUUGCAAUUGCAAGGAUCUCUCUGCUAGCUUUGGGAGGGGCUGCGGAGCUGGCGGGGUGAGGGGCGGCGGCGGCAGGGCAAGGGGCGGCAGCGCCGGCGGGGCGAGCGGGGGGCGAGGGAGGACGGCGGCGGGGCGAGGGGCGGCGGCGGUGGGGCGAGCAGCACCGUGUAGUUCCUGCCGUUCUUGCCGCCGCCGGCCUUGCGGCCGAACCCAACGGCGCCGUCUGCGAGGCGCUGCCGGUUGUCGGCCCAGCUCGGGUCACAGCGCCAGCAGUCAGUCGUCCACCGGAUUGCCGGUGCCGCAGUCGCCGUCAAUCAUCCGUCGGUGCUGUGACGUAUUCACGCUUAUGUAAAGAACAAGGAAGAUUAAACUCACUGACGGUAAGACGAUGGUAUAAUUUACUCUCAGAAAUUAAUACAGUUUAGCUACCUGACUAAAUCUUGCACGACCUGUUGCCCACCUGUGGUUGAGGAGUGGAUUGACAAUGGAGAAGAGAUGGAAAGGGGAAGAAAGGAUGCAGUAAAGCAGAAGAAGAUGAGAAAGGCCAUUCUUGUUGAUGACAAGACGAACUUGACACGAACAGCAAUUUAGCAGUAUAGUAGUUGCUGAUCUCGAUCUUAAUAGACAAUAAUACCCUAGCCGUUGGGUAAGUGACUUUGGGUAAACCCAACUGUUGUAUGUGACAAUUGUGCUUGCGAGACUGCUUGUCCGCCUGAAGGCUGUUGCUCUUUCAGCUUGUGCUGGUCCAUUGGCUGAAGAGAUGCAGUGGCCUUCCCUGGGUACGAAAGCAGCUUCGCAAGGGGGCUGCUGAUUUUGACGGAGGAAAAAUCAACGACGUGGAGACCUGGUCACGGUGGUGGGGGAAAAAACGGACUGCCUAACAUGAUGACGUGGUCUGAUUUGAAAUAUUAGGAGAUUAGCUUUUUAACAUUCUGCUGUGGCUUGAUAUAUUUUUGGGAACGAAAUUUUUUAGCAUAGCUCCUGAUACCUCGUUUUGGGCAAGAAUUUUUUAACACCAACCUGUGGCUGCUGUGCGCGUAGGAGGGGGUGGCGAGAUUAGCUCGCACAUGACCCUAGGAUGACCGGUGAUUCAGCGGCAUCGUGGGCACGGGAUCGACGUGCUCGCUGCGCGGUGCGCGGCUGACCACUGCGUGGACUUGUUCUUUGUAUUCACAGAAUAGAAGAAAAUACACAGAAAAUGCUGCAAGUCGUUACGCAGCACCAAAACCUCUGAGUUUCAAGCGUUCUUGAGUUUGAGUGUUACUUGCCAUCGCGAGCUCGCCGGACGUCAGGAACGCCGGUUCGAAGCUAACACUCAACAAUAGACAAUACUGGCAACGAUUUCAAAGCUCUAAUUUAUGUAGUAAUGCAGAAUGGGAAUCUGGACACGUGGUUGCAUCCCAGACCUACUGCAGAUCUGAAACAUUUGGACUUGAUACACAGAGUAAACAUAGCUGUCAGCAUAGCUGAUUCCUUGGCAUAUUUACACCACGACUGUGGGAAUCCUAUUGUCCAUUGUGAUUUGAAACCAACUAAUAUCCUUCUUGAUGAUGAUAUGAAUGCCCAUUUGGGAGAUUUUGGCAUUGCAAGUCUAGUUCUUGAUUCUAGGUCAGCACCAGUCGGACAUUCUGGGCUUAAUAGGUACGCAAAUUGUCACGUCCUGCAUUUGUAUCUGGCAUUUUCUUGUUUCAGAAAAGAUGAGGCAAUUUUUUAUGCAAAUGAAUAUCUUGACUUCAGACUGCACUAAUCAUUAGAUUUUAUACGUUUUUCUCAGAGUAUGGUCAGUGUGUUCAUGCAUCAACAUGUGGGGAUGUUUACAGUUUUGGAAUAGUACUUCUAGAGAUGCUAACAGGCAAAAGACCAACCGACUCUAUGUUUGAGGGUGAAGUCAGCUUUGCUAGCUCUGUGGAGAGGAACUUUCCAAAUCAAAUGUUAGAUAAGAUCGAUGCUUAUCUCCAAGAAGAAUGCAAGCGCUCUAUACAAGCAAUGCCAGAAGCAGAAAAGGAGAUCUAUCAAUGCUUACUAUCACUCGUGCAAGUAGCUCUUUCUUGCACGCGUCUAUGCCCAAGAGAACGAAUGAGCAUGAGAGAAGUAGCCAUUAACUUGCAUGCAAUCCAGAGGUCAUAUGUUGCAGCGAUCAAGCAAGAGUAAGUCAUGUUUUGCUGGAGUUAUGUCCAACAUGCCAUGGAGCUUAGUUAAUUAGUUAAUUAGUAUGUCUUUGGAGGCAACAUGCAUAAAGAUUAUAAAUUAGCCUGGCCACGAGCACCAUGCUGAAAUUGACGAACAGCACUGCUUGCAACGUCUUGUACAUAACUGAAACUAAGAUUUGGUUUGUGAACCUUAGUAAUAAAAUGCAACUGGUAGAGAAGGAACUGAUUAUUCGAUGAAACAUUAAGAAUUUGAAGAAGUGUCACAGAUCGCCUUGUUGAUUGUUAGCGUGACUGUAAUACUAGGCGACUCUUUUCAGAUAAUUCAUCGUGCGGACUACUCAUAUGAACCAAGUCCCAUCUACGCUUUGAUCAGUGAUCACCAUGUAGGAUACAUUCCAGAUUCCCUAGGCAAUGCUUUAGAAUAGAUUUGGAUCUGUCGUCCAAUAAGUUCACUGGCCAAAUACCAAGCAUAUUCGAGAACAUUCAGGGGUUGUCUCUUCUAAACCUUGAGCUAAACCCUGAACAUCCUUGAAGUAGGCAAUAGUGCUGACCGAGAAUGAUCAAUGAUGCCAUGGCAGAGUGUAUUCCCCUGCGUCAGCGGUCUCAUCGGUCGUCUCAUGUAGUGCCACGUUAAAUUUUUAUGAUGUGGAGGAGAGAGAGCGAGGAGAGAGAAAGAGGUUGUUGUUUUGCGAAACAACUGCCUCAUGAGCUAAAUUCUAGUACUACAAGAUCAGGGGCGGAGCCAGGAUUUGAGGUAAGGAGGGGGCGAUGGACAAAGCAAAGUAGAACCAAUAGCCAUGUGAUUAUGGAUUACCUGCGGCGGUAUCAAUUUGGACAGCGGUGGCGGCGUGGCUGCGACGGAAUCGCGCAGCGUCUCAACUCUCACGUCCGAUCUCCUAGUGGCCAGUCCAGCAGUACCAGCGCCGUACGGCUGCGGUGUCCAGCGAACUGGCGAAGGAGAAGACCGAUAGACCGAAGAUGAACAGUCGAACGGACAGAGUCACGACGCUUGAUGCUUCGUAUUCCAAACAAUAAUGAAGGGAGAAGGCCAGCAACAACUAGAUAGGUUUAAAUGGACUGCUUCUUAUUGGGUCUCAAAAACAAUUAACGUUUGGAAUGAAUGGGCGGAAGCGAUGAGCUGAACAGCUAAUACGUACAUGUAUAUUUAUACCAGAGUAUAGAGGAUUAGGGUUUAGCUGCCACCCGAGGAUCAGGAGGUAGGCCGAGGAUCGCGUGGCUCAGCACCGCUAAUCUUGUAGCUGUAGGUGCUAUAUCAGUUCAUCCAUUAGUUUUAUUGCUGAAUGAAAUGAACCAAAGGACGGCAACCACAACCCUCAUUAAUAAUUAACCUUGGAUAAGCAAAACACACGCAAUUGUUGGUCAUAUGUGUUUGCUGAUACAUUGUAGGCUCAUCUGAUGCACGACGUGGAACUAUCGUGUUCCUUCCUGGGGCUCCUACUCGAUCAUUUAGGCCCCCUUUGGCACGGCUCUCCCACCGGCUCUUGCAGCAGCUUUUGCACAAGCUGUACCAAACGUCUCAAAUGAAAACGGCUUCAACCCGUGAGCCGCGCAAAAGCCGCUGGCCAAAACAACUGGACGGGAUGAGCCGUAAAAAAUGGCUUCCCCUGGCUUCUCCCCAUCCACGUACGUGAUUUUUCAUCCUUCUCCCCAGCUGCUCUCCUCCCCGGCGCACGUGUGCCGACGGCCGCCUCCCUGCGCCGCGCCCCGCCGGCUCCUUGCGCCGCGCCAACGGCCUCCUGCGCCGCGCCCCACCGCCUCCCUGUGCUGCGUCUCGCCGCCUUCCUGCACCGCGCCCCGCCUGCACCCCGCCCGUCAGGUGCACGUGCUCGUGCGAGGCCACGGCGUGGGGGCAUGACCGCCGGGAGGGAGGAGGGAGGAGAGAGGAGGGUCCGGCUGGGAUCGGAUAAGGAGAGAGGUGGGGCGGUCGGGAUAGGAUGAGGAGAGAGGAGGGGAAAGAAAAGAGGGGGGGAGUAAAGAGAAAUAAAAAAGGAAAGAAAAAGAAAAAGAAAAUAAAGAGAAAAAAGAAAAAGAAAAGAGAGAGAAAAAAAUAUAAGGGUAUUUUGGACAUUUGACAUCUUCUUUACAUUCUAAAAAGCUAGGAGAAGCCGUUUUGCCAAACGUUUUCGUACAAAAUAAGCUAGAGCUAGAAAAAGCUGCUUUUCCAUAGGAGCCAGAGCCAGAGCUGUUUUUUCAAGAGCCAAAACCGUACCAAACGGAACCUUAGUUACCGCGUGGUUAUGGCUUAGGUUAGCUUCACUGAACCUGUACACCGUUGGUACCGCACAUUAUUCACUGAACCUCCCUACGCCACCCGAGGAUCAGGGGGUGCCAGCCCCCGUGGCUCCUCCCUCCUUACUCAAUAACUAUUAUACGAGUUAUUGUUGCUAUGCAACUCAUAAUAUUUUAUUUUUUCAUAUGCACAAAUUAAGGAAUUAUAUAGCUCUAUCAAACACAACCUAUUGUAUGGGUUGCCUGUUGAGUUAUCUCAAAAUUAAGUGGCAAUGCAUGAGACCGCCUAUUAGUAGGUGACACUAAUGUACUUGUUCUAAGGGCUUGUUCAGUUAAUCCCCUCCGUGACAGGAUCGAGGGAGGGGAACUAACCCCCACGGCCCACCCGGCCAACCGUACACACACAUAUCCGGAAUUAACAACCAAACAAGGUCUAAAUAUGCUUUCAUUGCCUAUUAAUCAUCUUCAGGGAGUCCUACCGAAUUGAUUGCUGACCUGUCCACAGAGGCACAGACCUCACAACUAAUGAGUGGAAACCUACUGCCUUAAUUAGUCUGUCACUAAAUACCAACAAUCUUACCGGUACAAAUGAGGAACCGAUCGGAAAGUUGACGAAUCUAUAAAAUCCAAGUCUUGGUGCCAACAAAAUUGUAGGAAAAAUCACGUCUUCCAUUAGCAAUCUUACUCAUUUGAUACUUUCAUAUUUUGUAGAAAAUAAAUUCAUUGUUUUUUUUGAACCGAACAGUAGGGGAGGCCCUACUAGCUUUUUCUAUUUAUAUGCAAAAAAGAAUAGUAUGUACAUGGGUGGACUCCAAGUCCAAAGACAAAAGAUGGGGGAGGCUACCGGAAAUUACAUAACCAAAAUUUUAACUCCAACUUCAAGGACGGCUUGGCUACAAGCGACAUCUAUAUGUUUCCAUCUUUGAAGUGAUAUAGCAACUCCAUCGAAAAUGACCUCGUUUCUAUGCUUCCAGAUGGCCCAGCAUGCUAGAAUGAGUAUCUCCCUGAAAAUUCUCGAGCCAAAAUCCCUUCUAGAUUCAACAAUCCUGUCUAAGAACUUGAGGUUGAGGUUCCAGCGAAGAACAUGGAGCAAUCGCCAACACUACUGGCUAAAAGAGCAAGUGAAGAAGAGGUGAUUUGAGGUCUCCUCAACACUAGCACUGCAAAGACACAACUGUAGUCAUCUAGGAUUCUUUGUUUCCUGCAUAAUAUAUUUUCGUGAGCCGAGCCGGGUCCCCCACCCUAUUUAUAUAGCGCAGUGCGAUAGGGGCCCACCACCCAAUGCUAGGGUGAGCGCUCCCGAUCAGGGCGCGGAUCAGGGUCCUGAUGGACCUUUGGGCCCAUUGGGGAGGAGAUCAAUCUAACAUUCUCCCCCUUGAUCUCAUCAUUUACUUUUAACUUUACACUUUUCACUUUUAUUCGUUUCAUCGUAGAUUAAUAUGUAGAGCAUGCCUCAUCGUCACAGCUUAAUCGCCGAUAGAAUCAACAGCUACAACACACCUCUCUAUUUUGAAACAAUUCUGUUUCUUUUGGGCCUUUUCCAAUCCAGGAAUCAUAGGCUUUCCCUUAAACCCAUGCCGGCUAAGUGUUCUCUGAACACAUUGGGUGGUAAGCCUUUCGUGAGCAGAUCCGCAAGCAUAUCUUUUGUUCUUAUAUGCUCGAGACUUAUAGUGCGAUCCUGGAUUUUAUCUUUCACAACAUAAAACUUUAUCUCAAUGGUUUUGGAAGCAUUGCUUGAUUUGUUGUUGUGAGCAUAGAAUACUGCUGGCUCAUUGUCGCAGUACAUCUUUAGUGGUCUAUGAAUACAGUCAACCACUCUCAAUCCGGGUAUAAAUUUCUUUAGCCACAUCGCUUGCCCCGUGGCCUCAUGACAUGCUAUGAAUUCCGCAUGCAUCGUUGAUGACGCAGUUACUUUCUGUUUUGAGCUUCUUUACGAGAUAGCUCCUCCUGCGAGAGUGAACAUGUAUCCAGACGUGGAUUUUCUAUCAUCUUUGUCUCCCGCAAAAUCUGCAUCUGAAUACCCUUUUAUCUCUAGGGAAUCAGAUCUCUUAUAUGUAAGCAUGAGUUCUUUUGUGCCUUGCGCGUAGCGCAAUGCUUUCUUUACCAUCUUCCAAUGUUCUACACCUGGAUUACUUUGAUAUCUACCAAGAACCCCGAGGACAAAGCUAAGUCAAGGCGAGUGCACACUUGAGCAUACUGUAAGCUUCCGACAGCUGAAGCAUAUGGAACCGCUUUCAUUUGAUCGAUCUCGUACUGGUUCUUGGGACAUUGAAAAUUUCCAAAACUGUCGCCCUUGACUAUGGAAGCAGGUGUGGCCUUACUCGCAUGCAUAUUAUACUUCUUUAGAACCUUUCUAAAUAUGCCUUUUGCGAUAAUCCAAGAACCCCAUUCAGUCUAUCUCGGUGAAUUUCUAUGCCCAAAACAUAUGAUGCUUCACCAAGAUCCUUCAUAUAGAAGUUUGAGGACAAAAACUUCUUUGUCUCUUGCAGUAGACUGAUAUCACUGCUUGCAAGUAAGAUAUCAUCCACAUACAGAAUUAGGAAAAUGUAUUUCCCAUUUUUGAACUUUGCAUAGACACAAUUGUCCUCUAUAUUCUCUUGAAACCCAAAUUUCUUGAUUAUAUCAUUAAACUUUAGAUACCACUGUCUAGAGGCUUGCUUUAAUCCGUAAAUGGAUUUCUUUAGACGACAUCCCAUAUUCUCUUUACUUUCCAUGAUAAAACCCUUGGGUUGUUUCAUGUAGACAUUUUCUUCUAAAUCCCCAUUUAGAAAUGCCGUCUUUACAUCCAUCUGAUGUAACUCUAAGUCAAAAUGUGCAACUAGUGCCAUUAUGAUUCUGAAGGAGUCUUUACAUGAGACAGGAGAAAACGUCUCAUUGUAAUCUAUUCCUUCUCUUUGUGUAAAACCUUUUGCCACAAGUCUCGCCUUAUACCUUUCUAUAUUCCCUUUGGAGUCACGUUUAGUCUUGUAGACCCAUUUACAGCCUACUAUUUUGGCUUCUUUAGGAAUCUCUUCAAGUUCCCAAACAUUGUUGGAACUCAUCGAUUUCAUCUCAUCUUCCAUGGCCUCUAGCCACUUCGAUGAGUGAACACUUUUCAUGGCUUCCUCAUAUGAAGUGGGAUCACCUUCUAUAUGAACUUCUUCUGUAUUAUAAACUUUAUAGUAAUCAGGGAUAGCUGAUCUUUUGACUCUUUGAGACCUUCUAGGCCCAUCACUUUCGGGCACAUUCUGUGCCUCUGCUUGUGGCACAUCAUUGAGAGGUGCCUGCUGCAACUCUUCCUCGUGUGUAAUGAUGGGUUCAGUUGGCUCCUGAAGGACAGGUUCCAAAACUUCACUCAUCGUUUCCACGGGUGGAAUCACAGCAGGUGCCUACACCACAAUAUCAGGGACUGUAGCGGGUGCUUGCACCACGACCUCAGGAACUAUUGGUGCGGGAAUAACAGGUAGUGAGAAGAAUGGUUCCUGAAUCAUCGGAUUAGGUGCACACCCCCGCUUCUCCUCAAGAUCAAUCUCUCGAGCCACCAUGCUCCCCCUCACCAUAUCAUCCUCUAAGAAAAUCGCGUGUCUCGUUUCUACAAACUUUGUAUAUCUGUCUGGACAGUAGAAACGAAAACCUUUUGAUUUUUCCUGAUAGGCAAUGAAGUGGCAACUUACUGUUUUGGGAUCUAGCUUCCCAAUGUUUGGGUUAAAUACUUUGGCCUCAGCUGGGCUCCCCCACACACGCAGGUGGUUUAGUGAGGGUACUCUUUCUGUCCAUAGUUCAUACGGUGUUUUGGGCACCGACUUACUUGGCACUCUAUUUAGAAUGUGAAUGGCGGUCUUCAACGCCUCCAUCCACAGUCCCAGUGGUAAGGUGGAAUAACUCAUCAUGCUGCGCACCAUAUCCAUCAGUGUACGGUUACGCCUUCAGCUACUCCAUUUUGCUGAGGCUCGCCCAGCAUCGAAUACUGGGCUACUAUGCCAUUUUCCUGCAAAAACCUUGCAAAAGGUCCAGGAACUUGGCCAAAUGGGGUAUGUCGACCAUAGUACUCCCCCCCACGGUCGGAUCUUACUAUUUUGAUUCUUUUGUUAUGCUGAUUUUCAACUUCAGCUUUAAAUAUCUUAAAUUUAUCCAACGCUUCUGAUCUUUCUUUAAUUGGAUAAAUGUAACCAUAACGGGAGUAAUCGUCUGUGAAUGUUAUGAACGAGUCAUAGCCAUCCACGCUUUUCACAGGAAAUGGUCCACAAAUAUUAGUGUGGAUUAUCUCUAAAACUCCUGUGCUACAUUUAGCGCCUUUUUUAAUUUGCUUUACAAACUUUCCUUUAAUGCAAUCAACGCAUUGUUCUAAGUCUGAGAAUUCUAAUUGAGGAAGAAUUUCAUUCUUAACUAGUCUUUCUAUUCUCCCCCUCGAAAUAUGGCCUAAACGACAGUGCCAUAAUUUCGACGAUGUUUCAUGAGUUCUCUUUCUUUUCUUUGUUUGUUGCUCUGACGAGGAUACAUUCAUAUUCACAUCACACACAGAAUUUACUUUUUCACGUAGUGAUAAUAAAUACAACUCAUUGUGAAGGAUGGCAACACCAACACAUGCAUUAUCAAACCAAAUGGCACACUUUCCAUUCCCAAAAUGACAUUCAUAUCCAUCAUGGUCCAUACGUGAAAUGCUAAUCAAGUUUUUGUGUAACGAAGGAACAUAAAGUACAUCUCUAAGUACAAGCAUGAAACCAUCAACUAGCUCUAGAGAGACAUCGCCAAUAGCUUCAACAUCUGCUUGGACUCCAUUUGCGAGUUCAACGCAUCUUUUGCUUCUUUGCGUAGUCCUCGUCGAACGGAAUCCCUGUAAAGAAUUUGCAACAUGAACAGUUGCACCUGAGUCAAUCCACCAAGUAGAUUUCGAAUACUGUCUAUACAAGGAUUCAUUUACAAAGGAGAUAGUGUUCUCACCUCUUUUUUCCAUUAUUGACUUUAACCAGUCGGGACAUUCUUUCUUGUAGUGCCCCUUUUUCUUGCAGUGGAGACAUUGAUCUUUGUCUACUGUGAGAGGCUUUUGGUGAUUCUGCUGCAUGGGAGCUUUUCCUCGUGCCUUGAAAGAGGAAUUAGCAUUCUUUUUCCUGUUGUCCUUCACAUAGUGUAAUGAAUCACCAUAUGAGGAUCUAAUUCUGUCCUCUUCCUGCACGCACAUGGCUAUCAUUUUUUCCAUGUCCCACUGUUCUGGCUGCAUGUUAUAAUUGACAACAAAGGUGUCAAACUCUUUUGGCAGAGAAGCAAAAACCAAAUGAAUAAUGUGCCCAGACUUGAGCUCAAGAUCCAUUGGCUUCAACUGUGCUGCCAAGUUAUACAUCCUCAAGAUGUGAUCUCUUAUGCCAAUCCCUCCUCCAUUGUACCUCUCUGUGGCCAGCUGCUUGAACAGCUGGGUAGCAUAUAUCUUUGAGGAACCAGUGAACUGAUUCCUUAUCUUCUCGAGGUACUCUGUGACGGAGUCGCACUCUGUGAUCGAGCCCAAAAUAGCAGGCUCAAUCGUAUUCUUUACCAAAACCAUACAUUUCUUGUUGGCAGUGGUCCACUGUUUGUUUUCAAGGGUGUAUGCCAACUCCAGUGGAGCAUAGUCCCUUUCCUUUUGCUGCCAUGCAGCAUCAUCAUCACCUUCAGCCCUCACUGGCUUCUCUGGAGCUUGUGGCUGCGGUGUAGUCAGCACCCAGUCAACUUCUCCACAAACGAAGGAGAAUUCAAUCUUUUUCCUCCACUCUGUAUAGUUGUUUCCUUUCAGAAUGGGUAUCUCUUUGAGACAAGCCAUUAAGUUGAAUGAUCCUGAAAUUUGCAAUCCAAAGUGAGAUCAUAACAACAAUUGCAUGAUUUAUUUCCAACGUUGGUCAAAAAAUAAAACAUACAACUGUUUAUGCAAUUUAAAACUAUAUCACCGUUGGACAGAAAUAGAAAUAAAAGCAUCAAAAAAAACUUUUUAAAUCAUGAUACAGUUAUUAACAACGUUGGUCAGAAAAUAACAGCAGCAUAAUGUAAUUAACUUUAUCAUGCUCUCACAAAUUUAAUUGUCUCGUUGGUUCAAAUUAAAUUUAAAUAGAGCAAUAAAUUUGACUUUUCCAGCGGAAAACUGUGAAAUAAAUCUAUUUUCAGAAGCAAAAUCACUGUAUAAACUUUAUUAAUCUCUAAUACAAAUUAUCCCGUUGGUUCAAAUUAGAUUAGAGACUAAAACUAUGCAAAAAAACAUCAAUUAAAUGCUUCUGAAAAUAGAAAAAACUAAUUAUCAGGUGUUACUGUGCAAAACUUUCUUUUCGGCCCAGCAGCGAAAACGGCCCACAGCCCGUUCUCGCGCUCGGCCCGCUCGCGCGACGCAGCCGGCCCACACGUGAGCACGGCCUGCUGGCCCGUGAGCGCGACCUGCUGGCCUUUGGCCCAGCAGCCGCGUUCCACGCCUGGCAGCCCCGCAAGCCGGUUAUUGGGCCGCAACCUGGGCCCAGGCUGUGAUUCCGGCCUGCCGUCGCCGCCCGCCUGGGCCAUAUCUGGCCCGCUCGAUCUGAUCCGUCCGUUUGAUCAGACGGUCCGGCGACAUUUUCGGCCGAACAAAAAUGGCAGAACGGCCGGCUCCCCACAACCCUAGCACCAUUCUGUUCCUCUCUCCCCACGAGCUCCCGCCGUGGCGGCGGCGGCAGGGCUGUCUCUCCCGCGCCCGGCGAUGGCCGGCGGCAGCGGUGGAGGGAUGGCCCCGCCGGCGCACGGCCGCGGCAGCCCCCUCCUCUUUCUCUUUCUUGCCUCCCCCUUUCUCCCUCCGGGCCUCCCGAAAAAAACGAGAUCCAGAGAGCCAUGGCGACCACGGAGGAGGGCCGGCGCCACCGCGGGUCCCCUCGCCGGCGCGCGCGUCCACCGCGAGGUUGGGCGCGCCGCAGUCAAGCGGUCCUUUGGUGGUGCUUUUGCGCCCCCCAAGCCCCGAGCGGGUGCUCUGGCGGCUUGGGUGGACCUUUUCCCCGGCGAGCCCGAGGCUCGGCCGGCCUUUGCCGCUCGCCGUCGGUGGACGUGCGGCGGUGAGGUCGGCGGCAGGUAAGCCGCUUCACGUCAUUCUUUAGAUCUAGGGUUAGGGUUAGGGUUUUACUUUUUUUUUAAUUUCUUUUUCGAUCUUCAUCGAUUCCUUUCUCAUAUUCUUCUUUCCGGUCUAGAUCUACUCCUAGACGAACAUCUGAUACCAUUGUUAGGAUAGAAUCUAGAACUUCUAGAUACACAUCUAGCCGGGAUACAAGAGAUUGACAAGGGUUCAUGUCGUUCUAGUCUUAACCGAGAGGGAGUGAGAGAGAUAGGGGUACCUUCACCCCUAGGGGUGGAAGCAGCAGAGCUGCUGGCCAUUGCGGGUUCGCUUGGGGAAGUCUGCGCAAGGCAGCGACACGCAGUGCCGAGUCCGGUCGCCGGUGAGGUGGCGGUGGUACUUCUCGCCGCUACUGCGCAAAACCUAGAUCGGUAGGUGUGUCGGUGGGGCGGCUAGCUGCGGCGAACCUCGUGAGCCGAGCCGGGUCCCCCACCCUGUUUAUAUAGUGCAGUGCGACAGGGGCCCACCACCCAAUGCUAGGGUGAGCACCCGCGAUCAGGGCGCGGAUCAGGGUCCCGAUGGACCUUUGGGCCCAUUGGGGAGGAGAUCAAUCUAACAGUGUCGACCUCGGCUACAUGAUCUUCACAUCCAUAUGAACAAAACGUGAACCCUACUUUUGAAUCCCAAUCACCUUAAUUAAAAUAUAUACCAAUAUAUGAUUCUAAAUUAUUUAUUUCUUACGCUAUUGGUAUAUGAUAUAAUAAUUAAGGUAUAUAUACAUAUGUGUGUCACCAUUUAUAAAGAUAUAGAAGAAGUGAUGAGAAUAUAUAUUUCUAUGUUAAAUUUGCAACUAAAUUGACCCCCACUAAUACUUAAAAAAUAAUUUCAAAAUAAAUUAAAGUGACCCCUAAAUUUGCAUCUAUAUUACCCACAUAUGUCAUUAUUAAAAAUAACAAGAGUUAACCUACUUCUGAAUCCAAAUCACCUUAAUUAAAAAUAUAUACCAACAUAUGAUUCUAAAUCAUUUAUUUAUUACACUAUUGGUAUAUGAUAUAACAAUUAAGGUAUAUAUGCAUGAUGUGUGUCACCAUUUAUAAAGAUAUAGAGGAAGUGAUGAGAACUUAUGGUCGGUAUGCGUCGUCAGUAUGCACUUGAGUUAAAAUUAGAGCUCAAAUUUAUGGUCCAUUAAAUAAAUUCAAGCGCAUACCGACGAUGCAAAGUAAAAAGUUAAUGAUUAUAAAUGUGGAUGAAAUUUUAUAGAGUAAUUACUAACUAAACUCUAUCACAAUCUGAUGAAGAUAAUAAGUAUGUAUCUAUAUAAGUAUUAUGUUAGGAUAUUUAACAAAUAAGAGGUAGCUUAAGAUAAUAGUUUUGUAACAAUGGGGCCUCAUUUUUUCCAUUGGAGAUUCCGUAUUACUUCUCACGAGACACGUUAGGAAAAAAAUCCUAGAAAUUCUCAUAAAAAUCAAAAACACCAAACAUCAAUCGUGCAAACUCUAAUAAUCAUAGUCAUUGGUCUAUUAUAUUUUAUAAAAGGUUACCUACCAUUAUCAUUAUGAACAUAUUCUAAAAUAAACACUAACCCUAUAUCUAAAUUAUGGAGCUCCGCAAUUAUAAAAAACUAAUCUAAAGUGCCCCCAUAAUCUUCGUCCAAUUUAAUUAUGCAUAUCAUUAUAAAGUAUAACUUAAAAUGUUAUUUAAAUUUGUAUCUAAGUUACCCACAUACGAUUCUUGUUAAAAAUAACCUAAAGUAAACACCUCAAUCUUAAUCUAAUUAUGUUCAUGUGCAUCAUUCAAAAAAGUCCAAAGUAAACCUGAUGAGUGUCAUUGUUAAUAUAGAAAUACAAAGUUAAGGUAUAUACGUAUGAUAAGUGUCACCAUGUAGACAAUCUGUACAUGUAUGUGAGAAAGUGAUGAAAAGUAUUGAUGUUUAUGCUAAACAAAAUGUGUGGAGAUGCGAUACAAAAUGAACAAAAAAGUGUGAAUAUGGAUAAAAGUGUAUAGAGUAAUUAAUAAUUAAAAACAAUCAUAAGACAAAGAUAAGUAUACAUCUAUGUAAGUAUUAUGUUGAAAUAUUGAAAAAAACUAAGAGAGUAGUAGGUAAACAAUUUUGAUUAUUAACUAGGAGCUCAAUUUUUAAAUAAUUUUUAAAUAUGAUAGUUUUUAAAAAUAUUAUCCUGUGCGGGAGCAAGGGUUGAUGGAUUAGUACAACUAAUACUGAUCACUAGAUAUUUCUCCAAUUGAAACGGUGUUCAACAUCUGCAAAACCCUGUAAAGCACGGCAUUGUACAGACUAUUCUUGUCCAGAUGGGAUACAAGUUGACUUGACCCACUCGCUACCCUGUCAAAGAUAACCUAUGAACGAAUCAUGCCCACACAUACAUUCUGGAAGUACCAUCAUCACAAAGGUCCAAAUCGGACCUGGAAACGAAAAUCCAGCACCGUAGACCAUUCCUCGAGCUGAAUUUUAUCAUCACCGUAAAACUGCUUUUAAACCCCUGGGGCCUCAGCCAGUUGAGCAUCCAUCUCAUACUUCCAGUUCAAACACCCACUAGCAAGCAAAUAGAAGCAGAUUAGAAAGGCUGCCGCACAGCAGAGGUUUCAUACUCUCUCCCUCCCUUCCCUCCCUCCUCAUUUGUGUUCGGUGCUACUAUUUAACUAUCCUAUUUGUGCUGUUACUUUUUUAAGAUGAUUUUAGCUGGUGUCUAGGUGUAUAAUAAUAUUUAUAAACUUAGAAAAGUUAAAAUAACAUACAAUUUGGAACGGAGGAAGUAUUUCUUAUAAUUAGCUCUGGUUACAGCAUGACCGUACGCUGCGUAGUCCAUCUAGUAGUACUUUAUACGCUGCCAUAUUCAUGCUUUAAUUUUGCAGGUGACAAUUAAUAUGCUCCUCAUGUGUCACUCGAUGUUGCUGGCGAAACUCGCCGUGCUUAUCGUAUUGCCUUUUUUGCUGCUGUGUUAUGGAGUGGGCAAGGUUCACUGCUCGACAAUUCAUGAGAACAGAGAAGAUCUGCGCUCACUGCUCGACUUUAAGAAGUGGAUCAGUGAUCCAAAUGGAGCCUUGAUGAACAACUGGACAACCAGCACCCAUUUCUGCCGGUGGAAUGGUGUUAACUGCACUUCUACGCCACCAUAUCGCGUCAGACAGCUCUUGCUCACCGGGCUAAACUUGGGUGGCGAAAUAUCCUCCUCUCUUGGAAAUCUGACCUCCCUUACUUAUCUUGAUCUAUCCAAUAAUAGCUUUCAUGGUCCCAUACCUCUUCUUAACAAACUCCAAAACCUAGAGUACCUUUAUCUAGGAAGCAACCAUUUGCAAGGUGUUAUUCCCGACGCACUUACAAAUUGUUCUAAUUUAGUUGCACUAGAUCUCUCUGGAAACAACCUCAACGGUCUCAUUCCUCCUAGAGUAAGCUUUCUUACAAAACUAGCAAAUAUCUACCUUGACAGUAAUUAUCUCACUGGGGAGAUACCAACAUCCCUCAGAAACAUCACAAAUUUACAACUAGUCUAUUUUUCAAAAAAUCAGCUCAAUGGUAGAAUUCCCGACGAGGUUAUGCAAAUGCCAAACUUAAUGGAGUUGCACCUAGACCAAAAUAACCUAUCAGGUAGUAUUCCUGAGGUUUGGCAAAUGCCAAACAUAUUGAUUUUAGACCUAAGCGUAAAUAACCUCUCAGGUCGAAUCCCACGAGCUCUAUCUAAUGUAUCUUCUCUUCAGGAAUGGUCCUUGGCAUCAAAUAUGCUAGGCAGCAUAUUACCAUCUAACAUUGGAGAUGCUCUACCGAAUCUCACGAUUCUAUACUUGGGUGAGAACUAUUUCGAGGGUCACAUUCCAGCUUCCCUAGGAAAUCCUCCAGGUCUACGAGAGAUAGAUCUCUCAGAGAAUUAUUUCACCGGCCAAAUCCCAAAUUCUUUGGGAAACCUUUCACUGCUGUCUUAUCUUAACCUUGGACGAAACAUGCUUCAAUCAACAGACAAUGAAGGUUGGGAAUUCAUCCAUGCCCUGGGAAAUUGUAGCUCUCUAACAGCACUUUCAUUGUCUAGGAAUAAGCUACAGGGAGCCAUACCAAAUUCUAUUGCAAACCUGUCCAGCACUCUUACACGUAUGCUAAUGUCUAAAAACAGUCUAUCAGGAACAGUUCCCCCACGUAUUGGAAAAUUUAGUUCCUUAAUUCAACUAUCACUAGGUCAAAACAAUCUUACCGGUACAAUUGAAGAAUGGGUCGGAAAUAUGACAAAACUAGAACGUCUAAAUCUCCAAUCAAACAGCUUCUUCGGGAUAAUUCCACCUUCCAUUGGCCAACUUACACGGUUGACAGAUUUAUUUCUUGCUGAAAAUCAAUUCACUGGGUUUAUACCACCUGGCUUUGGAAACCUUAAAUCAUUGUUGGAGCUGAACCUUAGCUACAACAAUUUCAAUGGGUACAUACCACCAAACUUUCGAAACCUUGAACAACUCAUACUAUUUGACCUUGGCUACAACAAUCUACAAGGUG
rnacentral:lncRNA from 1 species